CGGAGACGGGCUUUGUGCUUUCGCGUUUGUGUUGCUCAUGCCGGUUGGACUUGCUCUCCACGGACCAGUUAGUGUGGAGGUAGCGGGAUAGUCGCAACUGGGCAGGGACGGGUGUAUUCACAGUCCCAGCGAUGGGUAUGUUUACAGUCCCGAUUGGAUUGGGUCAGAUUUGACAUUUCCUACAGUUGGUUAGUGUAGAGCAUGAUAGUGUAGUGAUUUGUAUCGGUUGAGUUUAUUUCCUACUUUUUCGUCUAUUCUUGCUUCCUUCUCUAGACUUAGUGGGUGGACCGAUGUUGUUUUGGGCGGUACCCACUGAGGACUACUUGUUUUUAUAGUAGUUCUCACGCCCAGUUGUUACUCCUGUUUUGCAGAGCCACAGGUUUCGGCUGCUGCGCCUUCCGCGGAUCAGGAUCGAGGGAAGGGCGUCGCGAGUUAGAGCCCUACCCGACGUGCUGAGCUAGAGGUGCCCCUACUGCAGGUAGAUGUUUUGUUUCGAGUUUAUGUACAUAGUGGACUUAACUCGCGAGUGCGAGUAGCUCUGUAUUUUGGAUUUCGACUAUGUAUAUGAAACUCAGUUUAUUUAGCUUCUGUUUUCUCUAGCAGCUCUCAACUAAUGUUCGUAGUAGUGUUUGAUUUACAGGUACAGCUGUCGCUUCGUAUACAGAAAAAAUUUCUUUGUAUACGGCGGAUUUGUCGGCGUGCCGCCCGGGGAACGAGACGUGACAGAUUAAGUUGGUAUCAGAGCUUUGCUGUAGGUCGUUGGGACCUAGGAAACCUAAGUUUGGCAAACCUUAGGAAAGCAAGACGCGAGAGGCGUAAUUUAAUUGCGAAAGUCAAUGAUUAUUUAUUCUAACUCCUCCUAGAGUAGAGUGAGUGACUGAAGGAGUACCUGUUUUGGCCUGAGAAAUUAUGUUGGCUGCAGACGACAUAAUUUUGGAGGGAAACAGGGACCGCCUUUCAGACUUUCGUUGAUUGGGUCGAGAGUGUUGUGUUGUAUCUGACCCCAAUUUGUUCUUUUCAGCUAUAUAUCGUCGCCGAGGUCGACCGUCUUUGCGGGAGUGUGCCCAGUUGGCGCAGGAUCGUGUAGGACCUCCCGAGAGACCUGAGCAGAUGGAGCAGAGUGCUCGGCAGGAGCAGAGUGACAGACCGGAGGCCAGUGCACCCCCAGAUUUGAGUGCCCAGCUAGCCGCCUUGACCGAGGUGACUAGGCGACAGGGGGAGUUGUUGGAGAGGAUGUGCGAGAGGUUAGCUUCACCGCAGAGCUCAGUACCGAGAGCGCCAGAGUCCGCUGUUUCACCUCCAGUGACAGAGCCAGCUACAGCAGUUCCUCUGCCAGCGGCAGUUCCAGCAGCGGUAGUUGCGCCUCCCAGAGGGCCAGUACAGUUGACUGAGGCCGAGCAGGAGCGGUGGACAGAGAGGUUGGCUCGUUUUCGUCGUUUUGAUCCACCGAUUUUUGAUGGCAGAUGCACUGAGGCCUGGGUUGUUGAGGGAUGAGUCAGUGUGAUAGAGAAGCUAUUUGAGGAUCUGUUCAUUCCGGAGGGGGAGCAGGUACCUCUGGAAGUACACUGUUUAGCAGGUGAUGCUCACGACUGGUGGCGGAGAGCGAGGCGAGAUCAGGGGCUGGUGGCGGUACAGCUGAGGUGGGAUGAGUUCUGUGGAAUGCUGUUUGGGAUGUUCUUUCCCCACAGUGUGAAGCAGAAGCUCGAGGAGGAUUUGAGGAGGCUUCAGCAGGGAGAUCGCCCAGUGCAGGAGUACGUUCGGGAGUUUACUCGACUUCUGAACUGUGUGCCAUUUGUGGCCAGAGACGAGGCGCACAGGGUGUACAUGUUCGAGCAGGGGCUGAGACCGGACAUUUUCAGGUUAGCGCAGGCGCAGAGGUCGAGGACCCUGGAUGCGUCUAUAGAGUAGGCCCUAUGGGUGGAGAGAGGUGAGGUGUCGGUGCAGGAGAGGACUCAGGCCGUGGGGCAGGGUCAGAACAGGAAGCGCUCCUUUUCAGAUGACGGAAGGCAGUCGAGCAGCAGACGUCCGCCGAGGCCUCCACGAUCACGCUCUCAGGGUCGUGGGUCUUCGGGGCUUCAGCGUUCCAGGGGAUCCCGUCAUCAGGGGCAGACUCAGAGGACGCCACAGUGUGUGAUCUGCGGGGGACCACACUGACCCCGGCAGUGCGAGCAGAGAGAGGGCAUGUGCUACGAAUGUGGUCAACCGGGACACAUGAGGGCAGCUUGUCCCCGAGCAGCAUCUCCAGCACCGUCAUCAGCUUCGGCACCACCAGCACCGCAGCAGUCUUACGGAGCAGCACCGAGUUACCGCUAGGAGGACAGAUCGUCUGUGCCGCGGUCGAGUGAGCCGCGACAGCAGGCUCCGAGCGGCAGGGUCUACGCAGCUCAGGUAGAGGACUCUACAGCAGCCGACCAAGUGGUGGCAGGUAUCACUUUGAUUUCUGGCAUUAGAGUUCGUACUCUUUUUGAUACCGGUGCAUCGCAUUCCUUUGUUAGCCGAGCAUUUGCAUAGUUACAUGGUCUAAAGUUAGAAGCAUUGUCUCAGGUACGAGAGGUGUAGAUCCCAGACCAUGUCUUGCAGGUCGUGGAGUGUUGUUGGUCAUGUCCAGUGCAGCUAGACUCGUGGAUUAUUCCCACAGACCUGUUGGUGUUAGGGCAGCUGCAGGACUUCGACGUCGUGCUCGGGAUGGAUUGGCUGGCGCGGUACUAUGCUACGAUCGACUGUGGAGCGAGGACGGUGACAUUCCGCGAGCUAGGCCAGGAGGAGUUCACUUUUAGAGGCUGCAGGAGCACGCUGUUUGUUACUUGGAUAUCUUCGGCGAGGGCUCGACAGAUGCUGAGCAGUGGGUGUAUCGCUUUCCUAGCGACAGUUGUGGAGGUACCUACGNNNNNNNNNNNNNNNNNNNNNNNNNNNNNNNNNNNNNNNNNNNNNNNNNNNNNNNNNNNNNNNNNNNNNNNNNNNNNNNNNNNNNNNNNAAAUUUAAAAUUUAAAAAUUAAGUUUAAACAUAAAAUUAAAGACUUAAAAUUUAAAUCUAAAAAUUAAAAUUUAAAAUAUAAAUAUAAAUAUAAAUAUAAAACCUAAAAUUUAAAUAUUUAAAGUAUAAAUAUAACAGUGCGGGGCCUACAGAGCAAGGGGCCCGUGCGGCUGUUUAGGCGGCAUAUGUUUCUUUAAAAAGGACAUAUGCUUCGCUGUCGACAUGGACAUUUAGUUUGUGAUGAUGCUUGUCAUCAUCUCUCGACGAUCUCUUUUGUCUUCGAUUUGUUUGACUCAAAGUAUAUGUAUCAGGUUUAGGUUUUAUGUCUCGAUGAGCGUGAGCGCUCAAUUCAGGUGAUACAUGUAUUUGAGCUUUGUUUUGUAGAUGGACGUCAUCCCCGUGGAGAUCGAGUCGUGCAGCCCAUUCCGAGAUUGAGCGCUGCGGGAAUGGAGCUAGGACUAGGCGUCUUCCGCGUCGUCGGUUUUGGACAUCGAGACGUUUUGUCCCCAUUGUUGACCCGCACCCUUGAUGACAUUUUUGUUCAUCAGGAGUCACCCAUGGCGGGUUUUGUUGUAGCCAGGUGGGUGAUUCAGACGUCUUCCUUCGUUCUUAUCGGCUUUUUCAUCUUUUAUUUGAGUUGGCUAUGUUUAGUGAUGUGAUAGUACGAGAUGUGAUUGGUUGACAUCCUUUACAGUUUAGACUGGGUUAGGUUAGCCCUGACAUUUGUAUGGGCAGGGACCCUGACACUUAUGUGGGCAGGGACGGGUCAACACUGAUAGGGCGAUGGAGGUGUGAUUGACCAGGCACCUCUCGUUCAGGUUGGCCGUACUCGCUGUGGUUGCGCUUUCGUGUUUCGGGCAGAGGUCUCACCGUGAGCACCCGCAAUGGGUUGACUCAUACGUCGCAUAGAGACAGCUCGAGUUAGUCCGAGAGCUUUCGGUUUCAGGUCAUUGAUUGAGUUGGACCAGAUUGUUGGUUGUUCAUUUCACAGGAGCCGUGUUAGAUUGCGGUUUUUCCGCUAUGCCCAGGUGGCAGUUAAGGUUGCCGUGGGUUAUCAGACUUUGUCGAGUUUGCUGGGACAUUUUUAGGUGAGCCGCAUGGUCGUGCUCGCAUUUACAUAAGAUUUGAUGGACCUCAUGAGCAGAGCUCCUAUGACGCUGUCAUGUUUAAAAUAUUGCCGAGGAUCUCGAUUUUUUAAAAUUUAAAAUUUGAAAUUUGAAAUUUGAAAAUUUAAAUUUAAAAUAUAAAAUAUAAAAUUUAAAUUUGAAAUUUUAAAAUUUGGAUUUGAAAUUUAAAAUCAAAAUUUUUAAACUUCAAAUUUAAAAUUUUUUAAAUUUGAAAUUUAAAAUUUUAGAUUUAAAAUUUAAAAUUUUAGAUAUUAGAUUUUAAAUUUAAAAAAUUUUAAAUUUAAAAUUUAAAAUUUAAAAUUUAAAAUUUAAAAUUUAAAAUUAGAAUUUGAAAUUUAAAAUCUAAAAUUUAAAUUCAAAUUUAAAAUUUAAAAUUUAAAUUAGUAGUUUAAAAAUUUAAAUUUAAAAUUUAAAAUUUGAAAGUUGACAAUUCAAAAUUUUAAAUUAAAUUUUUUAAAAUGGCAAAUUGAAAGGGUUUCGGGAGUUAGAGGGGUAAAAUUAUCGUUUUACAUAAUAUGUAGUAUUACCGGUUUUCAGUAAUGCAAGAUACACGACCCCCUCUCGUUAAUAUUUUUGGUGUAAUCCUGCUCGAUUUGUAAUGCUAUAUUAACGACUAGAUUACAUAGCGGAUGAACCAUACACAGUAAUCCUGGCGAGAUUACCUGUAAUCCUGCCAGGAUAACUCGAACCAAACACUCCGUUAGGUUAACUUUCCGUCAAGAAGUCAUCCAAUAUUUUAUAAAUACCAAUUUUACCCCUUGCACGAAUUUAACCAUGUAAUAUUUAAGAUUAAUUAUAUGAUUAAUUUUAAACUUCUGAAUCACAUAAUAAUUUAACAUUCUUUUUAAAAUUUUACAAUUAAAUAUCUAUAGUCUAUUAAGUGUGAUAGUUAAAUCUCAUUAUGAUUUUUUGCUUUUAAAUUAUAUAUAGUUGUAAUGCAAUUGUCCAUAGUAGUAUUCAACAUUAAUUAUUUAAAGAUUUAUUUUUUAAAUUUAUUUUUUAAAUAGCUCACAUAUCUCACGCUAAAAAUAUUUUGAUAUCAAAAUUCUUGAUAUUAGAGUAUUACUUAUAUGAUCUGCACAAACAAAAAUUUUUAUUUGAAAAUGUAUUAUUAAUAAUAAAAUAAAAUUUUAUGAAAACCCUCUCAUCGAUAGUCCACUUUGACAUGAUCCUAACUUGGAAAAGUGUGAAAUUUGAUUUUCAGAUAGUUAAAAUAGUUUAGAUCAUGUUUAACAAUGUCAAUUGUCAAUUAGGAAGUUUUAUCAUUGAAAACAAAUCAUAGUAAACCGAGUUGUACUGCCGAUAAUAUUGUAGCAAAACUCUCUCUAUAUAUAUAUACUCUCUCAACCUAAGUGUUUUUUUUUUUUUAAAUUUUAGCAAUUGAGUGCUUUUUCCAACAAAAUUUAAAAUUUUAUCAAAUUCAUGUGAGGGAUCUCAAUUGAAAAACUUUUAACUAAGUAAACUCCAAAUAAAAAAAAACUGAUAGUUCAAGAGCUCUUAAUGUUAAAAAAUAAAACUUAAAGGGGUCUAGUUAAAAAUGAUCUAUUAGUAUCACGCCCCGAGGCCGAUUUUAAAAGCCAUUUUAUAAUGAAUAUCAUUUUUGAAAUCAGAGUUACAGAAUACAUGCCAUAUAUAUAUAUAUAUAUAUAUAUAUGUAGUGUUCCUGAGCUUUGGAUAGGAUUGGCUUCAGUAUUAGUGACUGGUCGACAUUUCUGGAGAGUGUCGGACUGAGUCGGAGUCAAUUCUGCACGAAUUUGAUGCAGAAUUGGACUCGGCGCACUCAAAUAAGCAAAAUUGAAGUUUUGCCAGAUUCGGGCGCCCAGAACAUGGUUUAGGUCGCCCAGAACUGAGUGGUAAAUUAACUGAAACUGGAAGCCAAUUCGGACCCUAUGUUCCGGGCGCCCAGAAGUGGGUCCGGAAAUUCUACAUCGUGAAUAUCGUUUGCUUCGACGCGUGGCAGGGUGGUAGGUGAGGUCCGCCAGAGCCGUUUACGGGCGCAGCACACCGUGAGCGGAGAAUCCGAGGAGGAUGAUUUGUACAGCCUGGAUGUUUCGGUCGCCCAGUACAUAUAUAUAUAUAUAUAUAUAUAUAUAUACAGUGCGGGGCCUAAUGUGUAAAAGGCCCGUGCGGCUGUUUAGGCGGCAUAAUGUUUCCUUAAAAGGGAUAUAUGCUUCGCUAUUGACAUGGAUAUUUAGUAUGUCAUGAUGUUUGUCAUCAUGUCUCAACGAUCUCAUUUGUCUUCGAUUUGUUUGCCUCAAGGUAUAUGUAUCAGGUUAUGGUUUUUAUGUCUCGAUGAGCGUGACCGCUCAAUUCAUAUGAUACAUGUACUUGAGUUUUGUUUUGUAGAUGAACAUCAUUCCCAUGGAGAUCGAGCCGUGCAGACCAUCCCGAGAUUGAGCGCUGUGGGAACGGAGCUAGGACUAGUCGUUGUCGUCGUCGGCUGCUGCUACCGAGACGUUUUUACCCCAUUGUUGUCCCGCACUCUUGAUGACAUUUUGUUCAUCAGGAGUGACCCACGGCGGGAGUUGUUGUAGCCAGGUGGGUGAUUCAGAUGUUUUCCCUCGUUUCCAUCAUUAUUUACGACUUUAUUUUUAGAUGUCGAUGUAAAUAAUGUGAUAGUACAAGAUACGACUGGAUGACAUCGUUACAGUUAGGACUGGAUUAGAGAAAUCCCUGAUAUUUGUAUGGGCAGGGUCCCUGACACUUAUGUGGGCGGGGCGGGUCAACUCUGAUAGGUCGAUGGAGGUGUGAUUAGUCAGGCACCUCUCGUUCAGAUUAACCGUACGUGCUGUGGUUGCGUUUUCGUGUCGCGGGCGGAAGCCUCACUGUGAGCACCCUCGAUGGGUUGGCUCAUACGUCGCAUAGAGACAGCUCGAGUUUGUCCGAGGUUGAUCGGUUUCAGUACAUUUGUCCCAGUUUUGUCCAGAUGUUUGGUUUGGGUGCACGGGAGCCGUGUUAGACCUUGGUUUUGUUCUUAGACCCAGGUGGCGGUUGGGCCUGCCGUGGGUUGCUGGGUUUUGUCGGAUUUGAGACGACUUUUUUAUUCGAGCCGUGGGGUCGUGCUCGCAUUUACGGAAGAUUUGAUGGGGUCCAUAGGCAGCGUGACUAUGACGUUGCUAUGUCAGUUUGGUGCCGAGGAUCUCGAUUUAGACCAUCAAAUUCGUAUACUGUCCAGUUUUGCAUCCAAAAGAGGAUUCAGUUAAAAAGUUAAGGUUGUACACAUUUACAGUGAAUAAAUCGUACGAAUUUAAGUCCAAUGUCGGUGUCGAAUAGUGACUUAAAUUAGAUUAGUGUAAUAUCUGGCUUGUUGUUUUGUAUGUACAGCUGAUAUGUAGAUGAGUAAUGAAUCCUCAUUAGGCUACGUUUGGGUGGAGCUCUCGUUAAGGGACCGUCGUUCUUCCGGUGUUAACGACCUUCAGAGUCGACCUUAGUGGGUGUUGGUCGUUGGUUCGAUGAGCUUUCUAGAUGUAGGUUUUAGGUAGUUUUAGGUAGUUAAGUGGUUUUAAAAUCGUGAAUUCGAAUUAAUAGAAUUGAGAUUACAGUUUUGAGUGGAUUUCCAGGGGUUAAGUACACUCCUGUCAGGGUUUAGGUCACUUACUACUACUUCUUACACGGAGUCCAGGUUUUGGGGCGACGAAGGUUUCUAUCGUAGUUCUUGUUAAGUUUUUGGGUGUUAAGACAGGUUUAUGUUAUCGUCGUCUCAUUUUGAACUCAAGCUGGUUCGAUUGGAGUUGCUUUAAUACGUUAAAUCCCGAAACACCUAAGGAGUCCUUCAGAUCUUAGGUCGUUUGGUUCAAAGCAGCUUUAGGCUAUAGGGAUGCAGCGCGUGCUCGGUUUUGUGAUUUCUAGCAGCGACUUCUUGACGUCUAGUCGUGGAUAGUUCGAACCUUUAAGCUCCCAUCUUCUACUUUAGGUUCCCAAGUGAUGUUUCCUCCUCACUUUUCUCGAGUGGUCCCAGUGGAAGGUAGAUAAAUAUCCGACGACCCUCCUAUUUUAUUCGGGGUUCUCUUCGUCGACAUUAGACCACAGGGAUGUCUUUGCCCGCAAAGACCCGAGGGCCUUGGUANNNNNNNNNNNNNNNNNNNNNNNNNNNNNNNNNNNNNNNNNNNNNNNNNNNNNNNNNNNNNNNNNNNNNNNNNNNNNNNNNNNNNNNNNNNNNNNNNNNNNNNNNNNNNNNNNNNNNNNNNNNNNNNNNNNNNNNNNNNNNNNNNNNNNNNNNNNNNNNNNNNNNNNNNNNNNNNNNNNNNNNNNNNNNNNNNNNNNNNNNNNNNNNNNNNNNNNNNNNNNNNNNNNNNNNNNNNNNNNNNNNNNNNNNNNNNNNNNNNNNNNNNNNNNNNNNNNNNNNNNNNNNNNNNNNNNNNNNNNNNNNNNNNNNNNNNNNNNNNNNNNNNNNNNNNNNNNNNNNNNNNNNNNNNNNNNNNNNNNNNNNNNNNNNNNNNNNNNNNNNNNNNNNNNNNNNNNNNNNNNNNNNNNNNNNNNNNNNNNNNNNNNNNNNNNNNNNNNNNNNNNNNNNNNNNNNNNNNNNNNNNNNNNNNNNNNNNNNNNNNNNNNNNNNNNNNNNNNNNNNNNNNNNNNNNNNNNNNNNUCUGGAGAGUGUCGGACUGAGUCGGAGUCAAUUCUGCACGAAUUUGAUGCAGAAUUGGACUCGGCGCACUCAAAUAAGCAAAAUUGAAGUUUUGCCAGAUUCGGGCGCCCAGAACAUGGUUUAGGUCGCCCAGAACUGAGUGGUAAAUUAACUGAAACUGGAAGCCAAUUCGGACCCUAUGUUCCGGGCGCCCAGAAGUGGGUCCGGAAAUUCUACAUCGUGAAUAUCGUUUGCUUCGACGCGUGGCAGGGUGGUAGGUGAGGUCCGCCAGAGCCGUUUACGGGCGCAGCACACCGUGAGCGGAGAAUCCGAGGAGGAUGAUUUGUACAGCCUGGAUGUUUCGGUCGCCCAGUACAUGGUUCCGGGAGCCCAGAAACGCCCGUUUCUGUAGGGACACCAGAUUACAGCUGCUUCUCUUGGGGCUUAUUUUAUCCUCCCAGCAGCCUAUAAAUAGAUGGAAGGUGACCCUGGUGAGCUCUUUUCACUCCUCCUUUGUAGUGAACCCUUGGAUUUCAUCUUCUACCCUCGAAUUUCCAAGCUUGAUAGGUGCUGAUCUGCAGUUCUUCAGCGACGAUCUUUAGUGUUUUGGCUCGUGCGCGACGUAGGGAUAUCGGAUUUCGACGAAACUUGGUUUGCUGGAUUCUAGACUUCCUGAGGAAUCCACAAAGCCCUAAAUUGCAUAAUUUCGUUGAGGUUAGCUUGGUCGAACUCAAGUUUUACUCUGCUGCUAUUGUAUUUGGACAGAAUUGUGGGUUUUUGAAUUGUUCUUGAUGCUAUCUUUGGAAGCAGCGGGGUUUUGGACCUGAGGCACAUUCUUCAUCAUCAUUCACUGGAUUUGGGACUGUCCUCACAUGAAUUGGGGACCUUUAGGUGAGUUUUGACAUUAGAGUUAAGAUAAUUAAGCUUAAGUGCUAAAAUUUUGGUGAAUUGAUGGAUUUUGAUGGAUUUUGGAUGUAGAUCUUUCGAGUAGCUUGGUUGCUGGUUGUGGGUGAUUCCAGCUGAGACUUCCAGCAAUUGUGGCCUUCUUGCUGCCAGGGAAUUGCUCUCGAGGUGGGUUUGCAUCGGAUUACUCCUAAGUAAUGAGUAGAUGUAUAGUCGACAUGUAUGUUUUGUUGUUCGGUCUAUAAUGUGAUUAGAUUAAAUUCAGUGAUAAGCUGUGGCUGUAACCUGAAUUUAAGCAUGCUAAAUAAGUGACAUUUACACAUGUUGGAAUUGAAAAAUUGACUUAGGAGAAAACCUACGUUUUGACCUGUCAUAUGCUUAAACUACCAGAUUUAGCUCUAGGAGCCGUGGUUUGACUGUAUCGUUGCAGUAUCAGUGCGACGGAUACCUGGGGUAGUUUAGAAGGCAUUUACGCUCGUGCUGGGGUGCCGAGCUUAUUUUUUCAGCAGAGUUUAGGCUGUUUUGGGUCGUUGGGUGCCGUCCGGGUUGGCGGUGGACCCAGAUUCUUGUUUUGGUUCCAGAUUGUGCCGAGGGCACGUGGGUUUGGUUUGUAGACCUGUUUUGACCCUGUUUACAUGACUUUGGCUAGUUGGAGCCUGUUUGAGCUCGACAGAGAUACGCUGCAUACUCGGUUGGGUAGCUCCCACGAGUGUCACUCCGAAGGCGGGCGCUGUGCUUUUGCGUUGGUGUCGUGCAUGCCAAUUAGACUUGCUCUCCACGGACUGAUUAGUGUGGAGGUAGCUGGAUAGUCUCAACUGGGCGGGGCGGGUGUAUUCACAGUCCCUGGGACGGGUAUGUUUAUAGUCCCUAAAGAGAUUAGGUCAGGAUUGACAUUGCUACAGUAGGUCAGCAUAGAACAUGAUAGUGUAAUAAAUGUAGCUGUAGAUUUUUAUUUCAGCAUUUAUUACUACCUUUGCUCCCUUUUGUAGACUUAGUGGGUGGACCGAUGUUGUUGAGGGCGGCACCCAGUGAGGACUACUUGUUUUACAGUAGUUCUCACGCCCUGUUGUUACCCCAUUUUUGCAGAGCCAUCGUCGUCGGCUGCUGCUGUUGCUGAUCAGGAUCGAGGCAAGGGUGUCGCGAGUUAGAGCCCUACCAGACGUGCCGAGCUAGAGGUACCCUUACUACAAGUAGAUGUUUUGUUUUGAGUUCAUGUACAUAGUAUACUUAACUCGCCAGUGCGAGUAGCUCUGUAUUUUUGGUAUUGGACUAUGUAUAUGGAACUCCGUUUGUUUAGCUUCUGUUUACUCUAGCAACUCUGUACUACUGUUUGUAGUACUGUAUGAUUUAUAGGUACAGUUAUCGCUUCGUAUAUAGGGAAAAUUCCUUUGUAAUACGGCGGAUUUGUCGGCGUGCCCGGAAAAUGUGUAAUCCGGGGCGUGACAUAUAUAUAUAUAUAUAUAUAUANUACGUGAUAUAUAUAUAUAUAUAUAUAUAUAUAUAUAUAUGAAUUCAACCUGGCCCACGUGACGUAUGUCACGCCCCGGAUUAUCACGUUUCCCCGGACACGCCAACAGACCCGCCGUAUACAUAAAACUUUUUCGUGUAUACGAAGCGAUAGUUGUACCUAUAAGCAAGUUAUAACUACAACCAAGAUUAUAGAGCUGUUAGAAUUAAAAAAUAUAUAUAAAAUAUAAAGUAUUCACUAUACAUACAACAUCAACCACAUCACCUCACUCCAGCGAGAAAACAAAACAUAACGUAUGUAUAUGAAUACAACGCACUACCUUUGACGGGUAUUCUGCUAGCACGGCGGCCAAGACUAGUAGGAAUCUAGCUCGUGACUCUCUUACCACGAUCAGAAUCAGCAACAACAGCAGUCGCAUACGAAGGCUCUGCAAAAAGUGUCAACAACUGGAUGUGAGAACUACUAUAAAACAGAGUAGUCCUCAGUGGGUAUUGUCACCGACCUCAACGGCCCACCCACUAAGUCUAUAGUAAUAUGUGCAAAGAAUAGUAAGGAAAGCUAGAAAUAACUCUACAGCUACAUGCCACUAUACUAUCGCUAACCAAUACAAACUAUCUGUAGAUAUAAACAUGCAUCACACUGACCGAACGUCACUAGGGCUGCCCAAACGGACCCACCCUGCCUGUAACCAAGCUACACCGUACACCACCCACGAGGAUGGCGGAUCCAAGUAAACAGUCCAAAACAGGACGGCUGCGACAUCAACGCAAGUCAAAGCCUCACGUGCCCUUGGCACAAUCUGAUGCAAAUCUGGAUCUGCCGUCAACCACGACGGCACCCGACAGUACGGAACAGUGUACAUACUACUGUAAAACGAGCUCGACCCCUGAGCACGAGCAUAAACUUACUCUACACUAAUCUGUGUAUCCAGUAUGUACUAACAGCGGGAUACAAAAUAACAACGGCUCCUGAAGCUAAAUCUGGUAACUUUUCAAAAAAUGACAGUGAAGGUUUAACGAGUUUUCUCCUAGGUCAAUUCUCAGUUCAACAUGUAACAAAUAUUCUGAAAUUAAGGCUCCAAAUUCAGAUUCUAUAAAAACUAUGCAAAUCAAAGAAUUCGAGCUACAAAACAUGAUGCUACACAUAAAUCAAUACAUGCUGACACUCGACUUACAAGGAAAUCCGACGAUUUCGGCAAACAUUAACCCACCUCGACAGAUCGUCCAACGUCGGCUAGAUGUCGAAAAGAAAAACCCCGCGCGCGCUCGACCUCCGAUGGACUCAACCGGACAAACCCACGCGCUCGAGCAAUCCUCCUAGCAAGUGAAGACUCCACACGAGCUCGAUCCUCGACUUCCCAAUGAGCGGUGUAGACAAGCUAGAGAGAAAGAGGGAAAAGAAGCUAUCUGAGUUUCCCAAGCUUCUCAGGUAGAUAACUAUGCUCGGGGUAGGUUGUAGUGUCCCUGGUGUUUGGCUGCCUGUGUGAUUUCAGCAUCUGAGGCUUGUCAACACGUCUGGAGAGUGUCGGGACAAGUAAGAGUUGUUUCGGAGCGAAAUAGAUGCAAAACGUACUUAGCGCAGUGCGAGAGUUGAGUUCUAACACUGAAAUCUACAAAGUGCCAGAUUUCAGUGUUGAGUACUGGUACCUGGGGAGAAGUACCGGUACCCCAGUGAGAUUGUAGAAUUGAUGCUCUCGGAUUUGCGCAAGUCUGAUGCUAAGUACCGAUACCUAUUAUCGAGUACCGGUAUCGAGCUCGGGUACCGGUACUGCAUCGGGCUGAUACUGGUACCUAGCGCGCGAGACUGCGAGAAGAGAGUCAAGUACCGGUAUUCAAGUUGGGUACCGAUACUCCAUGUGGAAAAAUGAGUUGGUAAGGGAUAUUUUGGUCUUUUCGAUGGUGGAUUGUAUCGCCACCUACCCCAAUAUAUUGAUCUACCUAUUAAUCUUGGAGAAACUGCAUGUUUCUUCUCUCCCCCUCUCUCUCUCUCUCUAGCUUGUUGCCUCAUUGGUUUAGAAGGUUGAAGAUCACGCUCGUUUAGCUUCUUCGCUUUCUAGGUGAUCGCUCGAGCGCGUGGGUUGUCCGGUUGAGGCCAUCGGUGGUUGAGCAAGCGUGCGAGGUUUCUCCUAUCGACUUCUAGCCGAUGUUGGAUAAGCGCUCGAGGUGGGUUAAUGUUGUCGAAAUUAUCGGAUUUCCUUCUAAGUCGAAUGUCAGCAUGUAUUAUUUUUUAUGCGUAGUAUUAUGAUUAGUAGCUCGAAUUCAUCGACUGAUAUAGUUUUUGUGAAAUCUGAAUUUAGAGCUUUAUUUCAGAAUAUUUGUUACAUGUUGAACUCGGAAUUGACUUAGGAGAAAACUCGUUAAACCUACACUGUCAUUUUCUAAAAAGUUAUCAGAUUUAACUUUAGGAGCUGUUGUUCUUUUGUAUCCCCGCUGUUAGUCCGUACUGGAUAUACAGAUUAGUAUAGGGUUAGUUUACGCUCGUGCUGAGGGGCCGAGCUCGUUUUACAGUAGUGUGUAGACUGUUCCGUACUGUCGGGUGCCGUCGUGGUUGACGGUGGACCCAGAUUUGCAUCAGAUUGUGCCAAGGGCACAUGAGCUUUGGUUGUUAGACCGCUUAGACCCAUUUGCAUUGACUACAGCUUGUGAGAGCCUGAUUGAGCUCGGUAGAGACAUGCUUGCAUACUCGGUUGGGUCGCGCCCACGAGUGUCAGUACGGAGUGAGGCUUUGACUUGCGUUGAUGUCGCAGCCGUCCUGUUUUGAACCGUUUACUUGGACCGGCCAUCCUCGUGGGUGGUGUACGAUGUAGCUUGGUUACAGGCAGGGUGGGUCUGUUUGGGCAGCCCUAGUGAGAUUGGGUUAGUGUAAUACAUGUUUAUAUUUACAGAUAGUUUGUGUUUGUUAGCGAUAGUAUAGUGGCAUGUAGCUGUAGAGUUCUUUCCGGCUUUCCUUACUAUUCUUUUCACAUAUUACUGUAGACUUAGUGGGUGGGCCGUUGAGGUCGGUGACGGUACCCACUGAGGACUACUCUGUUUUACAGUAGUUCUCACACCCUGUUGUUAACACCUUUUGCAGAGCCUUCGUCUGCAGCUACUGUUGUUGCUAAUUCUUAUCGUGGUAAGGGAGUCGCGAGCUAGAUCCCUACCAGUCUUGGCCGCCGUGCUAGCGGAGUACCGUCAGAGGUAGUGCGUUGUAUUCAUGUACGUACCUUAUGUUUUGUUUACUUGCUGGAGUGAGAUGAUGUGGUUGAUGUUGUAUGUACCGUGAAUACUUUAUGUUUUAUAUAUAUAUUUCAGUUCUAGCAGCUCUAUACUCUAGGUUGUAGGUAUAACUUGCUUACAGGUAAUGCUAUCGCUUUGUAUACACGAAAAAUUUCUAUGUAUACGGAGGGUCUGUUCGCGUGCCCGAGGAAACGUGGUAAUCCGGGACGUGACGGAUUAAGUUGGUAUCAGAACUUAGAAUUAGGUCUUUUGGACCUAGAAACCCUAGGCUUGACAAACCUUAGGAAGUCAAGACGCGAGAGACGUGACUUAUCGCGAAAGUCGACAAUUGAGUUGUUUAACUCCUCCUAGAGUGGAGAGAGUGACUGAAGGAGUGUUUGUUUCUGUCAAGAAAAUUAUGUCAGCUGCAGACGGCAUAAUUUUGAGGAGUAUAACACACUAAACUUUGGCAAAUUGUAAGGUCCCAGUGUUAGAAUAGUGUCUUGCUCUAUUCCCGGUGAUUUCGAAGGUCGUUGACUGAGUACCGACUAAUUGCUCGUGUCAUGAGAACGCGAGCACCAAAACCUACAAACAGUAGGUUUUGGGGUGCUGAGUACCGGUACCAGAGAGAUGGUACCGGAACUCCCCUGUAUAACCGAGAGAAGUUGCUCUCGGGUUUGAGCUGUUGGGUUGCCGGGUGCCGGUACCACAUUGGCCGAGUACCGGUACGCCAUAGUGUGAAGGCUUGACCGAGGCUCAGGUUGAGCAGAAUUUUGUGCAGGGUACCGGUACUCCUUUCAGAGUACCAAUACACAGUGCAGAAAACUGCUGUUCGUGCAGGAUGUAAUUUCUGCUUGUUGGAGGGCUUAUGGGGAUAUUGUUAUAAUGUGUUUAUAUACCUCUUCACCCCCCUUUCUUCCUCAGUUGGCUGAGGCUUGAGAGAGAGUUAGAGGUAGGUUUUGCUCUCCUUCUCUCUAGAUUUUCUCCUCUAGAUUCUUGUAUUUUUUAGGAUUGAUCUCUUUUUCUUCCUCUCCACCAUUGUUGCUUACCUUUUGGAGCUUGGAAUGGAUGAGAGGAGUUUGUUGAUGGUUCAAACUUCAACUCUAGCACAUGAUGGCUCAAGUUGAAGCUUGUUUUGAGGUUAGAAACCUUUUCUUAACCUCUAUUUGAGAGAUUUGCAUGAGUUUUGGGAGAAACCUAGUUUUAAAAAAACUAGGGUUUAUUUUGGGGUUUUCUUAUUAUGAGCUUUUGGGAUGGAAUUGAUGAGUAUAGAACACUCUUAUAGGUUGGAUUUGAAGCUUCCUAGUCUCGAUUUGGGCUUUGAUCAAGUUCUUCUUGAUCUAAGAUAUUUUUUCACUUCUUGUGCAAUUUUCGAAGAUUUUCGAAGUAGUUAUUUGGAAGCUUUUAACCCUUUAGAAUUCUUCUUAGGGUGCCAGAAACUCGGUGGACAACUUCGUUCGGAGGAACGAAAGCGUUCGGAUGUGAUCCGGUGGGUUUGACCUCACCGAAAUGGGUGAACUCCCCCUGUCUCCUAUGAUGUUAUAGGACUUAAUUGUUGCAUAAUCAUGAUAUUUAUGCCAUAAUAGAAUUUUAGAGUGCUUGAAAUAUACAUGUUAUGUAUAACAUUUUGUAUGCUCUAUGUAGUAGAGAAUAAUUGAUGAAAGCAUGCAUGUUGUAUCUAUGAAAUUAUAGUCCGAGGACAUGUUCCUUUUGGUGCUUUGUAGGAAUGCAUAAUAGAGAUGAAUUCUAGGUCAUUUGAGACUCUAGAGGGCUAAUGGAACUAGUGGACUUUGCAACUAAUUUACUUGCUAGAUAAAGAUGAGCAUGAUGUACGACAUGUUAACCAUUUGAUAUAGAGCCAUGAAUAUUGUACUUAGUUUAGAUGAAUAACUAAGUUAACCAGGUAACAUUAUGUUGACCCACUGACCGUCCCUAGAGCAAGUGGCAAAGGGCUUAGUGGUUGAUACCCGAGACCCAAGUUCGAAUCCUAGUUGAUUCACAUUUCCAGCUGAGUUUAUUUCUAAAUGAAUAAACGAAGCGAGUAGUGUGCUACCUAUCUCUCUAAAAAAAAAAAAAUAUUAUGUUGACCCUUAAGUUGAUAAAUGAGAUUUCGUAUUUUAGAUACGAUGAUUGAUGUAGUUUGAAUACUUGACAUCCAUAUGAUGCAUAAGAUGGUUGAUGUACUCACUAUAGUAAAAAGUAAAGUAUGUUAUAGUACAUGUUGUAUGAGUAAAAGAAAGCUAUGCAUUUGUAUGAUAAUUUUAUAUUCUAUGUAGAGGAGGCUCAUGUAGUGAUGCACAUAUAUAUAAUUGUAAACAUUAUGUUGCCGACCUAUGAGUUGAUAGAUGAAACCUUAUGCUAAAGGCAUGUAGGAGUUUCAUAUAUUGGAAUAUGCAAAUGAUAUGUAAAUGAUAAGUAUAUACUUGAGUAGUUCAAUGAAAAUUAAACAUUUGCAUGGCUAUGUAUGGAUAUUUAUAUACUCCAUGAAGUGGAGGCAUCAUAUAGAAAGGCAUAUGCAUGACAUAUAUUAUGACUUGAUAAGACACCCGUGGGGUUCAUUGGAUUUGACAUUAGAAGAUUACCCUUUUUGCAUAUGGUAUUAUAGUGAUAGUAGCACACAUAACUAGGUUCAUGAAUGAGUCAUAGAACCAUUUUCAUUAGAAUAAUGAAAUGUGAACCUCUUCACGUGCUUAGGACAUGUGCGAUAAUAUAGAAAACAACAAUGUCAUAAAGAGGCAUUGGACUUAGUGAAUGGUUAAACUUGUACACUAUGACAUAGAACUAGACCUUUGGGUUGCUAGUAUUUAUACCAUGUUUGAGACAUGACGACCGUGUACUUAAGAUGAUGGUCAUGCUUGCUUGCCAUUUGUGCUCAUUCGCACAUGCUUGUGAGGGUCGCUCCUCUCAAGUCGGCACUCCAGAGUUGGCCUACGCGACAGAUGCUCGCUCGUGCGGUAUUGGGUGCCUACUGGGCCGGCAUGGGAUAGGCACAUUCCUAAAGGGGAAAUGUUGGACUACCACGGGCAAUUAGACGACACAAGUCGGACUACACUUGAGUAGAUCCUGAUGAAUUGAAAUAUGUUAACCAAGAGUUAAUUAGACUUGACAUUAUAUUGGACAUACUAGUAAGUUGAUACCCUUGAUACUUAUGGAUGCAUACCUAAUAUGUUGUUCAUCUAUUGUAUGGUUACCCUAUAUUGAGAUUUGACGCAUUCAUAGUAGAGGGAGGUUUUUUUUUUUGUGGAACAUUGUUGCAUUGACACCCUUAGUAUUUGUAACCUACACUUGUGAUGUUAAAUGUAGAAGAAUAGCUCAAUGAUGACUAUAACCAUAUGAUGUUAAUGACAAUAUGAGAAUUAUACCAUAUUAAAUAAUCAUGGUUUAAAUAUGGACUAGCAAUUUAUUGUUGCAUACAUAACUACUUUUGCAUGUAAUUAUAGAGAUGGAAUUUAUAUACAUGAUAGAGACAUUUCAUAUAGAGGCAUGAUAAAGUUGAGAUUAUUCGAUUACCUGUUGUAUUUAUAUUUCAUACUUCCUAUAUCAUAUCUAUGCCUCAGUUGACUUAGUGGUGUAUUUCGUCACUCUCGGCGGCUUACCCACCGGGAACUAUUGUUUAAUAGUUCUCAUCCCCAUUGGUUGGUUGUUUUUGUUUCAGAGCCUUCCGUAGCGGGAAAGGCUAGGGAUCGUGGCAAGGGAGGCAACGACUAGCUAGAGCCUCACGACGUGUAAUAGAUGAACCUACAAAUUUAUUUAGUGGCUUAGUGUUGUGAUGUACUGUACAUUAUGUGAGAUCCUAUGUAUUCAUUUUAUACCCUUGGUUAGAAUUGUUGUAAUCUUGAGAUUUUAGUUCCAAAAUUUUUGUAUCUAGCUGUUGUGCAUUCUCGCUCUGAUUACCAUAUUUAGGAUGGAUUUUUCUAUUGCUCUCUUUGACUGUUGUAGACGUCUUGUGCAGAUUGUGGUUUUUAGUAUGCACGGCGGGUCUGGGCACGCGCCCGGCGGGCUUUCGCUGCAGCUCAGGGCAUGAUAAGGAGGAACAGGGGCGACCUUCUAGACUUUCGCUUGAUUGGGUCGAGAGUUGUUGUGUUUUGAAUCUUACCUUUGUUUUGGUUUCAGGUAGCCAUGUAUCGACACUGACCGCCAACGCAGGACCGUUCCGCGCUAUCGGAGAUGACGGAGCAGGUGGGACUGAGUGCACCCCCCUGAUUUGAGAGAGCAGUUGGCUGCCUUGAUUGAGGUGACUAGGCAACAGGGGGUGUUACUACAGAGAAUGUGUGAGAUGUUUACUCAGCAGUCGAGUACCGCACACAGAGCGUUAGAGCAGUAGGCGCCACCUCUGACUACUCCAGUGGCUGCACGAGCCACAGCUGUACCCCUACCAGCGACAGCUCCUACAAUACCAGUUGCACCUCCAGGAGAGGCGUCGCAGAUGUCAGAGGCCGAGCAGGAGCGGAUGACAGAGAGGCUCGCUCGUUUUUGUCGGUUUGAUCCGCCGCACUUCGAUGGUAGUCGCACCGAGCCCUGGGUGGUAGAGGCAUGGGUGAGUGCGAUGGAGAAGCUAUUUGAGGAUCUGUUUAUAUCGAAGCAAGAGGAGGUACAUUUGUCUGUGCCUUGUUUGGCAGGUGAUGCGCAUGUCGGUGGAGGAGGAUGCGACAGAAUAGAGGUUUGGUUGCCCUACAGAUGAGGUGGGACGAGUUUUGUGAACUGCUGUAUGGGGCCUAUUUCCCAAACAGCGUGAAGCAAAAACUCAAGGAUGACCUAAAGAAGCUAUAGCAGGGGGAGCAGUCAGUUCAGAAGUACACUUGAGAGUUCACUAGGCUUCUGAACUGUGUUCCGUUCUUAGCCAGGGAUGAAGCCCACAAGGUCUACCUGUAUGAGAGAGGCCUGAGGCUAGGGAUCUUUGUUUUGGUUCAGGCGCAGAGGUUGAGGACCUUGGACGCGUCGAUUGAGCAGGCGUUGUAGGUUGAGAGAGGAGCUGUAUUAGUCUGUGAGCGGGCGACGACGCUUGGGUAGAGUCAGGAUAGGAAGCCCCUAGUUCCAGAUGACGGAGGACAGACUAGUAGCAGGUGAUAGUGGUCUGGGGGAUCUCGUCAGCAGCGUCAGCAGCAGGGGACUUCGCAAUGUGUUAUUUGUGGGGGACUGCACUGGCCUCGUUAUUGUGAGUAGAGAGAGGGCCAAUGUUUUGGAUGUGGACAGCCAGGGCAUCUGCGGGUGGCUUGUCCCCGAGCGGCAUCACUAGCACCUUCGACGACGUCAACUCCGCCGGUACCCCAGUAGACCUAUGGAGCGCCACCGAGCUAUAGUCAGGCUGACAGAGCUUCAGUGUUGCGGCAGAGUGAGCAGCGACAGCAGGCAUCGAGUGGCAAGGUGUAUGCAGCUAAGGUUGAGACUCAACAGCAGCAAACCGUGUGGUGGCAGAUAUCAUUUUGAUUUCUGGUAUUAGAGCUCGUGCUUUAUUUGAUACCGGUGCAUCGCAUUCUUUUGUUAGUUGAGCAUUUGCAUCAUUGCAUGGACUAGAGAUAGGGCCGCUGUUGCAUGCAUGCGAGAAGCAGAUUUCUGACCAUGUGUUACAUGUGGCGGAGUGUUGUUGGGCUUGUCUUGUGUAGUUAGGCUCUUGGAUUAUGCCUGCAGACCUGUUGGUCUUGAGGCAGUUGCAGGACUUUAAUGUAGUGCUGGCAUGGAUUGGCUGGCUCGGUACUAUGCGGCGAUCGAUUGUGGAGUGAGGAUAGUGACGUUCCACGAGCUAAGCCCGGAGGAGUUCACUUUCAGAGGCUGCAGGAGUACGCUGUUUGCCACUUGGAUCUCUUCAGCGAGGGCUAGACAGCUGAUGAGCCGAGGAUGUAUUGCUUUCUUGGCAACGAUAGUAGAGGUGCCUACGGCGGCACCAGGACUCGAGGAUAUCCCUGUAGUUCGCGAGUUUUCGGAUGUCUUUCCCCCGGAGCUGACGACUAUGCCGCCGGAUAGAGAGAUUGCGUUUGUGAUUGACGUGGUUCCUGAAACUACGCCAACUCAAAGGCACCCUACCGAAUGGCACCCGCAAAGCUGAGAGAGCUAAAGGCGCAGUUUCAGGAUUUGAUGGAUAAGGGGUAUGUGGGACCCAGUGUGUCGCCUUGGGGAGUGCCGGUAUUAUUUGUAAAGAAGAAUGAUGGUUCGCUAAAACUGUGUGUGGAUUACCGAGAGUUGAAUAAAGUGACCAUCAAGAACAAGUAUUCUUUGCCGCGCUUCGACGAUCUGUUUGAUCAGCUGCAAGGAUCUUGCAUCUUUUCGAAGAUUGAUCUUCAGUCAGGUUACCACCAAUUGAGGGUGAGGGCCGAGGAUGUUCCCAAGACGGCUUUUCAGACUCGGUACGGGUAUUAUGAGUUCACAGUGAUACCUUUUGGAUUGACUAAUGCCCCUGCCGCAUUUAUGGAUUUGAUGAAUCGAGUGUUUAAGCUGUUCUUGGAUAGAUUUGUGGUAGUAUUCAUUGAUAAUAUUCUAAUUUACUCUCGGAGUGAUGUUGAGCACGAGGAGUACUUGAGGAUAGUAUUACAGUUUCUGAGGGAGAAGAAGUUGUAUGCUAAGUUGAAGAAGUGCGAGUUUUGGUUUCGAGAGGUUUCUUUCUUGGGCCAUGUAAUUUCUGCAGCUGGAGUAGCAAUUGACCCGAAAAAGAUUGAUGCUAUUCGGGAUUGGCCCAGACCGACGAUGAUUACCGAGGUGAGGAGCUUCCUUGGAUCGGCUGGUUAUUACUGCCGGUUUGGGAAGGCUUUGCGAAGCUUUCCACAACCCUCACUCGAUUGACUCGGAAUUCGUCUGGAGUGAGGAUUGUCAGAGGAGCUUCGAGGCGUUGAGGCAGAGGUUGAUGUUGGCUCCUAUCCUUAACCUCCCAGUUAUAGGGAAAGGAUUUAUGAUCUACAGUGAUGCAUUGCACAACGGUUGGGUUGUGUUUUGAUGCAGCAUGGUAGGAUAAUUGCUUAUACUUUUCGGUUGUUGAAGGAUUAUGAGAAGAAUUAUCCUACGCAUAACUUAGAGCUUGUCGCGGUGGUGUUUGCUCUGAUGUUGUGGCAGCAUUAUCUGUAUGGUGAGCACUGUGAGAUCUUUGCAGAUCAUAAAAGUCUCAAGUAUCUGUUCACCAAAAAGGAGUUGAACCUGAGGCAACGCCGAUGGUUGGAGUUAUUGAAGGAUUAUGAUAUCAGCAUUCAGUAUCACCCCGGUAAGGUGAAUGUGGUUGCAGAUGCGUCGAGCAGGAAAUCAGUGUAGAGUUUGAGUUUGUUGAUCACUCAGCAGAGACCGUUACUUGAGGAGUUGCAGUCACUGAGGCUCGAGAUUGUGUCCCCUGGGGCUACCGCAAGGCUGAUGUCUAUAAUCUUGCAGCCCACUCUGUUGGAUAGGGUUAGAGAGAAAUAGAGUGGAGACUCCCAUUUAUUGAGGAUCCGGGAGCAGAUUAGAGGGGACAGGCAGAGGCCUUUACUGUGGACAGUUUGGGAAUAUUGCGGUACAGGGACCGACUGUGUGUGCCUAUGGAUUCAGAGAUCUGAGUGGAGAUUUUGAGAGAGGCUUAUUAUUCGUCUUAUACGGUUCACCCUGAUGGAACCAAGAUGUAUAAGGGUUUAAAGGCACACUUUUGGUGGAAUGGAAUGAAGAGGGACAUUUGCAGAUGGUGGCUCAGUGUUUGACUUACCAACAGGUGAAGGCAGAACAUCGUGUACCUGCUGGCAAGCUUCAAAAUCUUCCAGUGCCGGAGUGGAAAUGGAAGCAGAUCAUGAUGGAUUUUGUCGUGGGUUUACCGAGAGCACAGAGUGGAUUUGAUGCUAUAUGAGUGAUUGUGGACAAACUGACUAAGUCUGUCCACUUCCUACAAGUGCAGACCACUUGGUCCAGAGAGCGACUUGCCUAGCUAUACUUGGAUGAGGUAUGUUACAUGGAGUACCUACCCCGAUUGUAUCUAAUAGGGACUUGAGGUUUGUCUCACAUUUCUUGAGGAGCCUUCAGACGGCUUUGGGUACGCAGCUCCACUUCAAUACAGCAUUUCAUCCACAUACAGAUGGUCAGUCAGAGAGGACCAUUCAGACUCUAGAGGACAUGUUGAGAGCUUGUGUCUUGGAUUUUGGAGGAGGGUGGCAUCGAUACUUGAGAUUUGUUGAGUUUGCGUACAACAACAGCUAUCAAGCGAGCAUUCGAAUGGCUCUGUUUGAAGCGUUGUACGGACGCAAGUGUCGAUCACCCUUGCAUUAGAGUGAUAUGGGUGAAAGAAAGACUUUGGGGCCUGAUGUCUAUGAUCUUGCAGCCCACGCUGUUUGAUAGGAUUAGAGAGAAAUAGAGUGGAGACUCCCAUUUAUUGAGGAUCCGGGAGCAGAUUGAGAGGGGACAGGCGGAGGCCUUUACUGUGGAUAGUUCGAGAGUAUUGCGGUACAGGGACCGACUGUGUGUGCCUAUGGAUUCAGAGAUCCGAGUGGAGAUUUUGAGAGAUGCUCAUUACUCGCCUUAUACGGUUCACUCUGGUGGAACCAAGAUGCAUAAGGAUUUAAAGAUACACUUUUGGUGGAAUGGAAUGAAGAGGGACAUUGGCAGAUGGUGGCUCAGUGUCUAACUUACCAACAGAUGAAGGCAGAACAUUGUGUACCUGCUGGCAAGCUUCAGAAUCUUUCAAUGCCUGAGUGGAAAUGGGAGCAGAUCACGAAAGAUUUUGUCGUGAGUUUACCGAAAGCACAGGAUGGAUUUGAUGCUAUAUGGGUGAUAGUGGACAGACUGACCAAAUCUGCUCACUUCCUACCGGUGUAGACCACUUGGUCCAGAGAGCGACUCGCCCAGCUAUACUUAGAUAAGAUAGUGAGGUUACAUCGAAUACCUACCUCGAUUGUAUCAGAUAGAGAUCCGAGAUUCGUCUCGCAUUUUUGGAGGAACUUUCAGACGGCUUUGGGUACGCAGCUCUACUUCAGUACCGCAUUUCAUCCACAGACAGAUGGUCAGUCAGAGAGGACCAUUCAGACUCUAGAGGACAUGUUGAGAGCUUGUGUCCUGAAUUUUUGGAGGAGGGUGGCAUCGAUACUUGAGAUUUGUUGAGUUUGCGUACAACAACAGCUAUCCAGCGAGCAUUCGAAUGGCUCUGUUUGAAGCGUUGUAUGGACGCAAGUGUCGAUCACCCUUGUAUUGGAGUGAUGUGGGUGAAAGAAAGACUUUGGGGCCUGAGAUUCGGAUGGAGGCAGAGGAGAAGGUAAGGGUUGUGCGACGACAUCUUGAGACCGCCCAGAGUUGACAGAGGAACUAUGUUGAUACUAGGAGACGAGACUUGGAAUUUCUGGUUGGUGAUCAUGUUUUCCUGAAAGUCUCGCUGUCCCGAGGGAUUCGCAGAUUUGGAGUUCAUGGAAAGCUCAGUCCACGAUUUGUUGGCCCUUUCGAGGUUUUGGAGCGAGUCGGGCCAGUGGCUUAUAGGAUUGCACUUCCACCGCGCCUUCCUGGUGUCCACGAAUUAUUCCAUGUCUUGGUGUUGAGGAGAUAUGUGUUUGAUCCCUCACACGUGAUUGACUUCAUUCCACUUGAGAUAGGUGAGGACCUGAGGUACGAGGAGCGACCGGUGCAGAUUCUUGCUCGUGAGACGAAAGAAUUGCGCAACUGGGUCAUACCGUACGUGAAGGUACAAUGGAGUAAUCACGAGGAGCGUGAGGUGAUGUGGGAGCUAGAGGCUGUGAUGCAGGAGUCCUACCCUUACUUAUUUGAGGCUCAGGAUUGAGGUAUGAUUGAAAGUUUUGAGUAUAAAACUUUUUAUAGUGGGGGAGGAUGUAGUGUCCCUGGUGUUUAGCGGUCUGUGUGACUUCAGCAUCUGUGGCUUGUCGACACGUCUGGUGGGUGUCGAGACAAGUCAGAGUCCUUUCGGCCCGAAAUAGAUGCAAAACAGACUCAGCGCGAUGCGAGAGUAGAGUUCUGACACUGAAAUCUGCAAAGUGUAGGAUUUCAGUGUUUAGUAUCGGUACCAGAGAGGAGUACCGGUACCCCAGUGAGAGUUCAGAACAGGAUGCUCUCGUGUUUCCGUAUGUUGAUGCUGAGUACCGGUACCUGUUGUCGAGUACCGGUAUCGAGCUCGGGUACCAGUACUGCAUCGGGCUGGUAUCGGUACCCAGCACGCGAGACUGCAAAUUGAAGGGCCGAAUACUGGUACUCCAGGUGGAAAGUGAGUUUGUGAGGGGUAUUUUGGUCUUUUUGGUGUUGGAUUAUAUCGCCACCUACCCUCAGCAUAGUUAUCUACCUGAGAAGCUUAAGAAACUCAUAUAGCUUUUUUUCCCUCUCUCUUUCUAGCUUGUGUACGCCGCUCGUUGGGAAGUCGAGGAUCGAGCUCGUGUAGAGUCUUCGCUUGCUCGGAGGAUCGGUCGAGUGCGUGGGUUGUCCGGUUGAGGCCAUCGGAGGUCAAGCGCACACGGAGUUUCUCUUUUCGACCUCUAGCCGACGUUGGACGAGCGGUCGAGGUGGAUUAAUAUUUGCUAAAAUCGUCGGAUUUCCUUCUAAGUCGAGUGUCAGCAUGUAUUGAUUUAUGUGUAGUAUCAUAUUUGGUAGCUUGAAUUUUUUGAUUUGCAUAGUUUUUAUGGAAUCUGAAUUUGAUGCUUAAAUUUUAGAAUAUUUGUUACAUGUUGAACUGGGAAUUGACUUAGGAGAAAGAACGUUAAACCCUACACUAUUAUUUUCUGAAAAGUUACCAGAUUUAGUUUCAGGAGCUGUUUUUCUUUUGUAUCCCCGCUGUUAGUGCGUACUGGAUACACAGAUUAGUGUAGGGUGAGUUUACGCUCGUGCUUAGGGGCCGAGCUCGAUUUACAGUAGUGUGUAGACUAUUCCGUACUGUCGGGUGCCGUCGUGGUUGACGGUGGACCCAGAUUUGCAUCGGAUUGUGCCAAGGGUAUGCGAGCUUUGGUUGUUAGACUGGUUAGACCCAUUUGCAUUGACUACAGCCUGUAAGAGACUGAUUGAGCUCGGCAGAGACACGCUUGCAUACUCGAUUGGGUCGUGCACACGAGUGCCACUCCGGAGUCAGGCUUUGACUUGCGUUGAUGUCGCAGCCGUCCUGUUUUGGACCGUUUACUUGGAACGGCCAUCCCCGUGGUGGGUCCAUUUGGGUUGCCCUAGUGAGAUUGGGUCAGGGUGAUGCAUGUUUAUGUCUACAGAUAGUCUAUGUUAGUUAGCGAUAGUAUAGUGGCAUGUAGCUGUAGAGUUCUUUUCAGCUUUCCUUACUAUCCUUUGCACAUAUUACUGUAUACUUAGUGGGUGGGCCGUUGAGGUCGGUGAUGGUACCCACUGAGGACUACUCUAUUUUGUAGUAGUUCUCGCACCUAGUUGUUAACAUCUUUUGCAGAGCCUUCGUCUGCGGCUGCUGCUGUUGCUGAUUCUGAUCGUGGUAAAGGAGUCGCGAGCUAGAUCCCUACCAGUCUUGGCCGUCGUGCUAGCGGAGUACCCGUCUGAGGUAAUGCGUUGUAUUCAUGUACAUACGUUAUGUUUUAUUUACUCGCUGGAGCGAGGUGAUGUGGUUGUUGUUGUUUAUACAGUGAAUACUUUAUGUUUUAUAUAUAUGUUUUAAUUCUAACAGCUUUAUACACUUGGUUGUACGUAGCUAUGACUUGUUUACAGGUACAGCUAUCGCUUUGUAUACACGAAAAAUUUCUAUAUAUAUGGCGGGUCUGUUUGCGUGCUCGGAAAAACGUGGUAAUCCGGGGCGUGACAAUAUGUGUGUGUGUGUGUGUGUGUCAAGCCCCGGAUAUCACAUUCCCCGGGCACGUCGACAAAUCCGCCGUAUACAAAGGAAUUUCCCCUGUAUACGAAGCGUCAAAGUACCUGUAGAAAAACGAUACUACAAACAGUAGCAUAGAGCUGCUCAAGAACAACUAAAUAACUGAGUUUCAUAUACAUAGGUAGCAUCCAAAAUACAAAACUACUCGCACUGGCGAUUUAAACAACUAUGUACAUAAACUCCAAAACAACAACUACCUGCAGUAGGGGAAAGCCUCUAGCUCUGACUGUCGGGUAGGGCUCUAGCUCGCAACGCCCUUGCCUCGAUCCUGAUCGGCGGAAGAUGCAGCAGCCGGCACCUGUGGCUCUGCAAAACAUAAAUAACAACUGGGCGUGAGAACUACUGUAAAAAUAAGUAGUCCUCAGUGGGUACCGCUCAAAACGACAUCGGUCACCCACUAAGUCUACAGAAGGGAGCAAGGAUAGAAGAAAAAGCAGGAAGUACACUCUACCGCUAUCAUCCACUACACUAUCAUGCUCUAUACUAACCGACUGUAGGAAAUGUCAAAUCUGACCCAAUCCAAAUCGGGACUGUAAGCAUACCCGUCCCCGGGACUGUGAAUAUACCCGUCCCUGCCCCGUUGCGACUGACCAGCUACCUCCACAAUGACUAGUUCGUGGAGAGCAAGUCCAACUGGCAUGAGCGACACCAACGCGAAAGCACCAGCCUGACUCCGGAGUGGCACUCGUGGGCGCUACCCAACCGAGUAUGCAGCGUAUCUCUGUCGAGCUCAAUCAGGCUCCAACUAGCUAAAGUCAAGUAAUCGACUCAAACCGGUCUAACAACCAACAGGUAACGUGCCCUCGGCACAAUCUGACGCCAAAAAGGCGAUACGGGUCCACCGUCAGCUCUGACAGCACCCAACAGUCCGAAAUAACCUGAACGACCCUGUAAAAAUCCACUCGGCAAACCAGCACGAGUGUAAAUACAUUCUAAACUAUCUGGAGUACUCGUCUCGAAGAAACUGUGACAGUACAAUUUUCUAACGGCUCCUGGAGCUAAAUCAGGUAGUUAAAACUGAUGACAGGUCCAAAUCGCAGGUUUUCUCCUAAUUCAAAUUCCAAGUCCAACAUGUAUAAUCUACUUAAUUUAUAAACAUGCUCCAAAAUUCAGAUUUCACAAUCUACAUAUAGUCCAUGAAUUUGAGCUAACACAAUUUACCGAAAUCAAGAUCUAUACAUGUCGACCAAUAAGAACUUAGGAGUAAAGCCGAUGUAACCCACCUCAACAGCUAAAUCCAGGCAGCGAACGAAGCCUCGAACCAGGACAACCUCUGCCAGAUCAACUGGGGACCUCCAAGUCCGGUAGACGAGCUAACGCCAAGCUAAACAAUUUAGGAUCCUCGAUUCAGUCCAGAAAUUCACAGCUGCUGAGUAGGAGCGGAAUUCGACCGAGCUAACCUUCACCAAAUCUGGCAAGUGAGGGCUUCGUGGAUUCCUCUCGAAGUCCCGAAUCCAACGAACCAAGCCUCGACGCGAUCCGACGUUCCUACGCGGAGAACGAGCUGAAAUACGAACAGUCGACGGCGAAUUUCAGCAAAACAGCUACUAACCGAGUAGAAAUAGUAAUACUUGCCCAAAAUCCAAGAAAGAUGCCGAAUUACCCACCUCAACAGCGUCGAACCUCGGCGCGACGUCAAGAACAGCGUAGUCGUACGCUCGCUCGAUCUCCUCGCAAAGUCCCGGCGUCAAAUACGUGCUCGAACGAUCCCGCGGCGCGACGUCGGCGACGAAACUCCAAGUAACUCCUUCCUUGCUUCCAACCGGGUGGAAGAGUGAGAGAGAUGGAGAGUUGCAGCUAGAAGACCUCUCUCUCUCUCUCUACACGAAGCUAAAUAGAGGGGAGUGAGGGGUGAUACAAACGAGGUGAGAUUUUACCGUUUUAGCCCUUUACCUACUCCCUUGUACCGGUACACGGCUCCUGUACCGGUACAAGAGCCAACCCGAGAGCAGCUAAAUCUGUGCGCGUAGCUUGUACCGGUACAGAAAACCCUUGUAACGGUACAGCAAGCAUUCCCCGCGCUGGUUGUACCGGUACAGCAUACACUUGUACCGGUACAGCAAGCAGGAAAAUCUGCUGUUUCGCAGAUUCCUUCGCUGAAUGCUGCCCUCGCGUCGCACGGAGUCCGUUUUGCGUCUAUUUGACGCCAACGCGACUCGGACUUGUCCCGACACUCUCCAGAGCUGUCGACAAGCCCCCACAGCCAAACACCAGGGAUCUCACAGUGUGUGUGUGUGUGUGUGUACAUAUAGGCUAGGGCUACUAUACUCUUAUGAGUAUAGCUCCCUUUGUACUCAUAAGUUUUCAACCAUUAGAUAAAGAGAUGUGUGGUUAGGAUGAUAGUGGUCCCCGGUUUGGUUAAUAGUGGUCCCCUAGGGUUGAGUGGUAUAUAUAUAUGUAUAUGUAUAUGUAUAUACAAUCUUAACUCAUUGUAACAAUUACAGCUUACUCCUCAACUGUUGCCUUUUUGCUCAUGCUCCACAGCUAAUGCAAAUUUGCAUAAAAGCCCUACCGAUUAGAGGAUUUUGCAGUUUUGCGCGUUAAAUGUUGCACUUUUGCAAAAUGAUCCCUUAUUCGAUUUCGACUCUCCCACUUUGACUUCAUGCCAUUUUACACAGGAACCUCAGAAUUUGAUGAAACUUACGUCCACACAUUCGUCUUUGAGUCUAGUUUCAUAUGAGUCCUACCACUUAUGAAAAUUCCAAUUUUUUUUUACAUAAAAUGAUAACCCCUUCACGCACAGUCCCCAUUUGCACCAAAUGCAAAAAUUGCAAUUCAAUCCCUCAUGAUCACAAUUUCAAAUCCAAAACUCACCCAUAGGUGUGUUUAGCUCAUAAGUUCCCCCACCUUAAAAAUUAUGCAAAUUGACAUAUGAAAUGUCGCGCUUUUCACAUAAUUACUCCACUUUGGCAAAUUUGCACGUAUGAAAAUUCAUCCCAAAAAUAUCAUCAAAUCAUGCCAUAAUUGCAUCAAGGUCCAUUAUAGGACUUACAACACUGAACGUUGCACUUAUCAUUUCGUCGAAAGCUGCAUCUAUUAGCAAAAUAAAGUACUCUUUUUUGAAAUUUUAUUGUAAAAUACCCGGAUAUUACAUCACCCCCCUCCCCCUAAAAGAAGUUUCGUCCUCGAAACUUGAUACCAUAUCCCCAAGUAUAAACUGAGGGUACAACUUCACAUACACCAUGUGAAAACAUUUCACAUACACCAUGUGAAAACAUCAAGCCUUAACACUUUCUAUGAUCUCCUAUGGUAUCGACCCGAGACCCCAUCUAUCGAAACCAGGUAGAUCGAACCUCCUCUCACGUUCAACAACUUGACCUACGUAGGGUAUAAUCACAGUGGAGAAUAACUCCGAAAAAUCACCAAGAUUGAACUCAUCUCCUAGCCAUCUGAAAAUGGAUUACUAGUCCUAGCUAUCAAGUUGCUCAAGUUGCGUAGGUGGCAAACCAUCCAUUAGGAUUUGUGGAUCACUCGACCAUACUAUACCGACGACCGAUACGAACCCUUUGGUCAUACAAGACAAUGCUUCAAGGGUUGUGUUCACUGCACGUGUCACCCAUCGGGUCGUGCUAACUGCGCGCAUCCAUCACUACCAGGUUGUGCUACCAGCAUCUACCACCCUUUUGGCAUUUAAAAUCGCCAAACUUGCCGAUGAGACCCAAUCCUAUCACCUUCGGAACAAAUCUGAAGCCUGGACAACCUCUAAGCAAUCAACACUAGGCCUACACUAGUCAAUCGAUGGUCAAUUACAAUUUUCAAUAGUACCAAUCCACAACUAACUUGACCAUCAAUUCAGAGAGUAGUAAAUCAGAACAUACUUACGUCCUACACCAUUGCAAUCACCAAACAGUUUACAAAGGAUGUCACAUUACGGAUACACAGAGAAGCUUAUACCUAUGUUUGCAUUCUUGGAUGAAUCGUCCUCUCGUCGAGCAACGCUAUCAACUCGACCUGUAGAUACUGAGUGCAUUCCCUCGCCUUGGAGAGAUGUUGAGGGAUGCCCCGCCAAAGCUGCGAAUGCACUACCUCGGUUUUCAAUGGAGUCGCCUGUGCGGAAGUGGCAAUAUGAAUCGCACCUAAUCCUUGGGAGCAUUCAGCUUGCUUAUGCCCUUCCUGCCCGCUUGUGAAACAAUGGUUAUGCCGACGGGGACAAACUGUUGUCCAAUGCUUACCACCGCAAAUCGCACAUAACUUGCCACCUCGCUGUUGACUGACAGUCUAUGCACUCUUCACUACUGGCUAGGAUCGAGGAUGCUGGCGUGGCUUUUUACUACUUGAAGGCUCACCAUCGAAUCCCGAACGAGGCCGUUUCUUUUCUUUACCUUUGUCUCUACUAGUCUUCUGCUUAAUGCGGUGCUCCUCAAUAAACGAACCACUCGAGGAAUCAGGUUGACGAUACGAGAGAAGUCUCGCUCGUACUUUUGUAUAGUUCGAUCUCCUUGUAAUAAUCUCUCCAAGUCUUGCUCUAAACUUUGCUUAGUGCUCUCCAUGAAAUACUGAUUGAAGAGCAUCUCAUUAAACUCACCCCAUGACGGAAAGGGUUUAGUAGAAUAGCAACGAUCCAGCAGCCCUUACCACCACCGAUUAGCAUCACCUUCAAGAAAAUGGGCAGUUAGAGGGAUCUUAUCUUUCUCCUCGAUGUAGAGAUCGCAGAAUAACUUCUGCAUGUGAUCAACCCACUUUUCAACAGCCCAUGAGUUGUCACCCUCGCCAUUGAAGCUCGGAGGUUUGAACUUCAUGAAUUCCACCAAAUUCGCCCUAGCUCGAGCCCGCUCUAUUGCAAGAGCAUCGCCACUAACUACAAAGAUAGUAUAUCCAGUCGGAAGAGAAGACACUCCGAUGGCCACGGCUGUCGGGUUUGUUGUCACAAUAGCCACCGGUACAGACCCAGCUGCUCUAACGACGUCAUCAUCGGCCACCGCAGGUGGCACAACAUCAGCAAGAGGAUCGAUAGCUCCCUUGAAAGUUUGGACAGGAGGUAAAGCCUGGCUAGUUUCAGCGAUCGCCUGCUGCUGUAACAACCGCUGAACCAACCCUUCUAAUGUCGUCAGUCGCUCCUCGAGGUGCUGAACACGAUCCAAGCCAUCAGGUGUGAGUGCGCCUAUCACCACCACGGCUACCAAACUGGGAAUGCACCAUCUCCUGAGACGCAAAACAGGGUUGAGUCAAACACCGAUCUGACUCAAAAUCACACCGAGACUCUAAAUCCCACAUAAUAACCCCUUGCUCUCACGUGCCUAAAUAUCUUAGGUCAUCCUAUGGGUCAUCCUAAACCUGUGGUUUAGCCCCCUCUGAUACCAUCUUAAUGUAACAACCCAGCUCACUAGCAACAAUAACUCGUCAGGCCCAAACACUGGCUGAAAAUGCUUAAGCCCAAUUAUUAUUACUAAUGUCUACGUCUCUUAUAUACCCAAUCUCAUCCCCGUUCCUAUCUGAUGUGAAAUUAUUAGGGUGUGACAAUAUAUAUCUAUACUAUAUAUAAAAAGCGUAUAGGAAUUCCGACAAUGACAGAUGGAAUCCAAAAAGAAAUAAAAUAAUAUUCCCUACGAAUGAUUAUGAUUAAUUUGUUAAAAAUAUUUCAAAUAAAAACGAACGGUUAUAAUCAAUAUAUUAAAUCUCUAUUAUAUCCAAAAAGGAAUAAAAUAAUAUUCCCCACGAAUGGUUAUGAUUAAUUUGUUGAAAAUAUCUCAAAUAAAAACGAACGGUUAUGAUCAAUUUAUUUAAAUCUACUAUAUAUAUAAAAUCUAUUCUACAGAAUGGUGUGUGAUCAAUUAGUUAAAAAAACAUCUCAAAAUAAGAACAUUAAAAAAAUAGCAUCCUAUAUAUAUAUUAAAUUCAAUCCUGUUGAACGAUUAUAAUCAAUUUUGUAAAAAAAUAUUUCAAAUAAAAACAACGGUUAUGAUCAAUUUGUUAAAAAAUAGCAUUCCUUUCAUCCUAUUUUACAUUAAAUUAAAAUUUGGUUUAAAUUAUGAAUUAAAUUUAAUUUUUUGAUAUCAAAUUUGAAUUAACAAUUAAUUUUUUUAUUAUAGUAGGAUCAAAAAUUUAAAUUAAAUUUAAAGUAAAUAUGAAUUAAAUUUGAUGCUUUUAGUUUAAAAACAUAUAUUUAAAUUUGAUUCAUCAAAAUCAAAAGUAUAUAAAAAUAUUCAAUGUUAAUAAAAAAAGAACACAGUAGGAUAUUGUGAAUAUUUCUUAAUAAAAUAAGAUAAUUUUUUAUAAAUAUAAUUUUAUUGUAAAAUUUGGAUUAUAUUAAUAUAACAAAUUUAUAUUAAUUUAAAAUAAAUUAUAAUAUUAUUCGUCCAUUGCACGUAUAUUUUAGCUUUAAAUAUAUAUAAUAUAUAUAUAUUAUAGAAGAGAGGAGAGAGAGGAGAGAGAGAGAGAAGUAGGGCUACUGGGUGCUUCAGGCGAGUACUAACAAACUUUGUGGCCUCCUAACUUUUCAAACCUAUUCCAUCAAUUUGAUGGAUGGUUAGGAUAGAAGAGGAGAAGAGAAAUUGAGUAUCUUAAAUUUCUCUUUUUAUGAAUUUCUCCCUAAUAUUUCAUCUCUUUUUCACCUAACGAACUACUCAACAAUUGGAUGGAUAGUUAGAAAGUUGGGAGCACCAAGGGCUCGCUGUGCUCUUAAUAGCACAGUAGCCAUACCUCUGCUUCUCCUCUCUCCUCUCUCUCUUCUCUCUCUCUCGUCUCUCUCUCCUAUACUAUAUAGUAUAUUAUAUAUAUAGUAGGGCUACUAUACUGCUUAUGAGAUAUGAAGCCCUUUGUACUGAUAAGUUGUUUUCGAUGAUGGUGCUUCCCCAAUCGACGAUCCACUUCCGUUAAAUUAUGAUCUAGAGAGUAUUUGAAACUGUCUAUAAAAAUAAAUUUUCGUAAUUUUUCGAAAUUCAUAAUAACAGUCAUCAAGUAGCAUAAAUGAACGAUCAAAUCGAACGAACAUUCCUAAAAAAUGGUGUAUUAAAUCCUUCACAUUUAAGAUUUGGAGUUAUUCAUCUUCUUACCUAGGUUAACUGAAUACGAUUUUCUAUUAAAAUCAAACCGAUUCCGAUUCUUUUACACGUUAAACCUAGCAAGGUAUCCCAUACUCGUUAAAAAUUAUCAAUUUGUGAUCUUUUUUGUGAAGAGUAACUGAUGUCAAAAUUAUAAAAUUUGAUUUUCUAGAGAGUUUUAAAUGCUCUCAAGAUAACACUUUAACGGUUUGGAUCAUCCGAUCGGAGCUCAUUAUCGAAACGACUUAUGAGUACGAGGGCGAUCGUCUCAUAAGAGUAUAGACUCGAUAUAAUACGCUAAUAAUAUAAUAUACAUAUAUAAAUAUAUAAUAUAUAUACUAAUAUUAAGUAUAUAUAGUUUCUAUAUAGUAUAGUAUACUAUACUAUAAGCAGAGAAGAGAAGGAUUUGAGAGAGACGAGAGAGAGAGGGACGAGAGAGAGCAGAGAAGAGGAGAGGUCUGGCUGGGAUACUAUCGAUAGCACGAAGCCCAUUUUGGCUGCCUACCGCAAAAGGUUUUUGCUGUUUAGAUUUACCUCUUGUUAAUCACUUUCAUCGUUACAGAUGUUAUACUAUUCAACCAACCCCCACUCAAUCCUACGGAGGCCCCACAUCAUUCCUAACCCGCACCAUCCUUUUAAGUCCAAGGGCAGAUAAACUUAAUAGCACCAAGUCAUUGGUGCUAUAAUAGUAUUUCAGCCUAGUUCCUAUAUACUAAUCGUAUAUAUAAUAUAACNNNNNNNNNNNNNNNNNNNNNNNNNNNNNNNNNNNNNNNNNNNNNNNNNNNNNNNNNNNNNNNNNNNNNNNNNNNNNNNNNNNNNNNNNNNNNNNNNNNNNNNNNNNNNNNNNNNNNNNNNNNNNNNNNNNNNNNNNNNNNNNNNNNNNNNNNNNNNNNNNNNNNNNNNNNNNNNNNNNNNNNNNNNNNNNNNNNNNNNNNNNNNNNNNNNNNNNNNNNNNNNNNNNNNNNNNNNNNNNNNNNNNNNNNNNNNNNNNNNNNNNNNNNNNNNNNNNNNNNNNNNNNNNNNNNNNNNNNNNNNNNNNNNNNNNNNNNNNNNNNNNNNNNNNNNNNNNNNNNNNNNNNNNNNNNNNNNNNNNNNNNNNNNNNNNNNNNNNNNNNNNNNNNNNNNNNNNNNNNNNNNNNNNNNNNNNNNNNNGAAAAAUUACGAAAUUUAUUUUCUAGAAGUUUCAAAUACUCUAGAUCAUAUUUAACGGAAUGGAUUGUCGAUUCGGAAGCUCCAUCAUCGAAAACAACUUAUGAGUACGAAGGGCCGAAUACUCAUAAUAGUAUAGUAGCCCUACUCUAUAUAUAUAUAUAUAGAGUGCGGCUAGGAUGCUUAUGGAAGCACGGAGGGCUCUGUGCUUCCACUUUAUUUUCGAUGUUCGAACUUUCGAAUUGACGAUCGGCUCCAUUAGGCUUGAUCUAGAGUAUUUGAAGUAUCUAGAAAAUAAAUUUUGCGAUUUUUCGAUAUCAUUUGCCUAGUGAUCGAAGUGGCUCAAAAUCAACGGCUGAAAAUAAAAAUCUUACAAAAUAUGAUGAUAUGAUAUUAAAAUUUUAGAUCAAAGUUAUUGAUCUUGUUUUAUAUGGUAUAAAGAAUUUUCCGUCAAAAUUUCAUAUGAUUUGGAUAUUUCUACACCGUUAAACUUGCAAUCGGCUCACCACAGCCGUUAAAAUUAUUGAUUUUGAGCUCUUUCGAUAACUAGGCAAAUGAUAUCGAAAAAUCGCAAAAUUUAGUUUCUAGGUACUUCAAAUACUUUAGAUCAAUUCUAAUGGAGCCGAUCGUCGAUUCGAAAGUCCGAACAUCGAAAACGACUUGGAAGCACAGAGGCCUCCGUGCUUCCAUAAGCAUACUAGCACAACUCUAUAUAUAUAUAUAUAUAUAUAGAGUGAGGCUACUNACAUAUAUAUAUGUAGGCUGGUAUACUAUCAGGAGGCCUUUGUGCUACCAAGUUGUUUACAAUAUUGUAGCUUCCAAAUCGAUGAUUGGUUCCGUUAUACUUGAUCUACGCUAUUGAAAGUUUUUGAAAACUAAAUUUUAUAAUUUUUCGACAUCAUGUACCUAUCAAAUGAGUAGUCUAAAAAAGAACGAUUGAAAAUAAAAAUCUCAUAAAAAAUGAUAAUAAAAGACUUGAAUUUAAGAUCAGAGGUAUAGAGUAUUGAUUUUUCUCUACAUAGUGAAAAAAUUUCUAUAAAAAUUUCAUCAAAUGAUUAUUUACCUGUUAAAUUCACAAACACAACACAUUGACCAUUAAAUUUGUCAAUUUGAGACUUUUGAUCACUAUACAAAUGAUGUCGAAAAACUAUGAAAUCAGUUUCCAAAUAAUUAUUAAUAGUGAAAAUCAAGUUAACACACUAAUCGUCGAUUUGAAAAGCCCGCAUCAUUAAAACAACUUGGAAACAUGGAGGCCUCCGUGCUACCGAUAAUAUACCAGCCUAACUCAUUAUAUUAUUAAUAGUAUAUAUAUAUAGUACUAUAUAUGUAUAGUACUAAUAUACUAUAUUAUGCAGUUGAGCUGGAAUACUAUCGGCAAUGCGUCAGUAAACGACCGUUUACUAUCGAUUUGUAUUUUGAUGAUAGAGCUUCCAAAUUGACGAUCGGCUCAUAUUAAAUAUGAUCUAAACCAUUAUAACUACUUAGAAAAUCAAAAAUUUCAGCACGUUUCAAUAUUGUUCUUUUAUCCAAUCAAGUGAACAGAAAAAGAAUGGUUGAUAAAUGAAUAACUCUUUAAAAAUGAUAUAGGAGUCUUGUAAUCAAGAUCAAGAGUAAGAUCUUUGUUUAAAUAGUUUAAAGAAAUUUCUAACAAAAAUUCAAUUACCCGUUAAACGAAAAACUCCUCUCUAUCGACCAUUAAAAUUAAAAUUUGAAACCUUGUGAUCAUUAGUGCAAAUAUGUUCGAAAGAUUGGAAAUACUUGAUUUCUAAAACACUUCAAGGGUAUAGAUCUAUGUAAACGGAUCGGAUCGUCAAUUUGGCAAUUCUAUCAUUGAUAAAAGCUAAUAAUCGUAGAAAAUGGCUCGUUUACUACCGAUAGUAUGUACACGCAAAACUAUAAUAUAUAUAUAUAUAUAUAUAGUAUAUAUAAUAUAUAUAGUAUAUUAGUAUAUAUAUAUAUAUAUAUAUAUAUAUAUAGUAUUAUAUAUAUAUAUAUGAUAUAUAAUAUACUAGCUCCAUGCUUUUAGAAAUAGUACAAUUAUAAUUCCAAUUCUUUAACACCGUAAAAAAGCGAGUAUUCCAUACCAACCUAUUAAAAUUGUCAAUUUGUGAAUAUUUUGAUCAUAAGGUAAUGAUGUAAAAAAUUAUAAAAUUUAAUUUUUUAUAAGUUUUAAAUGUUUAAGAUAAUGUUAUAAGGUAUGGAUCAUCAAUUUCAGAAGCUCUAUAUAUCGAAAACGACUUAUGAGUACAAAGCGAUCUUAUCAUAAUAUAGUAGCCGACUCUCUCUCUCUCAUCUUUCUAUAUAUAUAUUAAUAAUAUAUAUNNNNNNNNNNNNNNNNNNNNNNNNNNNNNNNNNNNNNNNNNNNNNNNNNNNNNNNNNNNNNNNNNNNNNNNNNNNNNNNNNNNNNNNNNNNNNNNNNNNNNNNNNNNNNNNNNNNNNNNNNNNNNNNNNNNNNNNNNNNNNNNNNNNNNNNNNNNNNNNNNNNNNNNNNNNNNNNNNNNNNNNNNNNNNNNNNNNNNNNNNNNNNNNNNNNNNNNNNNNNNNNNNNNNNNNNNNNNNNNNNNNNNNNNNNNNNNNNNNNNNNNNNNNNNNNNNNNNNNNNNNNNNNNNNNNNNNNNNNNNNNNNNNNNNNNNNNNNNNNNNNNNNNNNNNNNNNNNNNNNNNNNNNNNNNNNNNNNNNNNNNNNNNNNNNNNNNNNNNNNNNNNNNNNNNNNNNNNNNNNNNNNNNNNNNNNNNNNNNNNNNNNNNNNNNNNNNNNNNNNNNNNNNNNNNNNNNNNNNNNNNNNNNNNNNNNNNNNNNNNNNNNNNNNNNNNNNNNNNNNNNNNNNNNNNNNNNNNNNNNNNNNNNNNNNNNNNNNNNNNNNNNNNNNNNNNNNNNNNNNNNNNNNNNNNNNNNNNNNNNNNNNNNNNNNNNNNNNNNNNNNNNNNNNNNNNNNNNNNNNNNNNNNNNNNNNNNNNNNNNNNNNNNNNNNNNNNNNNNNNNNNNNNNNNNNNNNNNNNNNNNNNNNNNNNNNNNNNNNNNNNNNNNNNNNNNNNNNNNNNNNNNNNNNNNNNNNNNNNNNNNNNNNNNNNNNNNNNNNNNNNNNNNNNNNNNNNNNNNNNNNNNNNNNNNNNNNNNNNNNNNNNNNNNNNNNNNNNNNNNNNNNNNNNNNNNNNNNNNNNNNNNNNNNNNNNNNNNNNNNNNNNNNNNNNNNNNNNNNNNNNNNNNNNNNNNNNNNNNNNNNNNNNNNNNNNNNNNNNNNNNNNNNNNNNNNNNNCCUACGAGCGCUCGAGUGUAGGCCCAGUAUGGGUGGGGCCCACUUGGGACGGGGAGUGUUUUUUUUUCUUCUUUUUCUCUCUUCAAUUUUUUCUCUCUUCAUAUAUAUGGAAGAAGAUUUAUAAUUUUUUUUAGUCCAAUCUUAUUUUUUGUUUGUUAUUAUAAAAAUUUAAAAUAUAUAAAUAAUUUUAAAUAGUUUAUACUAUUUGUAUUAAAUAUAAAUUUUAAUUUUAUAAUAUUGAGGAUUUAGAUAUAGAUUGUAUAUUAAAAAAUAAGAGAAAGAUUAAUGGAGUUUAAGUUAAUUUUAUAUUUUAUAAAAUUUAGUUGCGAAAAUCGCAUGACAUAUACAAACUAAAUUUGUAGAGCUAAGCAUUACAUUUAGUAAUAGACAGGACUAUAUAGUAAUUAAUAUAAGUCACAGUGGGGUGAUAUCUUUUGCGCAACGAUUAUCGAGCAAUUAUGGAGAAAUAGACAGGACUAUAUAGUAAUUAAUAUUUAUUUUCAUGAAAGAACAUUUGUCUUCCCAACUCGUCUUGAAUAACAAUGUAAUAUUUUAUGACUUGUCAUUUAUAUACUAAAUAAUAUCUCUCGUUACUGUUGAUCUUUGUUGGGUUUUUUUUAAUCAUGUUGUGUUUUCUUCUUGUUUGUUGUCUCUUUUUGUAAAAAUAAGUAUCAUAUUGAUCUUCAUAAUUGAUUGUUUAAUCUAUUUUAGUUCAUGAUUGAUGUAUUGUUGUAAAUACAUGUUCUAUUAUUGUUGUUUUUAAAAUAACAAAUGAUGUCGUUGGUUCAACAGUGUAGAAAACUUCACUACAUAAAUGUUUAAUAGAAAAUUCUACUUAACAUCAAGAGUAAAACAAUACUUUCGAUUUGAAAUUUGAAUCUUUUAUUACUAUUUUUUAUGAGAUUUUUAUUUUCAGCUGUUCAUUUUGAAGCUACUCGUUUACUAAGCAAACGAAAUUAAAAAAUAUAAAAUUUGGAUUCUAAAUAGUUCUAAUAGUAUAUAUCAUACCUAACAAAGCCGAUUGUUUAAUAGAAUGUUUUAUCAUAAAAAAUAAUUUACAAGCACGGAGGUCUUCGUGCUUUUGAAAGUGUAGGAGUCUAACUGUUACGCCCCGAGACCCGUCUAUUUGGUCAGAUUCGGGCCCGCAAAUAGACCGCCGAACAGACAGAGUUUCCCAUGUACGUCCUAGGCGUCGCAAUCAAUACUAUUCGCGAGGUUCCAAUAAGGAACAGUAUUCAAGCAAGGAUUGCAUAAGGAAGUACCAAAAACAAAAAUGCAGCUAUGUUAUUACAAGCAUUCGUCCCAGGUUUUACAUAUUUCAUUUUCUUUUUCUUCUAAAUAUAAUCAAGAUUAUUACAAUAUUAUUUUUCUUCUUUUCUACACUCCAAGCUAGGCUGACUCGGGGUAUCGCUAUCUCUGGUCUCAGUGGUAGGGCGCUAUCUACGGAGCUACGCCCUUUUCUCGCGCCGCCGCGUCACUCGCGUGUGAACCUGUAAUCCCCAAAACAACGUGGGGUGAGAAAUAUUGUCCAUAGUUUCCAGUAGGUACGGCCACCCAAGGGAAGAGCUCGACCCACCAGGUCCGAAGGAGGCACUGCAAUAUGUUAGUCCAACAGAUAUCCAAUAGAUAUAUAUGCAAGUAUUACAAUACAUGUUAUGCCUCAAGACAUGCAAUAUGCAAAUGUAAAUCAUGCAAUCAACUAAGUAGGCUAUCCAUAAAUCAUGUCCAUUUAUAUCUCUUGCCAUUUUAUAUCAUUGGUCAUUUGCUCCGAAGGUUUCCUCUACCUUAGUCAAGCUAACCACCCGACUCGGCAUCGAGUCAAUCCUACUCGAAGUACCGCGCACUCUGCUGCAUCCACAAUCCAAUCAUUUACCUUGUUGUAACCCAAUCAUUCCGGCUUUACCCGAAGGUUAAGGCCUGACUCACAACCAAAUUCCUACAAUCGUGAGGACACGUCCGCUACACUCACCCGGGACCAUCUGCGGGGCAACUACGUCUGCCCCUACCGUGAAGUACUCCGGAGACCAUUGCUUCGGUGGAGCGACCACCGCCAAGCGAAACAGACGUAUGUGAGCAUGAUCCAAUCCUCCAUGCCGAGGAUACCUUACUAACUUGUCACGCCCCGGGACCGGCAGAGGCCCUCCCGGUAGCGCGCUCAGACCCACCAUAUGUCUACACAUAUAAGGCGUUUACAACAACAGCGGAAAUAAAGCAAGAGAUGAUCUACAACUAGAGAUAUCAGAGCAAGUACACAACUAUAAUUUAUGAUAAGAGUAGAUGGAACAACUAAGCAAUAAAGAGGAAACAUAAAGUUAUACAAUAACCAUCUCAAAAGUACACAAAAUGGGUGGUCUCUAUAACACUGGUACAGCUCUCAACCUCUCCAAAAAGAAACAAAGAGAGGUAGACCACCUAUCAAAGCGUUCUCGAAAGUAAGCUAGCUCGAGGCGACACCCUUUCUGCGGUCCCUAGCCUCUCCCGGCGUGGAAGGCUCUGAAAUAAAACAUAAAACCGAGGGCGUGAGAACUAUAAUUUAUAGUUCCCAGUGGGCAAUUGCUGACCUCAGCUUAAUGCACCACUAGGCCCCAAAAGAAAAGGAUAAGUACGAUAAGCCACGAUAAUAGUAAAAAGAUUGCAUUUAUGAAAGCAUAAUUAAAAUGUUAAGUUACUAUGUCGCAAAUAACCAUGAUGUCAAUAUAUUGUACAUCUACGUUAUUAAGAAGAAGUAUGUCCAAGUAUGACUAAUACGUCCCAACAUAACGAGCAAGUACGUAUCAUGAUCUACUAUAUCAAUAUAUGAUGAAUAUGCUCUAUCAUAACAACCAAGUAUACUAAGAUGCAACAGGCAAUUUAUUAAGUAUACAACAUGUCUCAACACUAUGCUAUAAGCAUGUCAAAGUAAUCCAACUACUAAUCCUAUCUAGUAGUGAUUGUUAUCUCCCGAUUAAAUGUCAUCGUUUCCAACAUGUUCUAGGACCUACAUAGUGUAGUCUAGCUUGUGCCACCUAAGUGUCGGUGGUAGCUCCAGCAUUCCCACUCUAAGAAUGAGUCUAUCCCUCCCGACCCCGUAGGUUUCUCGAUACCGCACGAGCGAAUAUAAGUCGUGUAGGCCAACUCCGGAGUGCCGGCUUGUAGGGAGCGACCCUCACAAGCAUGUGCGAAUGAGCACAAAUAGCAAACAAGCAUAAUCAUCGUCUCAAGUACCCAAUCAUAAUGUCUCUAACAUGGUAAUAGUCACUAGCAUCUCAAUGAUCUAGCUCUAGGUCACAAUAUGAAGUUUCAAUAUUUACUAAGUUUAGUGCCCCUUUAUGACACUUAGACAUUUCGAUGUACAAGCAUGUUCCAAUUCUCUCCAUGGCCCUAUCCACAAGGUUCACACAUAACCCGAGCUCAAUACCGCUUUAUGAUAUUAGCUCACAAUUUCACAUGUCAAUCUAGUCCAAUGCCCCUUUAUGGCAUUAUAAUAAUUCCAUGUCCAACUAGGGUUUAAGUCCAAUGGCACUUUACAUAGAUCAAUUCUACUAUAUAAACAGGAACCCAAGUCUACCAUAAGAAUGCUAAUGCACACAUAAGCCUCAUAUGCAAGUUCCCUACCUUAUAGAGGUCCAAAAAUACAAUGUAUGUAACAUAGGUAUUUUAAGCAUUCUAAAAUUCAUAAUAAAUACAUUUAUCAUGAAAAUGUAUGAAUUUCUACUUUACGAAGUAUAAAACAUCGGAUAUGAGAAUUUCUCAUAUGCUAGGCUAGGUUAAACCCACUGAACCGUCACGGAACCCUUCGUUUUGCCGAACGGAGUUGUCCACAAGUCUCUAAAUACCCUAAAAGUAAGGAGCGAAGAGAUAAACAAACGUUACGAACAACUCUAGGCUCAAACAUUAACCUACCAAGCAAAAGGGCCAAAAUCUCACCUAUAGAGAAAAAUCUCUUCCCAAGCUUCAAAAGAAAGCUAGAACCCUUCCAAUGUAAUCUAGAGGAAGGUUCUAAUCUAAGAGAUUGAGCUCCAAAAGCCCUAAAUCAAAAAGCCCCAAAAUCAACCCUAAAAUCCAAAUCUAGGGUUUCAUCUCCCAAAAUCUACCAAAAAUAGGUCUAGAGGGGAGAAAUAAGCAACUAACCUCAAGAGGAAAUCUAAACCAAGCUCAAAAUGCUUAAAGGUUGAAGAUUAAUCCACCACAAGGCUCCAAGUCUAAGCUCCAAGUCUCCAAAAGUGAGAAAUAGGAAAGAGGAAGAUGCUCCAAAGCUCCCUCAAGCUUGCUCUCCAACUUCACCUUCUUCUUCUCCUCCUUCUUCUCUCUCUAACAUAGGUGUGGGGAGGGUUGAGAGAAGAGAAAUGAGGAAGGGAGAGGGUGGAAUGGCUAUUAAGGCCAUCUAAAGUAACAAAAUCCAAAGAGGCCUCUCAAAUUCCCAAUAUUGCAUCAGCCCGGACUGGGCAGAUUUCGGACUGAGGGACCGGUCUCCCCGAUAUGGGACCGGUCUCUCGGCCUGCCCCCAAAAAUCCAACGUUCGGGAACCGGUCUCUCCCCGCAUGGGACCGGUCUCUCAAACCCCUCACGCAAAACACGCGUUCGGGAACCGGUCUCUCCCAGCUAGGGACCGGUUGCCUCAUGUCCUGCCGCAGCACUGUUCUGAGGGGACCGGUCUCUCCUAACAGGGACUGGUCCCCGAGAGUAAAAAACUCUCAGGACUCGUCCAAAAUUUCGAUUUUCGAAUUUCUUAGGUCGAAAAAUAUUCUACGACCCUCCACUAAGUGUGGAAAAGCUCAAAACACAUUCAAUCACUCGAACCUCGCAAUUGGCACAGGUCAAUCCGAUGUUACUUUUUAUCUCGCUAUCCAUAGAUCAUGUCCAUUUAUAUCUCUUGCCAUUUUAUAUCAUUGGUCAUUUGCUCCGAAGGUUUCCUCUACCUUAGUCAAGCUAACCACCCGACUCGGCCUCGAGUCAAUCCUACGCGGAGUACCGCGCACUCUGCUGCAUCCACAAUCCAAUCAUUUACCUUGUUGUAACCCAAUCAUUCCGACUUUACCCGAAGGUUAAGGCCUGAGUCACAACCAAAUUCCUACAAUCGUGAGGACACGUCCGCUACACUCACCCGGGACAAUCUGCGGGGCAACUACGUCUGCCCCUACCGUGAAGUACUCCGGAGACCAUUGCUUGGGUGGAGUGACCACCACCAAGCGAAACAGACGUAUGUGAGCAUGAUCCAAUCCUCUAAGCCGAGGAUACCCUACUAACUAGUGAUAAUCAAGUCAAGAUAAACACUCGAGAGAUGGUAGGGAGUAUUCUAGAGAGAGAAAGGGAGGGUUUCUCUCGCCCUCUUCUUGUACGUGUGUGUGUUGUGUUCGGCUGGGGAGGAAGAAGGAAAGGGGAAGAAGCCCUUUUUUAUAAGUCAACACCCCUCAACAUUAACAAAAUUUUCAGUUUAGCAGUUCAGAAUCUGAUAUUUCUCGCCGGAGCCUUUCUCAAUGUCCGUUUCAGCUCAACUUUGAUAGUCAGGCUCGGUUUAACUUAACAAGAAGAACGAAAUCUUAACUUCUCAGUUUCGAACCAUUUUUUGUCACCGAAAACUCUACCGACUAAAAUCUCUAGCAGAUAGCAGUCGGAUUUUAUUUUUCACUUUCCUGGUAUCGGAAUGACAUGAAAUUUUAAAUCUCGCCUCAUAACAAUAAUUCCGACAUAUUCUUCAAUUUUUAUAAUUUUCUCCGACUGCUAUCUGCUAGAGAUUACAGUUCAGUAGAACUUUCAGUGACCAAAUAUGGUCCAAACUGAAAAGUUAAGAUAUAUUCCGUUUAUUUAGCAAAAAUCGAGCCUGACUGUCAAAUUUGAGCGAAAACGGACAUUCAGAAGGGCAGACGAAAAGUAUCUGUACUUGAGCUGCUAAAUUACUGAAGUGAAUAGUGUAUAAAAGGGGGGUUUUUCCCCUUUUCUUCUUCUUCCCAGCCAGCAGACCACUACCCCCACCUCACACGCACCAUGGUGAGGGAAAGAGAAAGUCUGUCUGUCUCUCUCUAGAUAUCUCUCUUCUCUCUCUAGGUUUCUCUCCCAAAGUUGGAAUUUUGGAGGAGAUGAUGUUGGAGAUAAAGUUGGAGCUCUCCAAUGGUGAAGCAAGCUUUCCAAUGGUGGAUUUAGCUUAAUGAGCAUGGUGGCCUAAGGUGACAUCUCAUGAUUUAAGCUAGGAUUUCAAUUAAAUCCUUUAUGUAUGAGGUUUUAAUGAUCUCUAAUGUGAUGUUAGCAUGUUAAAUCCUUUAUAUUUGAGUUAAUUGGAGCAUGUGUAGAGGCUAGGUUUAAAAUGGUGGAUUUCUAGGGUUUGAAUUAUAUGCUCUAGAAUUGGAUUUAGAGGAACCCUUAGUUGCUAAAUAGAUGACUAUUGCAUGAAUUAAGAGGAUAUAUGAUGAUUUCUUACAAUAGUGCAUCUUAGGGCUCAAAAAAUGGAGUUUUGCUUUGUGUUAGGGUUUGAUCUAAAUUAAAAUUUAAUUGCUAGGUAUACGAAUGCGUUGGCGAAGUCGGUUCGGCGAUUCGUCGAGCCUAUAUGAAGAUAUUAAAGAAACGAAUGUUUCGGCUUUUUUUCCGCCUGGAGGGCCGAGGCGAUGUCCAAAAAUCACGAGAACGGAUCCGGAGCAUCGUGGCGUCAAGUUAUAGACCUUAAAUUUUCGGAUUAUGGAUUGGUGGCCGUUUGGUGGUCGAGUGCGAGUUUGAGCCGAACCGGACAGCGGGUGCCCCGGGAGCCCGAUUACAAGUGACUACAAGCAAUCGGAGAGCGAUAUUAAGUGGGUUGUGCUCUACCGAAGCGAUUAGGUCGCUUCCAUGUCAAAGUGGAGUAUAGUUUCCUAAUUGAUGCAUAUAUACAUAAAGGUAGUUAAUUACAAUGGUAGUUGAUUGUAAAGUAAAUAAUGGCAUGAGCUAAAUGCUAAAUGAAUGUAUAAAGUAUAUGCUAAUAAUGAAUGCAUGUGAUAGAUGCUAAUGAAUGCAUGAGAUUUAUGUUAAUUAAGAAUGCAUGGGGCAGAGGUUAAAGAAUGCAUAAGAUACUAAGUAUUGACUAUCUUGGAUGACAAAUAUAUGUAUAUUGACAUAUUAUGGAAUAUGUUCGGUGAAAGUAUAUGCAUGUUAGCAUUGGGAGAAAUAUGCUAGUUGGUAUAUGCAAAUGGAAUAUGCAUGUUGACACAUUAAAGAAUAUGCUAGAAAGUAUAUGCAUGUUAGCAUUAUGAGAAAUAUACUAGUUGGUAUAUGAAGAUGAAAUUAUACAUAUUGGCAAGUUGUAAACUGUGCUAAAAGGUAUAUGCAUGUGUAAUAGAGACAUUGUGGCAUUUGACAUAACAAUAAGAACUUAGAGACAUUGUGGCAUUGAAACCUAGUGUAAAUGAACAUAGGUGAAUCACGAGUGGCAAUGAACCUAGAGUUAAAUAAACCUAGGUGAGUAGCAUGAAACCUAGUGUCAUUGAACAUAGAUUAAGAAUCAAACCUAGAGUCAAGUAAACCUAGGUUAUAAAUAUAGUGACAUUGAACCUAGAGUCGAAUGAACCUAGUAAUGAACCUAGGCUAUGAACAUAGUCGCAUUGAACCUAAUGUAUUAAACUUAGGUUGGGUAAUGGCUUGGACCUAGAUAUGUCGAUACUAUAGGGUGAGACCAACCCUAGAGUUAUGAAAAUAAAUUACGGAAUCUCGGCUGCGAGUGCAGCGGCUGCGAGUGCAGCAUAUGAGCUCGAUAGUUCUUGGCCGCGGGUGCGUGUGGCAUAUUCCUCUCCCACCAGAAGAACUUCGAGGAUUGUGAUUGAGCAAGAUUCUUGGCCGCGGGUGCGUGUGGCAUAUUCCCCUCGCACCAAAAGAAUCUUGGAUUGCUAGGGUGCGUGUGGCAUAUUCUUCUCCCUAUCGGGGGUCUUGGGCCGUGGGUGCGUGUGGCAUAUUCCUCUCCCACCGGGAAGAUCCCUAACCACGGGUGUACGCAGCUCUGGGCGACCCGUUGGGCGAUGUGGUUUGUGGAUUGAAGGCUGAGGUGCAUGUGAUAGUUCCUUCACUUCGAGCUGGACAGAGCGCGGAUUAUCCGCAGUUGAUUGACUCAAGACCGAGUCGAGUGGCAUAGUUUACUAAGUUAAAGUAAACUUAGGAAAGAAUGGUAAAUGUGUAUAAUAUGGCUAAGGUGUGAGUACCCUUAGUAAAUAAUAAGGAAUAGAGUAUGGUUAAUGCUAAAGUAUAGUAAUAAUAAAGAAUGUCAAAGAAUAAAGAGUUGCUAGUAGUAAAGAAUGACAAGUGGUAAAGAAUUGCUAACAACAUAAUGAAUGGUAAAUGAUAGAGAGUAGAACCAAUUAAUCUACUUGCAUGAGUUGCAUGAUUUGUAUAUUGUAUAUUGUGAGGCAUGAACAUGAUAAUUGUUAGUUGCAUAAAUUAUAUAUCUGUGGAUAUUGGUUGGACUAACAGGUUUGCAGUGCCUCCUUCGGACCUGGUGGCUCGAGCUCUUCCCUUGGGUAGCCGUACCCACUGGGAACUAUGGACAAUAGUUCUCACCCCCGUAUUAUUUUUGGGGGUACAGGUUCACGCGCGAGCGGCGCGGUCGCGCGAAGAAAGGGCGUAGCUCCAUAGAUAGCGCCCUACCACUGAGACCAGAGAUUGCAGUACCCUAGGUCGGCUUAACUUAGGGCAUUGAUAGGAAAGAAACCAAGUCAGAACUAAGUUGUAAUAAUCUUGUUAAAUCUAGAUUGUAUUUGGAAGCUAUAAAGAGAAUUAAAGAUGUAAUAUGUGAUGUAAAAUGUAUGUGAGUUGAAUGCUUAUAAUAACAUAGUUGUAUUUAUGUUUUCGAUAUCUUCCUUAUGCAAUCUAUGUUGUAUGCUGUUCCUGGUUGGAACCUCGCGCAUUGUUUGGAUUGUGACGCCUUGGACGUACAGGGGAGACUCUGUCUGCGGUAUAGGUGAAACCCUGUCCAUUCGGCGGUGUGUUGGCGUGCCCGAAAGCGACCAAAUAGGCGGGCUCGGGGCGUGACAAUCUAGGUGAAGAUCGCCUACGCGGUGCCAUCGCGUUCUGAAACAUGACACUUGAUUAAUCCUCGACUCUCUGGGUCGAACACGAGACAAUUAAUAUCGACUCAAAUCGGACGAAAGUCACGCAAGAGCGUCUAUUUUCAUCACUUGGUUUCAUGUUGUCGCGCGCCAACAAGAACACCCUCGGUUGAGAAUACACCACACCUUGAGUCUACCUCUAACAUCCGUUUUAGAGGUUUACGACAUAACCCAAUCAAUUAUCCUUUCGCCACAAAUCACAAGUCCUCGUCUCUCACGAGCCUUAACCUCUAUGGUUUACUAUCCUAGGGUCUCCUAGGUCCAUCUAAAUAAUUUUCUAUUAUUCUCUUUAUGCUCUGAUACCACUUAUCUGUCAUGCCCCGAGACCCGUCUAUUUGGUCGGAUUCGGGCCCGCAAACAGACCGCCGAACGGACAGAGUUUUCCCUGUACGUCCUAGGCGUCGCAAUCAAUACUAUUCGCGAGGUUCCAACCCGAAACAGUAUUCAAGUAAGGAUUGCAUAAGGAAGUAUCAAAAACAUAAAUGUAGCUAUGCUAUUACAAGCAUUCGUCCCAGGUUUUACAUAUUUCAUUUUCUUUUUCUUCCAAAUACAAUCAAGAUUAUUACAAUAUUAUUUUUCUUCUUUUCUACACCCCUAGUUAGGCUGACUCGGGGUACCGCUAUCUCUGGUCUCAGUGGUAGGGCGCUAUCUACGGAGCUAUGCCUUUCCUCGCGCCGCUGCACUGCUCGCGUUUGAACCUGUAAUCCCCAAAACAACGUGGGGGUAAGAACUAUUGUUCAUAGUUCCCAGUGGGUACGACCACCCAAGGGAACAGCUCGACCCACCAGAUCCGAAGGAGGCACUGCAAUAUGUUAGUACAACAUAUAUCCAACAGAUAUAUGCAAGUAUUACAAUACAUGUUAUGCCUCAAGACAUACAAUAUGCAAAUGUAAAUCGUGCAAUCAACUAAGUAGAUCAUCCGAUGCUACAUUUUAUCUCGCUAUCCAUAGAUCAUAUCCACCAUUUAUACCUCUUGCCAUUUUAUAUCAUUGGUCAUUUUCUCCUAAGGUUUCCUCUACCUUAGUCAAGCUAACCAUCCGACUCGGCCUCGAGUCAAUCCUACGCGGAGUACCGCGCACUCUGCUGCAUCCACAGCCCAAUCAUUUAUCUUGUUGUAACCUAAUCAUUCCGGCUUUACCCGAAGGUUAAGCCCCGACUCACAACCAAAUUCCUACAAUCGUGAGGAGACGUCCGCUACACUCACCCAGGACCAUCUGCGGGACAACUACGUCUGCCCUUACCGUGAAGUACUCCGGAGACCAUUGUUUGGGUGGAGCGACCACCGCCAAGCGAAACAGACGUAUGUGAGCAUGAUCCAAUCCUCCAAGCCGAGGAUACCCUACCAACUAGUGGUAAUCAAGCCGGGAUAAACACCAAUCUCAAUCCUCAUAUAUACUGAGUAAUCACAUUGUCCAUAGCUAAUGCCACAAUGUCACAAUGUCUUUAGCUAAUGCCACAAUGUCACAAUAUCUUUAACUAAUGCCACAAUGUCACAAUGUCUCUAUGUUCUCAUUGUUAUGUCAAUGCUAUUUCCGUUGCCACAAUGUUCAUAUUUUCACAUGCAUAUACUUUCUAACAUAUUCUCAUAGUGCCAACAUCCAUUUAGCAAUGCUAUAAUAUGUUAACAUGCAUAUUCAUCUAACAUAAUCCACAAUGUCAACAUUUACUUGAAUCCAACACAUAUUCACAAUAUGUCCACAUGCAUAUGUAAUCUAGCAUGAUCUCACAAUAUCAACAUUUAUAUACCAUCUAGCAUAUUUUUCCUAAUAACAACAUGCAUAUUCUUUGUCAUCCAAGGGUAGUUAUACAUAUCAUCUCAUGCAUUCACAUGGCAUCUACCUAUACAUUCAUCUAGCAUUUAAUUCAUGCAUUCAUCUAGUAACUACCAUUAUAUGCAUCAACGAGAAACAACACUUUACUUCGAUAUGGAAGUGAGCUAAUAUCUUCGGUGAGCACAACCUACCUCGCAACGCUCUCCGAUUGUUUGUAGUCACUUGCAAUCGGCCUACCGCGGCACUCGUUGUCCGGUUCGGCUCGAAUCCGCAAUCGAUCACCGAACGCCCGUCAAUCCAUAACCUAGGGUCAUCAAGGGCCUUCCUCUAACCUUCAAUUAGAGGAACCAAGGGUUAAUUUAAAUCAAAACCCUUAAACCCCAAAACACUCAUCCCUAACCUUAGCAUGGCAUAAUCUCCAAUUAACCCAAAAAUCUCAUGGAGAAAACAUGCUAACAACACAUUAGAGACUACUAGAACACUAAGUAUUAAGGAUUUAACCAAAAUCCUAACACUUACCAAAUUGCGAACAUCGAGUCGAAAGCACGCCGCUCAACCAGGCGCACGAAGACCCGAUCCGACGCUCCGCACACGUUCCCAAGCUCCUUCUCCACCAAGCCUCCAAUUUUGGGAGAGAUAUCAAGAGAGGGUAGGGAGAAUUCUAAAGAGAGAAAGGAAGGGUUUCUCUCUCCCUCUCCUUGUUCGUGUGUGUAUUGUGUUCGGUUGGGGAGGAAGAAGGAAAGGGGAAGAAGCCCCUUUUUAUAAGUCAACACCCUUCAACAUUAACAAAAUUUUCAGUUUAGCAGUUCAAAAUCUGAUAUUUCUCGCCGGAGCCCUUCUGAAUGUCCAUUUGCGCUCAAAUUUGACAGUCGGAUUCGGUUUAACUUAACAAGAAGAACGAAAUCUUCACUUUUCAGUUUCGAACCAUUUUUUGUCACCGAAAUCUCCACCAACUAAAAUCUCUAGCAGAUAGCAGUCGGAUUUUAUUUUUCACUUUUCUGGUGUCGGAAUGACAUGAAACUUUAAAUCUCGCAUCAUAAAAAUAAUUCCGACAUAUUCUCCAAUUUUCAUAAUUUUCUGAUACUGUGAAUUUUCGGCUAAAAGAUCAUCCCCGUUUUUUACAGAAAUUCUAAAUUUUCUGUUUCCAUUCCAAUUUCAAUUCAAGUCAUUUUCGACUUAUAUUUUACUUCUUUAAGUCCAAUAAAAAUAGUAUCUUACACAAUUUUUAUUUACACUUAUUUUAUAUUAAAAAUCCGGUACAUUACACUAACUCUACAUAUAUGUACUAUUUAUGUAAAUAAUUAUGUUUAAAUUUAGGGUUAUAACAGCUCAAAAGAUAAUCAUUAAGGACGAAAAAAUUACAUGAACGGAAGAUAAUUACCGUCCUAUGCUAACUCAACUUUAUUGCUACAUAUGCACGUAUCUCCUUGAGGCAACUGAUCGUUAGUGAUCAAUCUCCACUCUCUUCCAUGCUUCACAAUUAAUCUCCAUUUACAUAAAUUCUCCGAUUACAAAAUUUAAUUGAAUAAUGUAAUCCCUCUUUCUCUUGUCAAAGGGAAAAUGUAGAAGCAACCAAAAACAUUUUAAUUAGUUAAGAUGAUCAACCAUGCAUUCAUCAAUAUCGCUCACUGGACUUUAGUUGCAAUAUAUGUUAAAAUGGUUUGUAGCUGGUCUACAUAUCCAUGAAUUUCAUAUACCGGUAGUAGAAGACUUUCAGCAUCAUAAAUGUGCAAUGUACCCUGAGGAACAAUUAAUUUACAGAAACAAAAUGCAUAUAAAUUACUUUAGAUGCUUCCAUCAUUUUAUCAUGAAGCAAAAAUUUUACUAAGAAAUAAACUAAUUACACAAGAAGAACAUACCGAGGAGUGUAUUGUCACAUUUCGGAGUCCAUUUUUGGCUAAAAAGAAUAGCGGAAGUGUCAAAAAAAAAAUUUUGAAAUUUUGACUCCAGGAGAUGACAGACCCGCCACAAAUAUAAGAAAUUCACUGUUCACGCGCACAGAAUCUCCUCUAUAUUUGCAUAGCGUCGCAUAAGUACAAGUUACAACCACGAUCAUCACAAAACAUAAAUACAAUCACCACAUCACAAGAUCAUAAAUUACAUACACAUCUAUCAUUUGAAAGCGUUUUUCACUCAGAAACUUAUUUUGAAGUACUAGAAUAAAUAAACUGUAGAAAAUUAUUUUAAAAACUGUUUCCCACACGAAAACCUUUAUCUUUUAAAAACAAGCUACCACGAGGGGUAGAAAAUUAUUUUUGCAAAUCCACAUUAAAGCCACAACUCUGUUCAUAUUCAAACACGUACCAUGAAUGGAAUAAAGUCAAAUCAAGUUAAAUAACAUUAAACUGAACCACAAUUAUUUAAUCUAGGGUUAUUUGCAUACAGGUCCCUGCAAACAUAGUGAAUUGCAGAAAUAUCCCUGCAAAUUAGAAACUCCAUAAGUUGUCCCUGCAAAAGUGCAAUGUUAUGCAGAUAUGUCCCUGCUGUUAGAGUCUGUUAGAGAAAUUUAUUUAACCACAGUUAAACUACUUAACCAUGAUUAGUUAAUAGUGUGAAUUGACUAGUUUGCCCCUCUUAUGUUAUAUCCUAUUAACUUACCUAACUACUAUGGUGGGCCCUUAACCCUAGUUGAGUGGAACCAAACCAUAAGGAGAGCCCUCAGGUGUUCCGCCCGAGAGCCCGAGAAGAGCGACCGCGAUGCAAGGAGAGCGCCCGCGAUCGAGGAGGUUUAGUGCUCGUCUUCCUCGCGCAACAACGAGGUUCAGAUCAACGAGGUUUAUUGCUCGUCUUCCUCUUCCUCUUCCUAUUCCUCUUCCUCUAGCUUCAGAUCUACCAUUACUAGGGUUUUNAAAAGAGCAAAAAAAGAGUUAUAUGAUAUGUUGCAAUGGAGUGAUGAAUUUAUAGAGGAAGAAGAUGACCGUUAGGGUCAUUUUUGGGGACAUUUCUGUACAACUUUAUUACUUUGGGUUUUGGAGGGAUAUAUUUGUGAGGGCAAAAUGGACAUUUCACUUAUAAAGAACAAAAAUGACCGUUGGUAUUUUUGCGAGGAUAUUUUUGCAAAUAUUUAUCAGUUAGGGCUUUUGGAGGGAUAUAUUUGCAAGGGCAAAAAUGUCAUUUCACGCUUCAACUGUUAAAAAAUAAACAGUUCACUAACGGUUGUUGACCGCAGGGACAUAUCUGCAUAACAUUACACUUUUGCAGGGACAACUUAUGGAGUUUCCAAUUUGCAGGGAUAUUUCUGCAAUUCACUAUGUUUGCAGGGACCUGUAUGCAAAUAACCCUUUAAUCUAUUAUUCAAAUAAAAAGGGGUGAGACUAAGCCAAUGGUAACCAGACCAGGGAACUCUACUCUCGCUACGUGCGUGCCUCACGUCUUGUCUCGACUCGGACCUCCAAUGUCACCUGAAAUGGGGAGGGUGAGAAACCAACAAAAGAUCUCCCAGUGGGUACCGCAAGCCGAUAAAGGCGAGCGUACUCACUGGUAAUCAAAAAUUAACUAUGAAUAAUGAUACAGUAGCAAAGUAAAAUAGGAAAACAAGGUAUAUAAAUGUAACUACCGCUACUAUAUAUCAAUAUACGUCAACUGGCUGAUCAGUCCAAAGUCUCCAAUCCAGAAUCCGCCAUGUUGGUCCAAGGACCUCGGACAAGUGUCACGCCGCUCUAAUGGCAUAUAACCCUAGCAAAAGCUCCUGGGCUCAUGGGUUGGUGCUCCUAAUCACUUUUCCGAAAAAGAACACCAUUAUACGAGCAAUGGUGAUCGAUGCAAUAUGAUCAACAGCUGUUGGCAAGUAGCCAACAAUCAAAACCCACAGGGCAUGCCGACCGAAUACGUCAUCAAACACGAGAGUCAUAGAUCCGACCAACUAGGUCAAAAUAGAUGUCACAAUCCUCAGGUAUAACAAACAAUCCGCUCUACUUCUAUAUCGCAAUAUCAGAUAUGGAAGUAACUAAGUAGAGCAAAGAGUAAUGAAGUCAUAUGGUGCUAGGCUCAACGGACAUAAGAAAUGCAAGGAACGUAAAGAGAGAGGGUGGAGGAAACGUCACCAAGUGGGCACCACUAAAUCGACUUCGGUUUGAAGUACCCACCUGUAUCAAUGUCGCGCCUGUCUACGAACUAGACCAGAUCGUCAACCGGAUCUACGGAAGGUCCACCGGGUUAGUGUCCAAUCCACAUAUUCAAAAUACACAACCCACAACCCCAUACAUACCUAUCGGAUUGGUUUUCCAAAACCGAUCGCCAUAACUCGCCGAAAGUCCCGAAAAUCAAACCGGGACGCCGCUGGGACCCACUAAGUGUCCCAGAACUCGUCGACUCGUGCUACAAGUCACCUGCUACAUCAAAACACAUCGUCUUGGAUGUCCUGGCGGCAAACACAGGGUGUCACGUCAAAACGAUUAUCGUCGAAAAAUCGUUCUGAUCCUAAAGUGUCAAUUUUGACAACGAAACCCUCCGCCGCUCACUCGUUGUCUUCGACCUCAAGAAAUGACGAUAAUGACCAUCCAAUGAGGCUUAGCGGUAAAACCCAGGGUAUUACAACACCGUCGGAUAAAAUUCGAACCAAACCCACGUUCUGACGGGGAAUUUCACCGAAAAACACACCGAAACAGCCAGUCGACCUCCGUGAAGGGCUUCGGACCUUAGACGAUCAGUUCAGAGGUCAUCUACCAUGCAUACAUGCUGCCUGCAGCAGCUGUGGGGCUGCAUUUUGCAUAAAAGCCCCUACAAGUAUAAGUAAUUUCAACACUUUAUGUAAAUAGCAUGGUUUAAUGGCUUGUCACCGCUAACCGAGUAUUUCCAAGGUCAGCCGAGACACUGGCUGACAGGUCUUGACAAGACGAAGGCCGUGCUUGCUCUUUGGAGAAUCACGAAUUACUGCAAAGAGUGUCGAAGCAAGCUGAAGUUCAACAAAUCAAGCGUAUAGGGAGCGACAAGGCCAAAAACAGUGACUGGGGCCUCUCCGACAGAGAUUGAGUUGAGCACUGCGAUCAGCGGAUUCUCAGGAUCACUGUGCUCACUUUCAGAGAGUUUGGAAGGCCCUAGGAUCGCCAAAACAGCGAGGAGAAACCCGAAACAGCCUUAGUUGGCUAGCUGCAGGUAGGGGGGCUCACACAUGGCCAGCGGCGGCUCGACGGCGGCAGAGGGAGUGCGGCCGAUCGGGGAAGGUCGGUGCUCGCGCUGGUCAGCAGCGGGAAGCGGCUAUGGCUGCACUAGAGCAUCCCUAGCUCGCACAGGCUAGCCUUGGGUUCAGGCUUUCACGCCGGCCUCAGCAGUGGCCGGAUGCUUCGGGGCGGCGGCGAUGGGUCGCCUAAGGUCGGAGGGAGGCUGCGGGGGCAGUCCCGGGGGGCAGCGACGCGGGGGAGGGAGUGCGGUUGUUCCUCAGCUUGAGCCAGCCCAAGUUGGCCGCAGGGCUGUUGCAAUCGUGGCAGCGGUGCUCGGAGGUGGCGGUUGCGGGUGAGGAGGGAGGUCGCCGGGGAGGAGGGAGGUCGCCGGGGGCGCGGGGGUCUCUGAUGAGGGGCCCGAGGGGGAAGGGCACCUAGCUUGCUCUCAGCAGGGAUGGAAAGCAAGGAAAAGAAUGCAAUGCGAGGGAGAAGGAGAGAGAUGGCAGCUUUCCGGUAGCCGAGAGUAUGUGCCAAUGGCAGGGAGGUGCACGGCGAGGGCAGGAAUAGGAGGAUGGGCGGCUAGGGGGUUCAGCUGAGGGUGGCAAGGCUAGGGUUGGGGUUUGGAUCCAUGAAACCCUAAAGGCCAAAAUAUAUAUAAUGUGCAAAUCGCAUAUAACUCCUUCGAGUCGUACUAUUUUGUCUUGAGUCCCUCACAGCGUGUGUAAAUCGCACGCACACACUUCUAAGAGCGAUUUCGCGUAAUUCGGUGCAAAAAAUAUAGCGACUUUUGCGAAAUUCCAUUUUGCCAAAUUUGAUCCCUUCUCGGUAUUGCACGAUAUCGGGAGAUCCGUUCGUCAGAUUUGCGAACGGAAUGUGCCAGCGCUUCCAGCACUGUCGAAUCAUCGAGACCAUGAUUUUGUCUUGCCCGAAUUGGUCGCAGAUUCGCAACAGAACUCAUCCUCUCUCCAGUUCCAAACACAACACACAUAUAUAUACAUAUUAUAUGUAUAAAUCAAAUUUAAAUCAAAUUCAAAUUCGAAUUUUGAAUUUUUUUUAUUUAAAUGUCUCAGAUAUUACAUGUAUUGCUACUAAUAAUUCACAUAGCAAGGGUAAUCUCUCUAGCAUAUCCUCAUGUAUUGCUUGUUUCGGAUAUAAGUAAGAACUGCUUAUUUCAGCGAUAAGUAUAAGUUCAGGUAUAAGUAAGAACUAGACUAAUUUUAUUUUUGGAUGAAAAUUGAGUUGUUUUCGGGAAUAAAAAAUAGCGUCUGUAUAGAUAAGAUGGAAUAAGAACAAUAGUGGAUAGUUAUAAAUAAAAAACAAUGAUAUUACCCUCUCAUUAUAUUUAAAUUUGAAUUUUUAAAUUUUAUAUUUAUAUUUUUAAAUUUAAAAUUUUGACUUUUAAAUUUUUAAAAUUCAAAAUUAAAAUUUAAAAUUUAAAAUAUCAAAUUUUAAAUUUUAAAAUUUUAAAUUUUAAAUUUCAAACUUUAAAUUUAAGAUUAAAUUUAAAUUUAAAAAUAUAAAAAUAUUAAAUUUAAAACUUAAAAUUUAAAAUUUAAAAUUUAAAAUUUAAAAUUAAAAAAUUAAAAAAUUAAAAUUAUAAAUUAUAAACUUUUUUUUGAGAUUACAAAUUAUAAAUUUUAAAAAUUUAAAAUUUAAAUUUUAAAAAUAAAAUUAGGAGUGGGAAUAGCUGUUCCCACACUUAGCAGAGAUAAUAAUUUAAUAUUAAUUAAAUUAAUUAAUAAUUUAAAUAUAUUAAUUAGAUUAAUUAAUAAUUUUACACUAUAAUUAAAAUUAAUUAGUGUUUGAUUAAUCUUGUUCUUCGUUGUUCUAGGUAUAAGAGUGGAACAGUAAUUUCAGACUUAUACCGCAUUAUACUAAUUUAUACAGAUGUCUAAUAACUACUGUUCUCGGGUAUGAAAAAUAGCAUUUGGUAUAAAGAGGGGGAUAAGGGGUUAUUCCCCCUCCUUAUCCCUGAACCAAGUAGGGAAAGAGAGAGAAGAUCUAGGAGGGAUAAGCUAGGAAAAUAGAUUAAAUAAAAAUAAGAAAAAAAUGAUAUUUUACCUUCAUUUUAGUCUAAGUUGAGAUAUAACUCAGGUUUAACAUGAGAUGAAUUAACAGGUGCUAACAGUGAAGAUAGGUUUGAGUAGCGGAGAUGUUUAUAGAGCUAUUUUUAAAAUAAAAAUUUUUUAGAAAUAAAUUAGAGAUUUCAUAAGUUUUGAGAGGUGUGUAGGCGGUUAUCCUGUUAAUUUAAAUAUCACUUUUUCAAAAUAUAACAUUUCAAUGUUUUUUGCUGGUAUAUCUCCAAGUCUAAUAUAAUAUUUUAUUACUCGGCAAGUUAUUUAAUAUUUGUUUUCAUGAGUGUUGAAAAUUAUAAACUAAUUAAUGAUAAAAAAUGACAUAAAUUUUUACAGAUCUUUUCACUAGAGAAUUUAUGUUGCAAUUAUCCGGAUCUGAUCUUGGCUUGUUUACGAAUUUCUCAAUCCGUCUGAAAUCUGUCUCGGCAUCUGUCUCGGCAAUAGGGGUGAUAGUAAUUCUAAUUUGAUUCUAACUAAAUUCAGCAUAAAUAGAAAUUUAAAUAGAAUAGAAGAAUAAGAUUUCUCUUUUAGAUUUAUUCUUUAGCUUAUAUAGAGUAGGAAUAUUUUAGAUAAGGUCUAAUCAAUACAUAUAUUAAAGGCUCAGUUUUACUGUGGCCUACGUGGCGCUUUCUCGGCGCCCCCCGCUUGCCCCGCGUUGCGUGGGUGCUCCGCGCUCGCCCCGCGUUGCGUGGGUGCUCAGGAGGGGUGCGUGUCGCCCUACCCGCGUCUCCCGGACCCUGUCUCCCGACGCCGCGGGAUGUGGGGCGUUGCUCCCUACCCGUACGCACGGGCGCACGAUGUGGCAGGAGCCCUAACUUCCCCGGUGUGCACCGUGUCCCAACUCCUCUCUCUGCGGUGGCCGUCGCGGUACGCCUCCGCGUGUGCGCCGUACUCGCCUACCCUAGCAUACCCAUGGCCAUCGUCGUCCUUCUCCUCGCCGGCCUACGUGGCGAAUCCUCGGCACUAAAGAAAAAGAGAGAAAGAGAGAGAGAGAGAGAGAGAGNUGGAAUGCAAGAGGAACUUGUCCAUCGCUUUCCUUCGACACUUUAACCAAUUUGGUCGAAGUUCGAUUAUCGUUUCGGGAUUUCAAUACGUUACACCCCCUCUCUCUCCCCUCUUUUCCGCUGCUCUCUCUCGGGCUCGGCGCGCGAGCGGGUGGGAGCGGGGCGCCUGCGGGAGCGAGGGCGGAGGCGCUGGUGCGCGUGCGGGCGCGGCACGCGCCGGUUCGAGCCGGCGUGAGCGCGAUCCGGUGCGGGAGGGAGCAGCGGUUUUUUCUUUUCCCCCUCUCUCUCUUUUUUUUUCGCGACGUGCUCGGCGACAAGUUCUUCGCCGACUUCGCCCGCAUGGCCGACGACGAGAGCCGCCACUUCGCCUGGUGCUCCCAGAGGCUUGCCGAGCUCGGAUUCAGGUGAGAAGCUACUAUUUUAGUUGGAACAGAUUAGGUGUUUGGAUUGAAAAUGUAUGAAUCAUUGUAGUUUGAUGUUUUGCGUUCCAUUUAUUUGAAACUUAAUUAAUCUAGCUUAUAUAUAUUGCAAAAUUAAUUUGCUUUUCAGGCCACUAAGUUAAAGUGGUGGAGGGAAAGCUUGGUGUUCUUUUCCAUUUUGAGCCAAAUUUACUUUGUAAGGUUCAAAUUUUUGUUUUCCUUUUAGUGCAAUGUUCAAACAAUAGUAUUUAUCUUUUGUUCAAAUUUUUGUUUUCCUUUUAGUGCAAUGUUCAAACAAUAGUAUUUAUCUUUUCCUCCAAGUUCAGAUUUUUGUUUUUCGUUAGUAUCAGUUAGAUAAGCAAAAAUCAUAAAACUGUAAAUAAUUAUAAUCAAUUAUGGAUAGGAUUCGCGACGCGCUCUUCUCCGCGAUCUGCGCUCUCUCCGACCUUCUGCCGAGAUCUGCGACGGGAUGGGGUUCUAGCAAGGAUCUUCUUCUCCUCCUCCCCCUCCCCAUUGCGCGAUCGAUCAGAGAAGCUCGCGAGCCCCUGCUCCCUCUCUCUGGUGCCCGUGCCCUGAGUUGGAAUACGAUUAUUCUAUGCUAAACACUGCGUAUCUUGGUUCAUAUCUUCACUCCACGUAGGUAAGGAUGAAGUAAUCUGCUUCGUUAUGUAUAUGGCAUCAAUUGCGUCUCUAGCAAGUGUUCAUCUUUGAUCUGAGAAUGCAUGCUUGAGACACGCAUCGUCGAACUACCUACUGAAUCUGUUUCGAUACUAGGGCCUGUUCGGCCCUGCUGUAAUUUGCGGUGCUGUGUGACGAAGUGCUGUCUUAGCACAGUUAUUCGAAGAAGCAUCAUACUAGAAUAGAGCCAGAUUGAAGCUACUACUGUAUUUGAGGCUCAGAAUCUCAUUUCUGUUUCCUAUUAUAAUUGAAGCGCUAGAGUUUUAUCUUUGCGGAACGCUUUACUAAAGGACCCUGCUGCUGCUGCAAAUAGAACUAGAAGCUAGAAGUUGAAUUUGAUAUUAUAUGUGUUAGAAUAACAUUUUAUAGAUAUUUAUUUGAAGAAUCAAAUGAAAAUAUUCUCAAAUAUCAUCCAAAGAUGUUGAAAGAAUUCCUGGAAGGAACAGAGUCAGCUGGUUUCAUGUAUCCAAGGUAUUUAUCCAUAGAAUACCAAAUUUUGAUAUAGCCGAAAGGGAAAAGCGUUUUAAUCCAGAUAAUGAGAAGUGAACAUAUCCCGAAAUUAGUCCAAUUUAGUUAGUAAUUUAGUUGCCCGGUAUAUGUUUAAUCUGGUUUUACUUGGGUCUAUAUAUGAAUUCGGAGCUCAUAGAUCUCUCAUUUUAUUAAUUGAAUGAUUUCAUAUCUAUUCUGUACUAAAAAGUAUUAUUGGAGCUUGAAGUUAAAUUAUAAUCCUGGAAUCCUCAUGUUUUUAUGGUGUUACUCUAAGGCUUAAAUGCUGUGGAACCUGUCUCUGAGAUUAUUACUUGGCUACCCUUGAAUUUUUAAGUUGUAAGAACAAUCCUGCGAGAAGAAAUGUUGAAUUUAAUCUGUUUCGUGGCUUAAAUUCACAUUAAUUCAUGUUACAGUGCCGUUGAUCAGUUUAAAAAGCAGUUUGCAUACCUUGAAGAACAUUAUGGAAAUGGAGCUCUCUCCGCGUCCUCUCUCUGGCACCCUCUCCGACCUCCCUCUCGCGAGCCCCAAUGCCCUCUCCCUGGUGCUGCCUGUUCGACGAAAUGCCGAGGUGAUCAUGGGGCUCUCCGCGGGCAUCGGAGAGGUUUCUAAAGUUUGUCUUAUCCAAUUCAAAUUUGCAUGGAUGAGAACGCAAAACAAUAGUGUAAAAUAACUGCUUAUUCAAAGGGCACUAAAGGAGCAAAAAAACAAAUAUAUAUCUUCUUCAUCUUUGUACAUGCUAUUUGUUAAUUAGUGAUGUGGACACUAUGGAUGGCCUACUUUGCGGGCAACCAGUGCCUCUUAUCUGUGCUACGGGUGAUUUGGUUCUGACGCUACUAAGGCAAAGGAAAAAGAAGUUGCUGUGGAUCCGAUCAGUGCUGGAUAAAUGGGGAAGGCUUGAGCAAAAUGUAUGUAUCUUACCCGCCAAGCUUUGUUCUUAGUGUCGCUCUGUACUUAUGAAUAGACUAUUUCCAUCUAAAUUGACCUAGGUUAUUUUGUAUGGUUUUGGUUUUGGGUCUGGAAUGUUUGCAAUAUAUAUUUAGUUACUUUCUUACUUUAUUCUUAUAUAUAUUUUUAAACUGUAUAUCUGUAAUGCAAGUCUCAUGUAAAAAAAAUUCAGCCAUUCUAUGGUGCCUGUUUAAUUAUUGUAAUAUAUACAUUAUGAAAGUAUCCCAUUAAUAAGAUUAUUAUUAUUUGCAUAUAUAUGUUUGUCUUUCUCAUAGCUACAUGUUUUGUUGUCAUUCCAUUAAUUUAUAUUUCUUUUCAAAUUUUAAUUAAAAGUUUCAUUCCUUUUCUUGCCUGAUUUCAUUAAUACUCUGAUUUUGAGCUAAUUUUCUUUUUUUUUUUUAACUUCCUCUUCGCUUAUUUCUACCUAAUCUAGACAGAGCAUAUUUAAAAUAGUAUUGUUUUUAUUAUUUCUCAACUUUUAUAAUUUAUCGAAAUUAUCCGCAGCGAAGCACGGGUUCUUCACUCGUAUAGAUGAAUCCUAGCAACGAAAUUAUAGUUAUGAAAAAAAAAAGACUUUUUUUACAAUCAAAAUUAAACAAUGGUUGAGUUAACGUAACAAUUUUUUUUUUUUUCUUAAGGGUAUUGCUCAUAGGCCCACAAUCUAAAUUCCACCACAAACGAUCUACUAGUGAUAAUCGAAAGGUAAGGAGCACUUGACUAUAUAUGCAAUAAUUCUUCGUUAAAGUAGCAAUUUCAAAGUGCUUGACAAUGGAAAUGAUGAUGACAAUUAGGUUAGUAAGUUUUUCUUGAUAAAACUGUAGUCUCUGCCAUGCAUGCAGCAUAAAAUGUCGAUAGUGAAAAGUGGAUAAAAAUUUUAUAAGCACAGUCCCUAAUCUAUUUAGUUUGGGGAUAAUGCAGAUGGGCAUCGCGUGGCCCAUCCGAUGGACGCCCGUGGAAGGAACAAAAAAAUUCAUAUCCUGUAUUUUUAGAGAGAGAGAGAGAGAGAGAGAGCAACAGAGGAAGAAAGGAGGUGCCCAUCGGAUUAGGGACGAAGCUAGCACUCGAUUAUGAGGAAGACUAAAAUACAUAUAAAUCAAAAUUUUAGCAAACAAACAAGAUUUACUUAGUCAAAUUUUUGAUGAAAAAAUAUGUUGACUAAAUAAUUAGUGUAAAAAGGCAUUACUAUUUUUUUAUUUAUACUUACUUAACUUCUAAUUAUUUUAUUUAUAUUAUUUCACUCAAAUAACUUUAAAAUUUACUAAAUCUAAUAGUAAUUCAAUGAAUAAUUUAAUUUCUUAAUUUUUACUAAAUAUAAUUGUGAUAAUUGAUGACUAUUAGUUGACUAUUAACUUUAUAUAACCUUUAAUUUAAUUAAAUAAAAAGAUUAUCUAAAACAAUUAGAAGUUAUGAAGGUACUAAAUAAAAAAAUAAAAAUAAACUCAGAGUUGAGAGAGUAUUAUAUUAGUGCCAAUUUUUUUUAAAAAAAAUAAAUUAUUCAUCAUACUUUUAAAAUUAAAUAAAUAUAUUUUUUAAAUUUUUUAUAUAUAUAAUAUUAUUAUGCAGAUUAUAAAAAUUUGGGGGAGACCAUGGCCCCCCUCUGCCCUUGCAUAGCUCCGCCCCUAAGUUCGGAUGGACGGUGCCAAUAAAUUUUUUGUUGGUUAAAAGUGGGCAAAAGUUUUACGAAUAGGGUGGCAAAAAAAAUUUUUUUUUGAGGACAUUCUGAUGGGCGCCAUCAUGGCACCCAAGCCACGCGGGACACCAUCCUGGCUGCUCUGUCUCUUUCGAGAGAAGUGUGUUUUUUUGGUGCACCAUUUUUAACAUUAAAAUUUUAAUUUUUAAUUUUUUAAUUUUAAUUUAAUAUAACAGAUAUAUGCUUUACGAUAUUUAAAAUAUAUAUAUAAAGAAUUUUAAAUAUUAAAUUCUAAAAUUUUCUUACAUUUAUUUUUAAAAUAUUAUAAUAUAUAUUAUUAAAUUAUAAUUAAAAAAUAAAAAAUAAAAUUUUAAAAUAAAAAUAAUGUACCGGGUGCACCAAAAAAAUUCGGACUGCUCCCCUAUUGGGAGAGCAACAGGGGAUGGGCCCGCAUGACUCGGACGCCACAUGGCGCCCAUAUGGGAGUGGCCCGCAUGACUCGGAUGCCACAUGGCGCCCAUAUGGGAGGGGCCCAAACAAACUUGGUUGGAGCCAUUCCCCGUAUAAUUUUGGGAAAGCUUCGAAUAUCGUCCCUAUGAUUUUUUUCAUUUUCUCACUUUAAUAUCUUAUGAUUUAAAGUGUAUCAAUUUAGUAACCUGUAAUUUUAUUUUUAUCUUUUAAUUAUCGGGUUAGGGUUACUAUACUCUUAUGAAUAUAGACCCUCUUGUACCCAUAAAUUUUUAACCGUUGAUUGAUGGAAUGUGUGGUUAGGAUGAUGAUGGUCCCCACCUAGAAUAAUAGUGGUCCCCUAAGGUUGAGUGGGUAGUUGGUUGAAUAGAAUGAUCUAACAAGUGGAAAUGAUCAAUGAAAUAAAUCUAAAGGCCGAAAACUUAUGAGUAUAAGGGAGCCAAUACUCAUAAAAGUAUAGUAACCGGACUCUUAUAAUCGAUUUUAUUAUUUUUUUUUCGUUAAAUCAGUGAUAAAAUUAAAACUAAAUGGUACUAAAAUGAAGGCUAGGGUUACUAUCCUCUUAAGAGAAUAGUAGUACUUGUCCUAUCAAAUUGUUUUUUAUGAUAGAGAUUUCGAAUCGAUGAUCGGAGCCGUUGAAGUUGAUCUAGAGUAUUUGAAAUAUCUAGAAACUAAAUUUCAUAAGUUUUAAAAAUUAUUUAUAUGGUGAUCAAAGUGUCGUAAAAUCGACAAUUUUUUACGGCCUAUAUGAGCCGUUUGCUUGUUUAACGGUGUAAAGCAAUCCAAAUAGCUUGAAUUUUUGAUAGAAAAUUCUUUAUACUAUUUAGAUAAUGUUUGAUAACUCUGAUUAUGAAUUGUGAAAGUCUAACCUCUAUUUUAAGAAGGUUAUUCAUUUAUGACUGUUUAUUUUUCAACUCUUAAGAUGAACUUAAUAAUGAUUUUUAAAUAUUACAAAAUUUAGUUUCUAAACAUUUCUAAUUGUGUAGAUCAAUUUCAACGGUGUCGAUUAUCAAUUUGAAGUUUUGAUCAUUCAAAACGACUCGAUAGGACAAUGUCCUCAAUCCUAUUAAUAGGAUCGUAGAUAGACUCCUAAAAUAAAUAUUCGAUAGAUCUAGAUAUGGUAACUGAAGUUUUUUUAUAUAUAAUUUAACGAAAUAUUAACGGAGAAGCUUACGAAAAAAUAAAAAUAAAACUAUAAGACACUAACUUAAUAUACUUUAAAUCAAAAAAUAUUAAAGUGAAAAAAUACGAAAUCACGUAAUUGGAAGUUCACCCUAUAAUUUUUUGUGCUGAAAAGUGCGGUCAAAAGAAAGAGCAAUCAAUUGUGUUUUUUUCUCUCUUUACUUUGCUCCAUUUGUAGACGGACACUAUUUAGUAGUUGGCCUCUUUUUAGCGUUUGUCUCCUGCAGGCGCAUACCUCCACUGAUUGGUAAAAGAAGACCUCGGGCUACAUUGGAGGGAAAUGCUUCAGGAGCCACAACUAGGGCUGGCAAACGAGUGAGCCGGCUUGCGUUCGACUCGUGUUCAGCUCGAUAUUCGGCUCGUUCGAGCUCGACUCGAAAUUAAAUGAGCCGAGCUUGAACAAAAUAAAAUGCUUGAAAUUCAUUUCAAGCCGAGCUUGAGUAGUACUCGGCUCGUUCGAAUUAAAAUACAUUAUAUAUNNNNNNNNNNNNNNNNNNNNNNNNNNNNNNNNNNNNNNNNNNNNNNNNNNNNNNNNNNNNNNNNNNNNNNNNNNNNNNNNNNNNNNNNNNNNNNNNNNNNNNNNNNNNNNNNNNNNNNNNNNNNNNNNNNNNNNNNNNNNNNNNNNNNNNNNNNNNNNNNNNNNNNNNNNNNNNNNNNNNNNNNNNNNNNNNNNNNNNNNNNNNNNNNNNNNNNNNNNNNNNNNNNNNNNNNNNNNNNNNNNNNNNNNNNNNNNNNNNNNNNNNNNNNNNNNNNNNNNNNNNNNNNNNNNNNNNNNNNNNNNNNNNNNNNNNNNNNNNNNNNNNNNNNNNNNNNNNNNNNNNNNNNNNNNNNNNNNNNNNNNNNNNNNNNNNNNNNNNNNNNNNNNNNNNNNNNNNNNNNNNNNNNNNNNNNNNNNNNNNNNNNNNNNNNNNNNNNNNNNNNNNNNNNNNNNNNNNNNNNNNNNNNNNNNNNNNNNNNNNNNNNNNNNNNNNNNNNNNNNNNNNNNNNNNNNNNNNNNNNNNNNNNNNNUAUAUAUAUAUAUAUAUAUAAUGUAUUUUAAUUAUAUAUAGGUUUUAAUUUAAUUGGGCCAUUAUUGUUGGCCCAUAAAAUAAACCCAACAAGUAUAACCGUGCAAUUGAGCCCAACUCUAAAUUUACAUAACACAUUCUCUCUUUCAGACUUUCACUGUUGCACAUAACCCUAAAACAUGAUGACAUUCAAAUUUCUAAAUUCCUAAUAUUUUUCCCCCCUCUCUCUCUCUCUCUCUCUGGAAAAAUUUUAGAAUGCAACCGGUAUAUUGGUGACGUGGCGUAACAAACCAAUCAAAUAUCUCCUUUUAGGAGUAUAUGUCCCAUUAUGAUUAUAAAAAAAUAUUUUUAUUGUACUUUUGUUUGAAAACAAGAAAUAUGAUUGGCUUGUUAUUAAUGACGUGGUGCAAGUGUGACAGUGUAGAAUUCCUUCUCUCUCAGACCCUCACCCGGUCAGGCAGUCACCCUAGCUCACAUUUCUUGCAAUUAUUUUGUAUUUUUAACUAUUGGACAUGUUAAAUCAAAUUGUAGAUAAUAUUCUAUAAAAAUUAAACUAUUGAUUAUAUAAUAUCGAGAAUUUCAAUCGGCUUGUUUAAAGCUCGAGCUCGGCUCGACUCGAAAUUAGGCUCGCUUGAGCUCGGCUCGAAUUAAUUUCAAGCCGAGCUUGAGCCUAGAUUUAGGCUCGAAAUUAAUUUCAAGCCGAAUUUGAGCUGACUUAAGCUCACUCGAGCUUGGCUCGUUUCCACCCCUAGCCACAACCACAAAAAGGUUCCGAUCGAUGGGGUGGCAAAAUUUUAACAAGGACCUGAGGCUCUUCCAAAAGUUAAAAAAAAAAAGAGAAAAACUACAAAUACCACCCCUGUUGUUUCUUAUUUUUCACUUUAAUAUCUUAUAGUUUAAAAUAUAUUAAUUUAGUACUCUGUGGUUUCGCACUCUCUCACUUUAGUAUCAUGUGGUUUAAAGUGCAUCAAUUUAAUAUUAUGUGGUUUCAUUUUUAAUAUUUCGUUAAAUUAUAUACAAAAAACUUCAGGUACCCCACCUAAUUUUAUCGAAUAUUAACUUUAGUUCCCUUUAGUUUUAAUUUUGUCACUGACUUUCUUUUGCUCUGUUAAUAUUUCGUUAAAUUAUAUACAGAAAACUUUAGAUCCUCACCUAGGUUUAUCGAAUAUUCAUUUUAGUACUUUUUAAUUUUAACUUUGGCACAAAUUUAACGAAAAAAAUUAGUGAAAUAGAUAAUAAAAAUAGAAAAAUGAAACCACAAGAUACUAACUUGAUACACUUUAAACCACAGGAUACUAAAGUGAGAAAGUGUGAAACCACAGGGGCUAACUUAAUGCAUUUUAAACCACAGAGUAUUAAAGUAAAAAAGUGUGAAACCACGGGAGGUAUUUAGAAUUUACCCUAAGAAAAUAAUAAUAAAAUAUAUCAGUUACAUUAGUGAGCUGAUAUUUUCAACCCAUUGAAUUCUUUUUUUUUUAAUUUAUUAAUCUGAUCAUAAUUAUUAAAAAAAUCAUUUUUAUUAUAUAAUUUUUUAAAAAUAUAAUUAAGUAACUAUUAAUAAUGCGGCUUAAAUAUAAUACAGUACACCUUCUUUGGAUGCUACAAAAGGUUCUGAUCGAUAUCCUAGCACACAUGUAGCAGAACAAUUUUGAAAAGAGUACUCUCUCUCUCUCUCUCUCUGUCUCUCUCUCUCUCUCUCUCCACAGCUUAAGCUUUCAGCUUUUCAGAAAACUCCUGUCGUCGCCGCUGCAGAAACGCCGUGUCCGUGGCCCGGAUUAAAUGUACCGGAAAUAGUUUUGGAGAAAGUACUGUCUGUCUCUCUCUCCCCUCCCUCGAGCGCUAUCUGCAGCUUUAAUGAAACAUCUCAUCACUACAGUGAUGCGUCUCCGUGAGCCGUGAUUCUUCGCUCCGAUAGAGAGGAGAAAAUUAACAGUGAGCAAUUUUUUUUUUUUUUUUUUUUUUUUUUUUUUUUUUUUUUUUUUUUUUUUUUUUUUUUUCACAUCUAGUUUUUGUUUUUCUUCUACUGUUUCCUCAACUAUAUAUGACCAAAAAAAAAUAAAAAAAAUUCUGAUCCUUCCGUUCAUGACUGGUUAAUUUUCCACCUAUAUUUCUUAUCCCUCUUAUGCGCUACACGCCUUUGAGAUGAAGAGUCCUCAGUCUGUAGAUGUGCUCCUCAGAGCGGGUUAAGGUUCCAGCUUGGAUGUUGAAGAAUGGAGAGCAUCUUUGGUUGUAGCAAAGCCAAAAGUUAAUAUUCUUGCCUUGACAAGCUUCUUUUUUUUUUCUUUAUAUAAAUACUAAAUUUUCUUAAGAAUUUUGAGAACUCUUAAAUGCUGGAGUGUAAAUUCAUAUUAUCCCAUUUGCGGUAUACAAAUAGUUUUUUUAAAAAAAUCUGUUGUCGUUUCAUAUAAAUUUACUAGUUUGUGCUUAAAUGCUUAUGUGCUUAAUUUGGUGUUUAGGUUGGGGGUUGUUAUCUUUAUUUUUCUCUAAUUUUACUGUUAUUUGUUAUGAUGCGGAGAUAGCUUUUGUUCGCUUAAAUAGACCACUAUCCUACCCUGUGGAAGGAGGUCAUAUUGGGCGGAGUCAUGUUCGAAGUGGUGUGAGGCUGGUUGGGUUGAGUCACAAUCAAGACCCGUGGGCGCUGUAUUUGUACACUUUAAAUGAAUUGGUUGCGUAUUUUCUAACAAUUCAAGUUUUUGGGAUUAAUAGUUAGCUCUAACGAUCCGACACUUUUUGGGAACAAAAAUUUUGUGGGCAUUAAGCCGAUCGGUGCCGCGUGAUGUACGGGCGCUCAUCACGACCGCCCCUUUCCACCGCUGGCUUCUUUCGAUCUCUCUCUUAAAAAAUUGGAGCCCAUAAUUUUUUUAUUUUUUUAUUUCCGAGGGUUGCGAUGAGCGCCACACACCAUGUGGUGCCUGUCAGCAUCGUUUCCAAACAAAUUGUUUGGGAACAAACUGUUUGGAGACGAUGCCCACAAAAUUUUUGUCCUCUUUUUGGACCUUCUCAUUUUCUUUGUUUUAAUUAGGUUGCGGGGCAAGCACUUUUAGUUUUUUUUUUCCAUUUUACGUUUUAGUUUGGGAGUUUAUGUCUUCUCAUACAUUCUCUUUGCUUGGGUUGUGCUUUGCUAAAUAUAGAUUAUUUUGAAUUAGCUAUUUAAUUUUUUAAAAAUUUAAUUUUAUUACAUAAUUAGUAAAUUAUUGAAUUUGAGUAGGUCAACAGAAUUUUGAUUUUAAAAUUUAAACUGAUUAGUUUUAUUAAUAAAUUUAUAGUUGUGAAAAUUAUAUGAAGUAUAUUAACUUGUAAAAAUAAACGACGUAUUCAAAUUAUAAAAUUAAAGUAUUGUUGACUGAUUUAAAUCAAACAAAUUGAAAAAUUGAAUAGGAAGAACAAAAUUUUGAAAGGUUAGAUAACCGACUUAAAAUGGUUCAUACUUCAAAUAGAUUAUGUAUAUUUUAUCUUACACUUCAAGCUUUUCCCAGAUAUUGUUUUGUGAUCAAACUCUACAUUUAAGCAAAAUUCUAUGAGUAAAAGAAAAGCACGAGAAUCAUAUGAAAUUCCACUUGUAGAUAAUAGUCCAAAUUUUAAAAUUUUGCAAUUAACUAACUUUGGUCGGGAUAUAAGACGUGGGAUAACCCCUUAUAUCACCCCUUAUAUCCAAACACAAAAAAAAAGGAGUGGGAUUGCUAUCCCAGAAUCCCACACCAUUUAUAACCGUUAAAAGGUGGGAUAGCAAUCCCACCCCUUGUGCGGAAAUAGGAGUGGAACAACUGUUCUCACACCACUAUUUAAUUUUUUAAAAAUAUAAUUUUAAAUUUUAAAUUUUAAAAUUUAUACUUUAUAAUUUUAAAAUAAAAAUUUUAAAAUUUUAAAAUAUUAAAUUCUAAAUUUUAAGUUUUAAAUUUUAAAUUGAUAUUUUAAAUAUUUUAAAUUUAAAAUUUGAUAUUUUAGAUUUUUAAAUUUAGAUUUAUUUUAAUUAUAAAAUUUUAAAUUUAAAAUUUAUAACUUUGAAUUUUCAAAUUUGAGAUUUAAAAAUUUAAAUUUAAAUUUCAAAAUUUUGAAAUUUAAAAGUUAUAUAUUUAAAUUAUAAAUUUAAAUAUAAAAUUUUAAAUUUUAAAAUUCAAAUAUAAUAUAAGGUACAAUGUCAUUAUUUUCUAUUUAUAACCAUCAAUUAUUCUUCUUAUUCCAUCUCAUUUAUCCAAAUGCUAUUUUUCUUAUUCGCGGGACCAACUUAAUUUUCAUCUAAACGUAAAAUUGGCCAAUUCCAGACUUAUAUCUAAACUUAUACUUAUCCUUGGAAUAGAUAGUUAUUGGUCUAUUCCAGACUUAUAUCUGAAUUUAUACUUAUCCUUGAAAUAGAUAGUUAUUGCUUAUACCCGAACCAAACAAAAAAAUUUAAUGUAACUAAUAUCAGCCAAAAUAUCAAAAAAAAAAUGUAACUAAUAUCAGCCAAAAUAUCAGCAAUACAGAAGGUUUUUUGACAUUAAAAUUCAAUUUUAUAGUAUAAAAAUUAAUCUUUAGCAUUUGAUUUUUACAAAUUAAAUAUAUUAAUUAUGGUCAAUUUUAUCUUAUGGGAGUGAUUUUGGGCAUUAAGAAUGCUUAUUUGUAUUGCUAGCAUGCAUUCUUUUCAUAUUUUUUUUGAGAAAAAAACAUUUUUUACAUAUUGGUUCUCGACAAAUUGGCUUAUGUUAACCACUUUACAUUUAUGAAAUACAAAUCUAGUUGGUUAAUUACAAAAUUUUAUAAUUUGGAUGGUAAAUAUAAAAUUUUUAAUAUUUAGAUGGUUAUUUGCAUAUAGGUGAAAGUUGAGAUGAUUCUUAUUUAUUUAGCCCAUUUAUGAAACAAUUGAACUAUGCAUUAGCCAAUCAAAAAAUUUCACAUUAUGCAUGCCGAUAUACUAGCGGUACACUAGAACAAUAUUAUGAGACUUGAAUACUAUAUAUGCAUUUAGCGGUACUCAUUUAUACGGGAAGUAAUAUUAGCUUUAAUACCAAUUAUUGAAUCCGGUGUUCACACUAAUACCACUUUUAAAGCCUAAUAUCAUAAAUACUGAAUACCAAAUUAUAGUAAAAAAUAUGUAGAAGAGAUUCUAGAGGAGGAAGAUCCCUAAGCAAUAAAAUGUUAGUAUUUAUUUAAUUUAAGUGAUUUAAAACUUUCUUUCGGCCCAUGGGCUUUCCGGUGGCCCAACAAUAAAUAACGCCUACUUGGGAGCCCGGUGCAUAACCUACUACAUGUAAGUUUAGUUCCACAUUAGAAAUUUAUGACACAUAGCAGUGCCUUAUAUACUCCAUCAUCCUGAAACUAGUUGUUUGUGAUAAUGAGAUUAGUAUCAUCCACAAAUCACACGCGCGUGCGCACAAGUCAGUCGGCGGCGCGGUCUUGGCUACCUGGUAGGAGCAUAAUGCGAGCCGGCCCGGCACCGCCACCCGGGCCAAACUCGGGCUGGGCUGUGCCGGGCCAAAUUUUAUGAAUGCCCUGCCCUCCGGCCCGAAUGGCACAGGCUUUUUCGGGUCAACACAUUAAUUUUUUUUUAAUUUUUUUAAAAAUAUACAUGAUAUUUAAAAAAUAAAAAUAAUUAAAAUGGUUUUCUUUUAUAAUAUGUUUGCCGAAGAAAUAAAUUUUAUUAAAAUAUUUAUAAAGUAAAAUUUUUAAAUAAUUUAAAAAUUUUAUAAAAUUUUUAAAUUUUAGAAAAACUCUUUUUGUAGAAUCUAGGCCAUUUUUUUUCUUACCCUUGGGAGUUGGGGUGCCAGGUUUGCUCCCGAAGUCCCAAGAUCCAGUUUGGGGAGUUAGGCAUGGCUACCCAACCCUCCAAGGGCCACAGGAGUCCCAAGGCUGAGUCGUGCCGACACAUUAGGCACGGGUCAUGUCGUGUUGGGUUGCAGGCCUAACUGUUGGCCUAACACGGUCCGCCAUGCCGUGUCGAGUUGACGGGUUCAGUUGGAGCGGCGCAGCACGACCCGUGAUGCUGGCUCAGGCUGGCCCGACAAAAGUUCUACGGUACCCGUGCGGGCCGUGCCUGGCCCGGCCCCUUUUUCAUCCCUACUACCUAGAGAGACUGCUGAAAGAGUUCGUUGGACCCUACCUCCUAUUAGAUGUCGACACGGUUAUUCUCAUUGGCUCCUAUCUGUAUAUAGGAGAGGGUGCAUUGCUGGUAAUUUGAGAGUUUUAUAUCUUCUUACUCAUUGGCUGUAUCUCUGAAAGUCUAUUUGAUUUUACAUAUCUUUUUCGUGGAUUUAGAAGUCUAUUUUAUUUUACAUAUUUCUUCUUGGAUUCCUGAAAGUCUAUUUAGUUUCUCGCAUGUAGAGGAGUAAUCUUCUAUUAUUAAUUCUUGCAUGCGUUUCUAAAUAGUUGUUUAAACUUUGUGAUUAAAAAAUAUUUUAAAAAGAGAUAUAUUUUUGCUAAAAGAAAGACAGAUUUUUCUAAUGUAAAAUAUUUUUGUUAGAAAAACAAAUCUUACACAACCUGGCUCUUCAAAACCACGCACACGUAGUUAUAAGAGAGGCUCACUCCGAAUUAGAUUUGGUCUAGCACCUGCUGUACAAGCUUAUAUAUACCUUUUCCUGAUUAACCAAGUUAAAAUUAGGUACUUACAUAAACAUAAAAUUCUAAACAUAAUAUAUUGAACUCUAAUUUGGAUAAACUUUAUCUGCAACCAAAUGUUUGAGUAAGUUUCGGUUACUAUUUUCAAAAUACUCCCUUAAUUCAAACUUUUCCUUUAAACCGUAGAGUACUUGAAAUGCGGUUGGAUUUCUCAAUCCCUCUCGCAGUAUAGGUUUUGCCCAUUCAAUGAUCUCGCCAUUCAUAAAAUCUCAGUUAACCGAGUUUCCUUCCUGAGCUACAAAACUGGAUUAAUUUGAUGCAAUACCUGGUACAAAAGUUGACUCUUUAUUAUAAAAGAGGUCAUAUUAAUUGAAUCUGGGCACAAAAUCGAAUUAACAAUAUCUUUCAGAAAACGAAAUCGAAGAUUUUAAUGUUGACCAUGAGUCCAAGAUGGGCUAAGGAUUUUAAACUUUGAGAUCAAAUGUAUGAGCGAGCUGGUAUCCUUCUGGAAGCACGGAGUCUUCCGUGCUUCCAAGUCGUUUUCGAUGUUGGACUUUUGAAUUGACGAUCUAAAAUUUAGAGUUGAUCUAGAGUAUUUGAAAUACCCAGAAAAUAAAUUUUGUGAUUUUCGAUAUCAUUUGCCUAGUGAUCGAAGGGGCUCAAAAUCAACAAUUUUAAUGGUCGUGGUAAGCCGUUUGCAAGUUUAACGGCGUAGAAAUAUCCAAAACAAGUAAAAUUUUGAUAGAAAAUUCUUUAUACUAUAUAAAACAAGUUCAAUAACUUUGAUCUAAAAUUUUAAUGUCAUAUCAUUAUAUUUUGUAAGAUUUUUAUUUUCAGCCGUUGAUUUUGAGCCCCUUCGAUCAUUAGGCAAAUGAUAUUGAAAAAUCACAAAAUUUAUUUUCUAGAUACUUUAAAUACUCUAAAUCAAGUCUAACGAAGCCGAUCGUCGAUUCGAAAGUCCGAAUAUCGAAAAUGAAUUGAAAGCACGGAGCGCUCCGUCCUUCCAGAAGCAUACCAGACGCACUCCAAAUGUAUACCAAAUAAACUUAUUUAGACUACUAUUUAAUUUUCUAGGAGUAAUUAAUUAACAAGAGUUAUGUGAGAUUUUAUUCCCAUUUGACGGACAGGCCCCCAAUGGAGGCCUAUCUCUCAUAUUGACAUAAAUGGUCUGGGCCUUCUUAAUUUCUCGAUCUCUCUUUCUCUAACAUCACACACUCGAGCACAAAGAGGUGGGUGGAGAAGUUGUAGAACUUCUUACUAGUUCUAAUUUAUUCAGUUUUAAUCAACAAUUUAAAAAUCGGGUCGAAUUGGUUGGUUUGAUUUGGUACAUGCAUAACUCAGCCUAUAAAAUGAGCUGGAUAAGUCAAAAAUUCGUUUUGAAUUAUUCGAACCGGCGGUUCAACUAUUGAAUUGGUCAAUCGGUCUCGUUUUAAUCAAAUAGCUUAAAAUCAAGCUAGCUAAUUUUAUUUUCUGUUAGCAUAAAUUAGCAUUAAUGUAACGACCAAGCCCAUUAGCAACAAUAACUCGAUGGGCCCAAACACCGGUCCAAAAUGUUUAAGCUCAAUUAUUAUUACAAGUGUCUAAGUCUCUUAUAUACUUAAUAACAAUUUUAUUCCCAUCCGAUGAACUUUGAAAAACUUACACCUACUUAAUGUCGUCUAGAUAUCAAUAUUUUAUAAUUAAGUACGAUACGAUAUUAGACAACACAAAAAUAAACACACACACACACACACAUAGUUCUCCCUGUAAACAAGUUAUGAUAUAUGAGUAGUGUUUACUAUCAACUUUUUUAUCCUUGAAUUAUUACAAUUCUAUCAAUACUUACUAAACCGUAGGUAUCCAAUGGUUCGAAAGUUGAUAAUAAAUACUAUUUCUAUAGUAUUCUAGUUACAGAAUUAUCAAAGGGUCACAAAAUUUGUAUUUUAAUGGUUAGUAAGACAAUUUUGCUUGUUUCACGGUAUCGAAGAAUUCAAAUCAACUAAUUUUUUGCUAGAAAAUUCUUUCAAUUAUUUAAAAUAAAAUCUAGACUGCAGAUCUUAUUUACGAAAGUUGUAUCAUAACAUCUUGAAGAAUAUUCAUUUUCAGCUAUUCAUUUUUUGUUCACUAGAUGGAAAAUAGAAUAAUAUCAGAAAAACAUAAAAUUUUCAAAAGUUUAAAUAUUCAAGGUCAUGUUCAACGGUGUCGAUCGUCGAUUUGGAAGCUCUAUUAUCAAAAACAAAUCAGUAUUAAAUUGAGCCUUUUACUAUGGAUAGCAUUUUAAUAAAUCUCUCUCUCUCUCUCUCUCUCUCUCUCUCUCUUAUAUAUAUAGAGAGAGAGAGCCCAGCUAUGGUGCUUCUAAAAGUACCAAGCACUUUGUGCUUAUAAGUUUUCCACCGUUAGAUCUAUCCCUUUGACCAAAUCUAUUCCUUAGAUUAUGCUAAUCCACCAACCACCUGCUUAACCCUAGAGGAUCACUGUUAUCAUAAUACUAUAAAUCUUCAUCCAAGGGCAAAAAACCUACAAGUACCAAUAACUUGAUGCUUUUUUAAGCAUUGGAGCUCAAUUAUAUAUAUAGGCUCCUAUACUAUUUAUAGUAUCGGGCCUUAGUACUAAUGUCUGAUCAUUUUCAAACUUAAAAUGUUCAAAUCAACGAUUCAUACCGUUAAAAUUGACUUACGUUAUUUGAAGUUUUAAGAAAUAAAAUUUUAUAUUUUUUUGACACAAUUUACUCUAUGAUCAAAUUAUUUUAAAAUUAUCAAUUUUCAAUGGCUAGCUAGUAUGGCGAGUUUGAAGUUCAAAAGGUGUAGAAGAAUCUAAAUUUAUUCAAACUUUGAUAGAAAAUAUUUUAAACUAUCUAAUUGAUCUUGAAUUUAAAAGUUCUAUCCUUAAAUUUUAAAAAAUUUUAAGCGUUCAUUUUGACAUGAUUUACUUACUAAGUAAACGAUGUCGAAAAAAAUUAAAAGAUAUUCUUAAGAACCUCAUAUACCCUACAUCAUAUUUAAUGGUAUGGAUCGUUGAUUUGAACAUCCUAAGAUCAAAAACCAAACUACAGUACCGGAGCUCCGAUACUAUAAAUAGUAUAGUAACCUAUAUAUAUAUAUAUAUAGAGAGAGAGAGAGAGUAGGGCUACUGUGCUCCUAACCUCCUAAUCAUCCAUCAAUGUUGCUGAAUGGUUAGGAUGAGAGAGAGAAGAAAAAUUGGUGAGAAAUUCAAAGAGAAGAAAAAUUGAGACACUAAUUUCUCCUCAAUUUUUUUUCUCUCUCUUACCGAACUAUCCAUCAAAAUUGAUAAAGUACACAUCACAAUUAGCAUAUAUUUGUGCAUACAAUUAUUUUAAUAGUUAUAUCUAAUUAACAUAUAUUUGUACAUUAUAUUUAUCUAAAAAGUUAUAAUCAAUAUUUAAAUUUUAGAUAAAAUAAUUUAUAUGUUAUAUUUUAUUAGAAAAUAUUCAUCAUAUUCUAACACAAAUUUAAAUAGUUAUUGCAUAUAAUAAUUGUAUAGUUUUAUUUAUUUCUUUUUAUAUACAAUGAAUAUUUUUGUACAUUAAUAUAAUUUAAUUUUUAAUACAUAUUAAAUAUUUCUGUAUUUUUUUCGAGUUCUAACGAAUUCAAAAUUUAAGUAUGCCUUUUAAACUAAAAGCAUUAAAAUUUUAAGUCACAUUUAAUUCAAAAUUUUAAAUUUAAUUUUGAUCCACUUAAUUAAAUUUUUUUAAUUGUUAAUUCAAAUUUGAUAUCUAAUUGAAAUUUAAUUAAUGAUUUAAACUCAAAUUUUAUUUUAAUUUAAAAAUUUAUAAUUAACCUCGAGGUCCUACAGUUGCAUGCUCGUUGUCGCUCAUGUUGCUACGGUUGCGCACACCAACAUUGUGACCUUGCAUGGCAGCGUCCUAGUUCGUGUUCUAGUUCUCUCUCCGACCGCCAGUCAUGUCUUCCGAAAGAACCGCUCCAAGGGUCAAGCUAGCUCUGAUACUCACUAAAGCAGGCCUAAAUUAUGUUGAGAGGGAAGAAGCAAAAGAACGGAAAGAGAUGAUACACAAAGAAAUCAAUUCUUCGACAAUGACGAAAGUCAUAUUAAUCAAUUCUAAAAACUCUCAUUACAGUAACUAAACGCCACCUUUAUACAGAGGCGAAAAUCGAAUGUUACUACAAUUGAAAUAACAAAUUCAAGUAUUUUCCUAAAUCCAACCAGAUUUGAAAUAAUUUAAUAAUCGAACUAAAAAUAAAAUAUAUAUAUAUAUAUAUAUAUAUAUAUAUAUAUAUAAUUAACUGUCCAAAAAUAACUCUACAUGUCAAAAUGGAACAAAAAAAUAAAACAAUGGAAAACACCCAGGCAAGGUUGAACAACUGAGGGAUCCCAGGCAACCGCAGGAGAGCGGACUGCAAGAGCCGAGUACCAAGUGCCGAAGAGAUUAAUCGAAUUCAACCGUUCCGAUUCAACCGAAUGUUCCAAGUUUCUAAACUCAACCGAAUUUUCGACCCAAUUUAGUUAAGUAGCGUUUUUCUAGAACUCACCGCAUCACUUGCUAUCACUAAUUAGGAGCGUUCUAUCCUUUUUCUAAUGUAUUAGAUUCUGAGGUCGAAUCCUUCGGUAUGCCAGAAAAAAGAAAAAAAGGAAAGAAAAGAAAGAGUAGGUGCGUGUGAUCUCCGGGCACUUCAACAGCAAAAACGAAAAACUCCUUGAGGUACAUGAGAAUAUUCCACAAAGUUUAAUUACGUAACCGGAGCCUAGCUAGAUACAAUUGAACCUACCAACAAAUAAUGGUGAUGGAUGCAAUUGUAACCUUGGGUGGUUGCACGUACAUUCGAACACACUAGCUGCAUUAAUUACCCAAUCACUACUAUUAUACGAGACGUCUAUAAGCCAAAAAAAGAAAAAGGACAAUAGGAUUGUAUCGUAUAUAUCAGGUAAUUGAUAAUUCUCUAGGCUUUUUUAGGUUCGGAUAUAAAUAAAACUGUCUAUUCCAGAGAUAGAAAUAAGUUAAAGUAUAAAUCUGAAAUAGGCUAAUUUUACGUUUGGAUGAAAAUUGAGUCGAUCCUGAAAAUAAAAAAAAAUAGUAUUUGGAUGGAUAAGAUGGAAUAAGAAGAACAGUGAAUAGUUUUAAAUAGAAAAUAAUGAUAUUGCCCCUUAUAUUUAUAUUUGAAUUUAAAAUUUAAAAUUUUCUAUCUAAACUUUUAAAUUUAAAUAUAUAACUUUUAAAUUUCAAAAUUUUAAAAUUUAAAUUUAAAUUUUUAAAUCUCAAAAUUAAAAAUUUAAAGUUCUAAAUUUUAUAUUUUAAAUUUAAGAUUAAAUUUAAAUUUAAAAAUAUCAAAUAUCAAAUUAAAAUUUAAAAUAUUUGAAAUAUUAAUUUAAAAUAUAAAAUACCAAUUUAAAAUUUAAAUUUAAAUUUUAAAAUUACAAAUUAUAAAUUUUUAAUAUUUAAAUUUUAAAUUUUAAAUUUUAAAAAUUAAAUAGGGAUGAGAACUGCUGUUUCCGCUUCUAUUCCCACAAGCGGUCGGUAUCCCCCUUUAACCCCCAACCAAACGGCCUUUAGAAAAAUACCAAGUCUACAACCAAGAAGGGUUGUAAUCUCAACAAGCCCUUUGCCAAGGACAUUUACCAAACCAAAGAAGGGUUGUAAUCUCAACAAUCUCUCAUCCAAGGACAUUUACCAAACAAUAUUGUGAGCGGAGCAAAUUAUUUUUAAAUUUUUUUUAAGGGUUUGGAUAUAAAAUAGCUCUUUAUCUCAUAAAUAUUUUCUAACCAGUUUAAGUUUACUAAAGUUUUAUAUGGCUAAUUGUAGGAUUGCUAUACAUUAGGGAUGUCAAUAUGUACGGAAACCCAAAAUUCUAUCCAAACCUGAAUCUGAAUGGAGUAGAUUUAUUUGAUGCUAAACAGAUAUAGUUUUGGAUACAAAUAUAGAAUACUGAUUUCUGUUACUUGUGUGCGUGCGACCGCGAGGACGGAAUUGAGGUAAAUCCGUUUUGGUGCGAAAUUGACGUGAAAACAGAUAAAAUAGGCCAAUUGUUCAUGAAAAAGGCUAAAUUGCAAUUAGAAAAUAAAUUGGACUAAGACACAAAAGUGAGCAUCUUCGUGGAAUUCCAUUAAGAGAAGAUUUUUUUCUCUCUUCUUUCUUAUCCUUUUUCUUCUCUCUCUCUCAAAUUUUGUAAGAGAAAGAAAAGAAAGAGGAAGCAAAAGAAAAAGAGAAAGAAGAAGAAGAGGUAAAUUCUUUAUCCUCUUUUCUUUUCCUUUCCUAUCUUUCCUUCUUCUCCCCUUCUUUCUCUUCUUUUCUCUUUUUCCUUCCUUUCUUUUCCUUGCUGUUGCAGCUACUGCAGUUUACUGCUGCAAUAGCAGCAGGCUACUGCUGUGCCCUGCAGCAGCAGCAAGUUUGGGACAGCAAAGAAGAAAAAAAAAAGAAGAGAGAGAAAUGAGAGGAAGAGAAGGAGAAAGGAGAAGAAGAAAAAGAAAAGAGAGAAGAAAAGAAGAAAAGAAAAGGAAGAGAGAAAAAAAUGAAAGAGGGAAAAUGAAAUGAAACGAUUGAAGCAAUUGGUGUAUUUCGCAUCUCUAACCUUCAAAUUGGCGCUUGCAGGGUAUUCAGGAGCGUGAAUUAGAGUGUAUUACGCAUCUGGUUAGUUUCAAUUUAAGAUAAUUGACGUUCAAUUAGCAUGAUUUACGCUCGAUUAGAAAUUUUGCCUUUUGAUUGUAAUUCUGAAGGUUUUAUUGUGCUUAGUGUUUCCGGGCGAUUGUGAGUCCAUGAAAAACACAUGAGUGUUUUGCUUGCCCUAGUCGACAUAACGAGUCGAAGUGGGUUCCAAGUCGUCGAAAAUGGCAAAUUUCCUCCUAUAUCUAUUUGGCACAAGAUAUACAGUACUUGAAUUCGUGCAUAUGAAAUACCUUCUGUCGAUCCUCAUUUAGUUAAAAUUGAAGUAUGAACAUGAAACUUAGCAUUGACACCUGACUAUGAGCAGAAGUCUACAUAUGAAUAGGAAUUAGUACCCUGUCUGAUGUGACCGUAUAUAGUAUUUGAAGCAUAUUAUAUGACUGUUCUCACUCUUUCUUGCAUUGAUUCUCCUAUGCAUUACAGGAUCUCUUUGGACACGUUGAGACAUGUGUGACUAGCUCCUUUAGACAUUUUGUGUUGAAUUGAGUUGAUCAUAGUAGGAGUAGUAGUUUCCUAAUUAUGGACUAUAACCAACAGAUGCCACCUUGAGUUGACAGGUUAUGUGCUAUGUCGGUAGGGGUCGCUUCCCUCGAGUGCCACUCCAGAUGCUGGUCAGUGAUAGUAGGGACAGUAGCCUAGCCGUCACACCUGCGGGAGUGUGUCUGCGCACUAGGCGGGCGCAGGGACCAAACCUAUGAGUCGGUCAUGGCGAUUGGAUUUCAUAACAGUAUUUCUUUAUUCUUGUGCACUGGAAUAGCCAUGUAGAAAUGACAUGGCAUAUAAAAUUGGAAUAGUAUAACUGCAUAUGAUAUUCUAUCCUUAUGUCUCUAUUAGUAACCCGUGCAUUGCUUUCCUAUUUACUAUGUGUAGCGAAUACCUAGAAUACUACUCAACAGUAGUUGAGUUCUUGUUGGUUCUAUGCAUUUAGUCCAGUGUUUACUUUUCUACAUGUGGAUUUCUUACUUUACACCAUGCUGCAGCUUUGCUCUAUAUUCUUUUCCUAGUUACCGCUCUUCCAUUUACUUUUGCUCAUUUAGAUCUAGUGGGAAGGUCAUUGUUGUCGUCGACCGUACCCACUGGAAACUGCUAUUAGUAGUUCUCACGCAUUAUUGUGGUCUCCUUUUUCAGUGACAGGCACAUCGUAUGCUGAGCAAAGUAAGGGGAUUGGCCUAGUUAGCCAUCCUACCAACAUACUUGCCUGUAGCGAACCUCCAGAUAGUGAGCCACUGUACUUUCUUUUGAACUAGCGCAAGUCAGGGCCAGUAACUUGUACUUGGUUUUGGGUGUGGACUUAUGUAUUUUGUUACUUGUUUCUUUGUGUAUAGUGGUUUAGCUAAUGUAUAGUGCUAUGAUACUUCGCUUUUGGUUUUCUUCUGAUUUUGUUGAUUCUUAUACCGUGGAAUAGUUGGCUAAACAUUUUCUUGUUUUACUUGGGUUUUUCCUUGUUCUUGUUGCCGUUUCAUUCAGAUAGAGAAAAUUAUGUCCGUUUGGCGGGUCUAUUAGCAUUCCGUGGGCUUUCGCUACGACUUCGGGGCGUGACAGAUUUGGGUGGUAUGAGAGCAUAGGAAUAGGUCGUGUGGACCUAGAAACCUUAGGAUUUGGUGAACCCUAGGGUUUAAGACGCGAGAAGCGUGACUUAUUGGCGAAAGUCACUAGAUUAGCAUAAACUCUUUAAGGAAAUUAAAGAGUGAUUGAAGGGACGUACCCUUUCCUCCUGAAUUAUUAUGUUGGCUGCAGACAACAUAAUAUACCAGAAAAUAGGAGAGUUCUUUCUGGACUUUCGCUUGAUUGGGUCGAGUUCCUUCCGACGAUGUCACUAACCUAUGCUUUUACUUUCUCUAGGUAAGCACUAUGCCUCGAUGAGGACGACCUCCACUGUUGGCAUCGGGUGGACACUCCCAUAGGCGAUCACCGACACGGGCCCACCCAACACCACCUAAGAUGCCUGAUUAGGCGGGACCCAGUGAGAGCCAGAGGUUGCAUGAGCAGUUGGUUAGCCUGAUUGAGACUACGAGACAGGAGAGAGAGUAUAUCUGCAGGUUAUGUGACAUGUGGGCUCAACAGACGGGUACAUCCCCAUGUGACUUGGAGCAAGUCGUGCACCUAUUGACUGCACAGACUACUACAUCGACGGUUCCGACUCCCUCGACAGGGACCACUUAUACUCCAUCGACUAUGCAAACUGCAUGAGACUGCUACAGUGGCACCUACUAUUACUCCUGAAGUAUCUGCAGUCGCACGAGACACAGCUGAGGUAGGGCAUGAGCGGCUUCGGUUGAGGUUGGCUGAGUACAGAAGGUUCGAUCCACCUUAUUUUAGUGGGUCGAGCGCCAAGCCAGGGGCCGUGGAGCCUUAGGUGCGAAGGAUGGAGCGCAGAUUUGAGGAUCUCUUUAUUCCCAAAAGAGAUCAGAUGCACUUAAUAGUUCAUUGCCUUGAGAGAGACGCACGUGACUGGUGGACGAGGGCUAGAAGGACUAGACCUGAGGGUGCCCCACCGGUGACUUGGAUGGAGUUUCGCAGCAUGCUCUUUGACAUGUAUUUUUCUAGUAGUGCGAAGGAAAGAAUGGAGGAUGAAUUAAAGAAAUUGAGACAAUGGAGUCGGUCGUGUAGGAGUACUUUCAGGAGUUUACCUGCUUGUUGACAUGUAUGUCGUUCGAUGCGAGGAAUGAUCGGCAUAGUGUAGAUAUGUUUGAGAAGGGCUUGAAGCCCGAGCUCUAUCAGCUGGUACAGAUUCAACAUCUUCCUACCUUGGAGGCGUCGGUUGAGAUGUGUAGAGCGAGACGAGGUAGUGAUGAGAGAAAGAACUGAGCUAGAACAGGGUGAGGAUAGGAAGAGGCCUGUGGAGUGUGAGGCUGGGCCCUCCAGCUCAGGGAAACCGCUGAGGUAUCCACGAUCUCGUCCCCAGGGACGUGGGUCCUUUGCAGGAUGGAGGUCUAGUAGAGCCAGGCCGUCUGUUGGAGCGAGGCAGCAGCGACAGCGAUGAGGCCAGAUUCAUCGUGUGAUAUGUGAAGGUCAGCAUCAGUCAUAGACUUGUACUCAGCGGGAUGGCAGCUACUACCGUUGCAGUCAGCCGGGGCACCGAUGGGCCACUUGUACCAGAGGAGUUUCGUCUGCCCUGUCGAUGGCCUUUUUUCCUUCGACCUCUCGACAGGUAGCAACUGCAUCACCUGCAUUCAUUCCAUCAAGGCUCAGAGUGUGAUUCUUCUCUACUGAAGUGUCAACGGGUUUAUAAUAAUGCAUCCUAAAACACUCUAGAACCUUUUUAAUAUAAGAUUCUUGAUACAAACCAUAAAGCCUUCUGGAGCAAUCACGGAUGACCUGCACUUCGAGUACAUAGCUUGCCUCACCCAUUUCUUUCAUCUCAAAGUUGAGAGACAACCACUCUUUAGUGGUAUUGAUUAACUUCAUGUUAUUUUCAGCUAGUAGUAUGUCGUCGACGUAUAGGGAGAGGAAGAGGAUCUUUUCUCUGUCUUUUUGACAAAUACGCAGUGGUCUUUCUCUAUUAUAGACAUAACGAUAGAGGUGAUGGCUUCAUGAAACCUAAAAUACCACUGUCUCGAUGAAUGCUUGAAACCAUAAAUGUAUCUUCUAAGGCGACAAAUCUUAUCUUCUUGACCUUUGAGUACAAAACUCUCAGGUUGAUCCAUAUAAAUCUCCUCUGCUAAUCCUCCAUUGAGAAAAAUUGUCUUGACAUCCAUUUGGAACAACUACAAAUCUAGAUGUGCCACUAAGGUUAAAAUCAAACGUAUAGAGGCAAAUCGCACAACGGAAGCAAAUGUCUCGUUGUAAUCUACCCCUUGGCUCUGAGUAUAUCCCUUGGUCACCAGCCAAGUCUUGUAUUUAUCGAUUGACCCAUAGGCCUUGCGCUUAAUUUUUAAAACCUAUUUAUUUCCAAUAGACUUGAACCUAGGUGGAAGGUCAACCAACUCGCAUACGUAGUUCUUUCUCAUGGAGUCCAUAUCAUCUCUCAUAGCAGCUAUCCACUCACUGCAAGCUGGCAUUUGUAGUGUUUCUUUAUAAGAAGCAGAUUCAUCAUCAUUGAGCGUAGUGCACAUAGAAAUAUCUCCUUCGAUCUCAAAAUUCUGACGGGGAAUAUGUCCAUGUUCACUUCUGCAUAAUUGAGGGCCUAAGCUGCCAACUUUCAAGAGUAUGCUCUGAUUCAUGAAAGCACUCCCACUAGUCGGAGGAUCGGUACCACUUUCUUCAACGACUUCAGGAAUUGAUCAAUCACCCUCAACUGAUUGCUUGCUCUAGAGCCGAGUUUUUUGAAUCUAUAUGAGGGACUGUGAACAUAUCCAGUCGAACCCCAAGGGCCUAAAUAGUGUAAACUCGGCUUUCUACCACUCCAUAACUCAUAUGAGGUAGAAGACUGUUGAAGCAUAAAAAAAAAGGAGAGAGGAAUAAAAGAGGAAAAAGAAAAAAAAAAGAGGGGAGAGAAAGAAAUAAAAAAUAGAGAUGGUUUAUGAGAUUAUCCAUGCACCAGGUGCAUGGAUAAAAUUUAAAUUUUGAAAAUAUCUCAUGCACCGGAUUGCGAAAAAAAUAAUACGCACGGGUAUAUAAAAUAGCAUAUUAGUCUAUUCCCUUUUGUAUAUUUACAAAAUGCCCCACCUUAAUCGUAUAAUAUUUUGAUUAAGGUGUAAUAUGAUCAAAGGGAAAGGACUAAUUCGCAAUAUUCCCGCAAUCCCAUCUUAACCACCCAAUAUCUCCACGAUUCCAUCAUAACCAUCCAUUACCACACAAUCCCAUCGCUGCCAUCCAAAAUCUCUCCCACAAUCCCACGAUACUAUCGUAACAACCUAUACCCACGAUCCCAUCAUCCCACGAUCCUCAACCAUCCACGAUCCCAUAACCUACGCACGUUUUCCUCAAAUCCUGUUACAACCACCUCAAUCCCACAAUCAGCACGUUUCCCUCAAAUCCGUUGCAACCACCCCAUAAAUACCUCUCGAAAUAAAUCAAACGAGAGAGAGUUUUUUUUGAAUUUCAAAAAAAAAAUCUAGUCAAAAAAAAAAGAGAAGAAGAGAUCCACCCGAUCCCAUUGAAAGAAAAAAAAAGGUAAAAAAGAAUACAUUAUCUCUUUCUCCCGUUCAAAAAAAAAAAAUCAAAGCUCUCUCUAUCUCUCUCGCUAAAAAAAAAAGAGAAAACAAAGCUUUCGCUCUCUCGGCUAGAAAGAAAAGAAAAGAAAAGAAAAAAGAAAAAAGAGAAGCUCUUUCUCUCUCUCUCCAAUGGCGGCCGCUGCCGCUCCCGGAUGUGAUCCGACCCCGACCCGAGGCACGCUCCGAGGCCACCCGUGCCACUCCGAGACGCCUCAGUCGCCCGCUCCGAAGCUCGCCCGCGUCGCUCCGGGACGCCUCGACCCGAGGCCGUCGCUCCUCGCUGGUCUUUGCACCCGAGGCAGCGUCGCUCCUUACCGAUCCCUGCGCCGAGGCCGCGUCGCUCCUCGCCGACCUCUGGACCGCCGAAACACUCGACGUCUGUGCUACAGAGGUCGUCCGCCACGGCGCCGCUGUGCGCGCCCUCCGCAUCGCAUUACCGACCGCGGCCUGGACUUCUUCUUCGCGUCCCGCUCCCACGCUGCACGCCCAUGAGGACCAGACGACGGCGACGGUGACGGCGACGACUACGCUAGCGAUGAGGAGGAGGACGAGGACUUUGGGGAAGACCCUGGAGUUGUCCCCGCGGAGACAGCUCAUCUCCUUCCUCCACUCUACGGCGGUGCGCGGGUCGACCCACGCACACUUCACCGAACUCCGCUGAGUGCCUCGGCCGAGCUCCACCAAGCUCCACCGCUUCUCCAGCGCAUCACCUCCGAACUCCAUCGAGCCCUGUCGAACGCCAUCCACAUGUUCGAUGAAAUUCCUGAAUGAAACCAGAGAACGCCCUCUACCUGUUCGAUAAAAUUCCUGAAUGAAAGUUUAUUCUUCUGAUCAAGUUGGCGACAUAGUCCCGAUAAGAUCUUGUAAGCGGUGGUUGGCGGGUGCAAUAUGGUGCUAUUCGAGCAUCUGCGGUGAACGUAGCGGAACGGCGAUAUCUACCCGGAGCUGACGCCCGACGACCUCGUCACAACCGUAAAGACAAUGUGGCUCAAGCCAUGCCCAUCAACCAUUCGGCGAAAUACUUCAACGGUGAGUCCAAUUUGCAUAAAGAGAGAAAGAGCGGUGCUCUUCUCUAAAAAGAAAAGAGAGAUUUUAUUUCUCCGAUGAUGAAAAAAAAAGAGAGUGAGCGGUGCUCUUCUCUUUAUAAAAAAAAUAGCAUCAAAAGAGAGAAAGAAAGAAAGAGCGGUGCUCUUCUCUUUAUAAAAUACAUCAUCAUCGAAAGAAAGAGAGAGCGAUGCUCUUUUCUUUGCAAAAUAUAUAUUAUCAAAAGAGAAAGAGAUGAGAGAGCUUUGCCAUUGUUAGGGAGGCAAGGAAGGGAUUUUUUUUAUCCCGCCUUAGUUGUCCCACGAAUGUAAAAGAGAUAAAAAGAAAUUAUUCAUCUCUGUUAUAUUAUAUUUUUAAGAAAGAUAAAGAGAAAAAAAUGUAUUCUCUUAAUUCUCCUUCGAUGAAGAAAUGAAAGAAAAUUAGUCUGAUUUCUAGUGAAUAUUCUUUUGAUUGUUCUUUUAAUAGUAUUCGAAAAUAAUCGAACCCUUUAAUCGAACCUUUCGAUUUGGUCAAAUUAGAUCGAAUCAAUAUUACAUUCCGAAUGAAUUUGAUUUUGAACUAAAUGUUUAAAUAUUUUGAUUUCGAAUCUCAUAUGGACCAAACUAUAUUCAUCUCACAAGUUCAUUAAGUCCAGCCCAAACGCAAAUCUGGGCCUAAUUUCAUGAUCUGUCUAAAAGAAAAUUUGGACUUAUGCCAUCAGGCCUAAAUUAAGCCCAAGCCCAUAUGUAAUUUAAGCCCCAACAUUAUAUGGGCCUGAAUUUGACCUAUGUUUGAAUGCAAUUGUAUAAAUCCAAUGUUGGGCCAUUUUAAACCCAUGAAACUAUAUAUAGCCCGGAUCCAAAUUUUUUUUAAACAAAAAACUAUAUGGACUGGAAUCUAGCCCAAAUUCAGAUUCACAACCAAUCAAAUCUUACAUUGAACCCAAAUCCAAGUCCCGUAUUGAACCCAAAUCCAAAUCCCAUAUCAAGCCCAAAUCAAAUUGAGCCCAAGCCCAAAUGAGCCCAAAUGAGCCAUAAUGAGCCCGAAUUCAACUCCAAAUCCAAAUGAGCCCAAAUGAGCCAUAAUCUCAAUCCAAAAUGAAUUCAGCCCAUAUGAAGCCCAAAUCCAAGUCAAAAUAUGAAGCCUGAAUCCAAAUCAAAAAUAAAACCAGUCCAUGUUAAGCCUGAAUCCAAAUCAAAAAUAAAACCAGUCCAUGUUAAGCCCAAGUCUAAACUCAAUAGCCAAUCUACACACCUAACCCAUAACCUAUAACCCAAUCCAAUUAAAUCUAGGCCUAGUCCAAAGCCCAGAGCCCAUUUACAAAUGGCCCCNAAUAAUCAAUCUACACGUCUAACCCAAACCUAACCCAAUUAUUCAUUCCAAUUUGAUCCAAGCUGAACCUAAUCUAAUCUCAACCUAAUCUAACCUCUUCUCUAGCAUAUAUAACUAGAGCUAAAUCUUGACAUAUUCAAACUCGAUCAAAUUCUAAAAUAUUUGAUUAGAAUUGAUCAAACCAUAUACAAGGUUUCACCCGAUCAAAUCAAUUGAGCUCUAAUAUAUAUACUUAGAGUUCAUUAAAUUAAACUCUAAUACAUACACUUAGAGUUUAAACUUUAACUAAUCCUAACUUAUAACAUUAGGAUUUAGUUGAUAUCUUACCUUAUGGUAAACACAAAUUCAUCUAUUGAUUAGACUCUAAUACAUAUACCUAGAGUUUAAUUUCGGCUAAUCCUAACGCAUAUAAUUAGGAUUUGAUCCGCACCUCGCCACAUGGUGGAUAUAAAUUCACCUUAUGGUGAACCCAAAUGAAAUUAAAUUGGACUCUAAUAUAUACACUUAGAGUUUAAUUUAAACUGUAUGUCUACUAAUCCUAACAUAUAUAACUAGGAUUUGGUUGAUAUUUUAUCUCAUGGUGAACCCAAAUUAGACUCUAAUACAUACACUUAGAGUUUAAUUUAAAUUACAUUUGACUAAUCCUAAUUAGGAUUUAGUUGGUAUUUCACCUCAUGGUGAAUCCAAAUUGGACUCUAAUACAUACACUUAGAGUUUAAUUUAAAUUACAUUUGACUAAUCCUAAUAUAUAUAAUUAGGAUUUAGUUGGUAUUUCACCUCAUGGUGAAUCCAAAUUGGACUCUAAUACAUACACUUAGAGUUUAAUUUAAAUCAAAUUUUGACUAAUCCUAAUAUAUAUAAUUAGGAUUUAGUUAAUAUUUCACCUUAUGGUGAACUCAAAGUGAGACAUAAUUAAGCUCUAACAUAUGAGCAUAGAGCUUAAUUGCAUUGGACUUUGAGAUAUUAAAUUGAAGUCUAAUCCUAACACAUACAUUUAGGAUGAAGGCUUAAAUUGAAUAUCAAAUCAAAUCCCAUUGGACUUUAUCAUAUAUAUUUAAAGUUCAAUUAACUAAAUCAAACUCUAAUCCAUUUAAUUAGAGUUUAAUUUGAAUCCGAUUAAGUCCCAAUGCAUAUACAUGGAAUCCUUCAUCUUAGGGUGAAUAAUGUUGAGCACUGAACAUAUGGAGCCCAAUCAAAUCAAUUUGAUUAUAUACUUUGAUAUCUUGGUUCAGAAUCAAAUUCAAUCAACCGCCGUACUGAAUUAUGUUAUAAAAUUCAUCUUUUAUUCAAUCACAGCAUUACAAAGGUCUCUUAAUCGAAGGUGCCCUAACACUUUGUAGGGGUAAUUAACAAUAGACGCUUGCGUUUAUUGGAAGCCAUGAAUCCACAAAACCUGAUUCCCAUACAUAUUCAAAUAUUAAUCUGAAUCAUGAAUACUACCCCACGGUAAAAAUCAAAAUAAGAUCAACCGUGCGAGGUACGUCAUUCGUGGUCGCAGACAAAGACAUUGAUUUGCUAGGGAUUCAAUUAAAGAUGUACACCGCAGUCAAAAGAGUAUCUCCCAAAAAACUUAUGGGAAGAUAAGGCUAUGCCAUCAUCGACCUAACUAUGUUUAAUAGAGUACGGUUCCUUCGCUCUAUAUCACCAUUUUUAUUAUAGAGUACCAGGAAUAAUGAGCUGUCUGCUGAUGUCCUUUUGCUCACAAUAAGUCUUGAACUAAUCAGACAAGUACUCACGACCUCAAUCAAUGCAAAGCACCUUUACAUUUCUUUCUAUUUGAUUCUUAGCUUCCGCAACAAAGCAUUUGAAGCAAUUUAAAGCUUCAGAUCGGCGAGAAAGCAAAUACACAUAGUUAUAACUGCAAUAAUCAUCAAUAAAGGUGAGAAAAUAGCACACACCAUGCCAGGCUCUCACAUUUAUUCGCCCACAAAUAUCUGAGUAAAUUAGCUCCAAAGGAUAAGAGGCACGAGUAGCCAUACCAAAAGGCUUUCUACAUGCCUUCCUAGCCAGACAAGGCUCGCAUACAGAUAGGCCAAUUUUGGCGAGAGACCCUUAAAAGCCCUUUUCGAACUAAUCUAUUCAUUCUUUCUUGACCUAUAUGAUCUAAUCUGGCAUGCCAUUUAACGAAUGCAUUAUAGAGAUUACAAGAAGAAGAAGCAAAUGCAAACAAAUCAUCCUUCAAAUCUAAUUUAAAGAAACCAUCAACUAAUGUACCAUAUCCAAAUAAAGUAUCAUGAAAGAAAAUGUCUAGGCAGUCUCUGUCAAAAUGGCUUUGCAUAGCUAACUCUACCAUAGGGAGCUUGAUUUUGACUCUUCUACACUCCAUUGUUGUGACGCUUCUUACACUUGGGUGUGAUUCCACCGCGCUUCUCAGAGUGUGCAACAAGAGCGACAAAAUGGUUCGCUUCCAAGCGCUCUACCUCGAGCUCAAAAUGGUGCGAGAUGUCAUUAAACAUUUUAAUACUCUCGCUGUGCAUCAUCAAUAGCUUCAUCUGGGAUCAUUUAGGAUCCAGCAAUGAACGAAUCACCACGAGAACUUGUUGCUCAUUGUUUAGCACGUUUCCAAUAGCCUAAAGAUCCCGAAUCAAGCGCUCAUCACACGAAAGUGCUCAGCCAUUGAAUGUUUCGGAUUUUUAGUGUAUUGUUGAAACUUUAAAUUUAAGGCACAUAGUUUUGUAGCUGAAGUUUGCCCAAAAGCAAUCUUUAAAUUGUCCCACAUGUCAUUAGCAGUUUGAAGAUCUCAAACUGUCCAAUGAGAUCAUCUUGCAUGGCACACAAUGUAAUAUACCAAGCAAUUUGAUCCUCUUUGUACCACUUGUUAUAGAUCUUUUUUUCAUAUUCAGAAGUUGUGCCUUUGGCAGGCAUGACUCUUUUGACAAAGAGAAUUUCAAGAACCCCUUAUUCAUUAAGCAAGUUUUUCAUUUUCCUAUACCAAAUGUCAUAAUUCUAGCUCAUCAUCCCUAGUAAAAUCAACAGAUUGAAAUACUAUCCUCGACACAAUAGGAUCGAAAACUUCGCUAUGCUCAUAAUCAUCACUCAGUGUCUGUUCAAAAUAUUAUAAUCUUAUUAAUUUUUCUAUUAAUUUUAGAACUUAUCUAAAAGUUAGAACUCAUCCAUUUUAAAAGAACACACUUUUUUAAAAAAGAAAUAUAUCUUGAGAACUUAUCUUGAUAAUAUCAUCACACAGAUGAAAAAAAAUAAGUACUUAUACCAAAAUUUAAUUUGAAAAACAUCGACACGGUACACAACACAUUUUUUACAUGACCUUAGUUAUUAUAUCAUUUUUGUAGAAUAAAACCUACUACAUCACUAUACAGAUGUACAUCUGAAAAAAAAUAUACUACAAAAUGCUGCACAGAUCAAACCCAUUUUUUAAAAAUUAAAUUUCAUUGAAAAAUACCAUAAGAACACAAGUACUUAUUUGCCAAAAAAAAUACCACAACAAUCAUGCGAUCAUACCGACCGUCCAUAGAGUAAGUGGCAAAUGGCUUGGUGGUUGGUACCCGAGACCCAAGUUCGAGUCCUAGUUGAUUCACAUUUUCAACUAAGUUUAUUUUUAAAUAAAAUAAACGAAGUGGGUAGCGUGCUACCUAUCUCUCAAAAACAAUCAUGCGAUCAUAAUAUGUUACACAAAUAUUAACUUUUGCACCCACAUAGGAUAAGCAACAUAUGCACGCUACACAAGCAUUAAAAUAUUAUACCACAGGAAAUAAAAAAAAGGUUUUGCCUACUUGUGUUGCUGCUGUGUAUAUCAUAUAUAUAUAUAUAUAUAUAUAUAUAUAUAUAUAUAUAUAGAGUGAGGCUACUAUACUAUCGGAAGCACGGAGCCUUCCGUGCUUCCAGCUCGUUUUCCGAUGUUGCGACUUUUCGAAUCGUCGAUCGGCCUCCGUUAAACUUCGAAUUCUAGGAGUAUUUGGAGUACAUAAAGAAAAGUCAAUUUUAUUAAUUUUUCGGAUAUUCAUUUGGCCUUAGUUGAACCGAAGGGGCUUCAAAAAUAAUGCUAAAAAUAAAAAAUCUUAACAAAAUAUAGAUAAUAUGACAUUAAUUUUAAAAUAAGAUCAUUGAUCUUGUUUUAUAUAGAGUAUAAAGAAUUUUCUAUCAAUUUCACGUAUUGAAUAUUCUACAUCAAUAAACUUGCAAACGUCCUCACUGUACGGCCCAUUGAAAUUUUGUGAUUUCUUGAGCCUAUUAAUCACUAGAGGCAAAAUGAUAUCGAAAAAAUAAAAUUUAUUUUCUAGCACUCCAAAAUGCUCUGAAUCAAGCUUUAAACGAGUCGAUCGACUCGAUUCGAAAGUCCCACAUCAACAACAAGCUGGAAGCACGGAAGGCUCCGUGCUUCCAAACCAUAGUUAGCCUCAACUCUAUAUAUAAUAUAUAUAUAUAAUAUAUAUAUAUAUAUAUAUAUAUAAUGGUAUAAUAUAUAUAAUAAUAUAAUAUAUAUAUAUAUAAUACUAUAUGAAUAUAAUAUUUACCGUACAAGAAUAAAAAAUUUUUACGCAUGCAGCAAGAAAUUUUUUUACAAAAAAAUUAAAAAAAUAAUAAAGCUGGGGGUCGGCCGUCACCGCAAGGCCAGGGCCGGCAAUGUGCUCGCGUGCGGAGCAUGGGUCAAUCCGCACACCAGCAAGCGAAGUACGCCAGAGGCCGCGAGACCGUCGUGCUCGCUGCGUACAAGCGGGACCAGGCCCAAGACAGCCUACCGAACCCUGUGGGCCGUACCCCUGCAUCCCGGCGGCAAAAAUUACUAGAAUGCAACGAGGUAUAUUGGUGACUGGCGUAAACAAACGCAAUCAAAUGUCUAUCCUUUAGAGUAUAUGCUCCCCAUCAUGAUUAUAAAAAAAAUAUUUUGUAUUGUACUUUUGUUUUCGAAAAGAAUAAAUGUGAUUGCUUAGUUAUUGAUGAGCCGGGUGGCAAGUGUGACAGUGUAGAAUUCCUCCACCCGGCGAGGCAGUUUGGGCCUGCAAGCCCGCCCGUAGUGCCCGGGACUUCCCGCGCACAUGGUGGGUUGGACCAGGCCCGCAAUCCGGUGCGCGGUGAGCGAGUUCACAUCCACGCCCGCGUCCGUAACGGGCCAAGCCCGUGCGCUUGCUCUUGCGGCGGGCUGAGCCAGGCCCUCAAGACCGCUAACCCACCCGCGCAAGUCCGUCCCUACACGCGAGCGGCAGGCCGGGCCGACGUUGACACCUUAGGCACACAGGUCAGCGGCCAGGCUAGCCUUGCGUCCAUGCAGAGCGCUAGGGUCCAUGCCUGCGUGCCUGUAAAGGGUCGGGCCAGCUAAACGCUCGUUUGCAAUCCCUCAUUUUCUUUUUUUUUUUAGGCGAAAUCAAAAAAAAUAUACAACUUACCUUUAAAAAAAUUACGCAUGACCGACCGUCCCUAGAGCAAGUGGCAAAGGGCUUCGUGGUUGGUACCCGAGACCCAAGUUCAAAUCCUAGUUGAUUCACAUUUAUAGCUAAGUUUAUUUCGAAAUGAAAUAAACGAAGCGGGUAGCGUGCUACCUAUCUCUCAAAAAAAAAAAAAAAAUCGCAUGUCUCGUGAUCAAUUCAAAAGAAAAAAUUAAAACUAAUUUAGUUUUUUUUUAAUCGAUUUCACAUAAAAAACGAAAAAAAAAUGUAGAACAAAUCUUUAUAAAAAUUGAUCGAUAAAACAUGCGAUCUAAAUACACGCAUCACACGCAUGAUCAUAAGGUGAAAACAGGCAAAUAGUUCUGAUAACAAUUGUUGGAAUUAAAUGGUAGCAGAAAGUUACAGACUAGAUAGCCAACGUCUUCAAGAACCGGAAUCAGAUCGGAUUGUUUGUUUUAUUAGCUUGCUUGGAUCGUCCUUGUCGCUUUUGGAUCUUGCAUGUAUUUUACUUUCUCCCACGCCUACAUCUUGCAUCACGGUUCGAAUACGUCGAAUACGGAUCAAAUGGAAGUUGGAUGUGACAUAUGUAAAUCGAAAAGGACUACCAGAGUCCUCUUCUAUAACCACACUUUAAAACCUCAGGAACGUAGGUGGAAAUUCCAGAGAGAAAGAAGAGAGAGAAGAAAGACGAAAUCUUAAAUUCUCUUAAGAUGGAUCAUACAAAAGAAAAAGGGACAUCUUUAUAGAAUAACGAAAACCCCUAAAAUAUUCUGAAUCUUACAUAGAGAUUAGGGUAAAAAUUAGGAUUAGAAUACCUCUUAAGAUUAAGAAGAUAUGUUUAUUAACUGAUAAAAAAUAUAUAAUUUAUUUUUAUCCUAAACUAAUUAGGAUAAAUUUCAAUCCACAUCUUAUAUGAAUCAGGUUAAACAUGACCCGCCAAUAUGGACACACCAUAUGGCAACAAAUAGAAUAAAGGGUAAACUUCAAAUACCCACUGUGAUUUCACACUUUCUCACUUUAAUACCCUAUAGUUUAAAGUGUAUCAAUUUAGCCACUGUGGUUUCGCACUUUCUUACUUUAAUACCCUGUGGUUUAAAGUGUAUUAAGUUAAUACCAUGUGGUUUCAUUUUUGUAUCAAGUUAGUACCCUAUGAUUUUAUUUUUCUCUUUUUAUUAUCCAUUUCACUAAUUUUUUUCAUUAAAUCAGUAACAAAGUUAAAACUAAAUGGCACUAAAGUGAAUAUUCGAUAAACGUAUGUAGGGUAUCUAAGGUUUUUUAUAUAUAAUUUAACGAAAUAUUAACGGAGGAAAAAAAAAAUCUGUGACAGUUAAAAUUAAUUAAAGGAUACUAAAGUAAAUAUUCGAUAAAUCUAGAUAGGGUAUUUGAAGUUUAUUGUAUAUAAUUUAACGAAAUAUUAACAGAGCCAACAAAAAGAGAAAAAUAAAACCAUAAAGUACUAAAUUGAUACACUUUAAACCACAGGGUACUAAAGUGAGAAAGUGUGAAACCAUAAGGUACUAAAUUGAUACAUUUUAAAUCAUAGGAUAUUAAAGUGAAAAAGUAUGAAAACACAGGGAUAGUAUUUGAAAUUUUUUCUAGAAUAAAUGUUCUAACGACCAUUCUGGUAUACGCAAAAUAAUUAAAGCCGUAAUUCAGUUUUGAGCAAAAGAAAAUUAAGUUUACAAUAAAAAAAAGAUUGUAAUUACUCACUACUCCAACCCCUUAUCAAAGGACACCUAAACUUAUUUUCAUUUUUAGUAAACAAAAAAAAAAAAAGAGUUACGGGAAGAGCAACGCAUUAUGGAUUAAUUAUAGGCUUAGUAUAUCUCUUCGAUUUUAGAAAUUUUUUUUUAAAAACAAACUGGACUGAGUGGAAAAACAAAAGUGAAGAAGCUAAUCAUAUCCAAUUUAUAUUGGUUGGGUUCAGUUGGUUUUCGAUAGAGAAUUUCAUUCAUGCACAUAUAGCGAAUUAUUUAUAAAACUAAAAAGUACUGAAACAAAUUUGUUCAAUUAAGUAAAUAAUGCUCACCCCUAUAAGAAGGCGCGACAUAGCGAAUUAUCCAUAAAACUGAAAAGUACCGAAACAAGUUUGUUCAAUUAGGUGCUUCAGUUCAGGCUAAAUAAUGCUCACCCCUGGAAAAAGGCGGCAGGCGCCAAUCGUGGGCUCACGAUCGCCGAGACCGGCACAGUCUUUUGUAGUGCGAGCCCGAAGGUCUCGUCCAUGUUCAUCUUAACGCCGUCGGGAAGGCUCCAGUCAAAUGCGUGAAUCAAGCUACCCAGCAUGUACUCUACCAGCACCACUCCCAUGCGCGCGCCUGCGCAUAUCCUUCGGCCGGACCCGAAAGGAAUGAGCUUGAAAUCGUUCCCCCUCGGGUCGAUUUUCGACCCCUGGGGAGUCAUGAACCUAUCGGGAUUGAACUCGAGCGGAUCGUCCCAAACGUUCGGGUCCCUCCCGAUAGCCCAUAUGUUGACUAGGAGCCUGGUGUUCUUCGGGAUGUAGUAGCCGUCGACCUCGCAUGCAUGGGUGCAGAUGCGGGGGAGGUUGAGAGGAGUGGAAGGGUGCUUCCGAAAGGCCUCCUUGCAUAUGGCUCGGAGGUAGGGGAGGUUCGGUAUGUCGGAUUCUUCGAGCCGACGGGUCCGGCCGAUCACCCGGUCCAUUUCUGCAUGGGCUUGCUUGAGGAUGGCUGGAUUUAGAAGCAUUUCUGCUAUGGCCCAUUCGAUCGUGCUGGAGGAUGUGUCAGUUCCGGCGGACAGUAAAUUCUGCAGGACAUUGGGAGGACAGAAAGGGGAAGCUCAAUUAAUUAAUAAAGUUGUAACAGAUUCAAGGAUACAGUUUAAUUUCUUGGGUCCCUUGGGAGAUGGUUUUAGGAGUGCAGCUGAUAUACUUUUGGAAAUACGGAGCGCUCCAUACUUUUAAAUUAUUUUCGAUAUGGGAAGUUUCGAAUUAACAAUCAGUUCCAUUAGACUUGAUCUAGAGUAUUUUAAGUAUCUAGAAAAUAAAUUUUGUGAUUUUUUGAUAUCAUUUGCCUAGUGAUCGAAGUGGCCCAAAAUCAAUGACUGAAAAUAAAAAUCUCACAAAAUAUGAUGAUAUAAUAUUAAAAUUUUAGAUCAAAAAUAUUGAUCUUAUUUUAUAUAGUAUAAAAAAUUUUCUAUCAAAAUUUUACGUGAUUUGGAUAUUUCUACACCGUUAAAUUUGCAAACGGCUCAUCACGAUCAUUAAAAUUAUUAGUUUUGAGCCCCUUUGAUCACUAGGCAAAUGAUAUCGAAAAAUUAUAAAAUUUAUUUUCUAGGUACUUCAAAUACUCUCUAGAUCAAGUUUAACGGAGCCGAUCGUCAAUUCGAAAGUCCCAACAUCGAAAACGACUUGGAAUGCACGAAAUACUCCGUACUUCUAGAAGCAUACCGGCUCACUCUGGUUUUAGUUAGCUUGCACACUAUUACAUUUAAAAAAUAAAAAUAAUAAUAACAUCAAGAAUUAUUUUUUUAUAUUUUUAUUAAAAGCAUCUAGUCAUUAGUGCCUAUGCAUUUUCGGCUUUUGGAUGAAGAUUUAUGGGAGUUAGGAUAAUAGCCCUCUUCUAUGGUUGGUGGAAUAUAUAGCAUGAUGAUCUAAACACUAAGGGCUUGUUUGGUUCAUCCAUUUUGUCUAUGGAAUGGGAAUCGAUUUGAUCAAAUCCGGUUAAUUUUGUUUGGUUCGCAUGAAUCGGUUUGGAAUUUCUAUUCCAGACUGGAAUGGAAAUGGUUCAUUAGCCUUCAACUUGAUUCCGGUCUUCUAGCCCGGAUUGAGAUUUCAUUCCGGAAGCCCACUAAGUUCUCGAAGCCCAUGUGACCAUCUCACCCUCCUUCUCUUCACCCCUUUCUCAUCAAAAAAAAAAAAACACCUAUCCUCUCUCAAAACCCUAUACCUAACCCACAUAAAUAAAAGUUUUUAAAAAUAAAUUUGAUAUUUUUUUUGAAAAACUUAUUAGAGAAUAGUAUUAUAUUUUUCAUAAAUUUUAAAUAAUAUAAAUUUAUAUUUGAGAGUAAAAUUAGUAUUAUAGUAUUCUAUAAUUUUUUUAGUUUCUACAAACCAAACAAUAAAAUGUGAAUAACUCAUUCCAAUUCCCAAUCCACAAAUAAACCAAACGUCUUGGGGGAGUGGGCCAUUCCAAUUACCAUUCCAAUUCAUUCCCAUUCAAUUAUCCCUUCCAAUUCCACCCUUGAACCAAACAAGCCCUAAAAUUGGUCAAACGAUAGAUCUUAACGGUAGAAUAAGCUGGAAAUAUGAUUUUUAAUUAAAUUUAACUUAUUUUUUAUUAUGUUUGAUUCGAAGUCGGAAUCAGUAUCGGAAUCGAAAUGAGAAUAAGCUAGAAACGGAAUCGGAAUGGUUCAUUAUCUCAUUCUGUUUGGUUCGCCAUCGUAAUCGGAAUCGAAAUAAAAUAUUCUCAUUAUCGGUGUUUGGUUCAAAUAAAUAUCAGAAACGUAAUCAAAUUAGUAUAUCAAUUUUAUCUUUAUAAUAUAUUAGUUUAAAUUCAAACCAAAAAUUAAAUAUUAAAAAUUUAUGUCAAAAUUUUAAAAUAAUGUCAAAUUUUAAAUAUAUUUUUUAAAAAAUUAAAAUUUAAAAUUGAACGGAUAAUUCAAAUUAUAAAACUAAAAUUUGAUUUAUUCAAAUUUAAAUUUUAAAAUUAUAAAUAAAUUUCAAUUUGAAUCCAUAAAUUUAAUUUAAAUUUUAAAUAAAUUUGAAUAAAACUUUAGAUUUUAAAUUAAAUUUAAAUUUAAAUUCAAAUUUAUAAAUUAGAUUUGAAAUUCUUAAUUGAAUUUUAAUUUUUAAUUUAACUUCAAAUUAAAAUUAAAAUUUAUAAAUAUAAUUUUUAAACUUAAACUUAUAUUUUAAUUUAAAAUAAGUUUAAAAAGUUAAAUUUAAUCCGAACAAAUUCAUUCUGCCUGGAUUCAAUUUUCAAUUCGGCCUCCUAAGCCGGAUUGGAAAAAUGGGUAAUUGGGAGAAUUCUCAUUCACCCGGGAAUCGGAAUCGGAAUGGGAAUCCCACGUACCAAACACCACAAACGGAUUUAUCCAUUCCGAUUCCAACUAAUUAAAUUUUUUUCAUUAUAACUAAAUAAUUCUAUAAGACUCAAUUUUGUUGUCGGAAUAAAAUAAAUAGAGGAAUGCUUCAAUACACCAUAAAUAUUAAAAUUUAAUCUCUUAAUUAGUAAAGGGUAUAGUUGGGAUUUACAUGAAGUAACAUGUUGAACAGAUUACCGAUUUGAAUUAGUUAACAUGACAAUAUUGGAAAAAAAAAAAAAGCCUUUUCACCCGAAUUGUCUAGUUAAUAGAUGAUCCAAAUUCUAAAACAGGCAGGAUCACCAUCUUUUCUUAUAAUAGAAUUGUGUAGUUACAAUAACUUACAAUAAUUGGUUAUGACAACUCGUUAUAACUACACUGAAGUUACUAAAAGCUAACCAAUGCUGACAUCAUCCAUUAUCCAAGUCUGGCAGACUUGAUAUUUUAAUCAGGUGACUGCUUAUCUUAAAUAUGCCCGCGCAAACGAAACGAUACAAAAAGUUAUAAAGUGCUACCAUUAGCGAGAAAUCGCUAAUGGAAGAAGGAAUGGCAAAUUUCCGAUUUCGAAAAUUUGACUAAAAAAGAUAGAUAAAACCCUCGGAUAAAAGAUAUGAUAAAACCCUCGGAUAAAAGAUAUGAGGAAUUCCCUCAAGGAAUUCCAGUAAGUAAAGUAGAAUUUUUCCUAAAAAAAUUCUACUAAUAAAAUACUAAAGGAUCGUGGGGAUCACCGGAAUACUUCGUAUCGGUCUUCUUAUCUAGGUUGCUUCAUCCUCUAACCAGAAACUAUUCACUCCUCAUGUAUAUACCAAAUUUGUCAGUAUCUUUUAAAUAUUAAAUAUUAAAUAACUUAAUUACUUUGAUAACUUACAAAAUUAGAUGAUACCCAAUUUGUUAAAUAUCUAGCUCAAAAAAAUAUUGAAUUUAAAUUUAAUUUUUGAAAUUGGUAUUGUAAUGUAAAAUUUUAAUUUUGAAAUUUAUAUUAAAAUUUUAAAUUUGAAUCUAAAUUGAACUUUUAAUCUUAAAGACAAAUUUUAAUUUUUGAUUUAAAUUGAAAUUUUGAAUUGAACUAAAAGUUUUAUUUUAAAUCUAUGUUUUAUAUUUAAAAAAUUGAAGUUGAUAUAUAAAGUUUUAAAUAUUGUUUUGAAUUUAAAUUUACAGUUUUGUUGUAAUUUGAAAUUCAACUAUUGUUGUAGGUAUUUAAGAAAGUCACAAUAUUCUUAGUUGAAUAAAACCGGUUUUGUGGACCAAACUAUUUUACAAAGACUAAAAUAUCAUUUAAAUAGGUACCUGGUGAAUGGUACCUAUGCUUUAAUAGUAGGUCACCUCUAGAAUCAUAUUAAAUCUAAACCAUCUAUUAAGAAAAAUAAAUAGUCAAGAUUUAUAUGAUCUAUUGAAAUAUUCCUCAAAUAGAUAUCCACUAAUAACUUAUUCUCAGUACAUGAAGAUUUUCUUGUGUGAGUAAAAGUUAGGAGUGUGAUUUUGCUUUCUGAAAUAUCUUAAUAUCAUAAUUUGAUAUGACAGCAUAUUUUAUCUAUGACCUGAUUUAUUCUAUUCUAUUUCGAACAAUAAUUUGGAAGGUUAAAUAUUGUAAUCAUUAUGUACAUUGGACCAGACUCCUCACCAAGCAAAUACUAGAUUUUUUUUAGUAAAUCAAAGAAAUAUUUCAAAUAAAAUAUUCAUACUUCCAAUCAGGCUUAUGUAUCAUAAAAACUUUUAUAAGACUCGUCUAUUAGUAUCGGACACGUGUCCAAUAUGGACACUCUUUGAACACGCAUUCAAUGCUGAUCUAUAACACAUACAAUAUAUAUAUAUAUANUAUAAGACUCGUCUAUUAGUAUCGGACACGUGUCCAAUAUGGACACUCUUUGAACACGCAUUCAAUGCUGAUCUAUAACACAUACAAUAUAUAUAAAUAUAUAUAUAUAUAUAUAUAUAUAUAUAUUACUUUUUUUUAUGCAUAUAUGAUGUGAGAUGAUAAAUAUUUUUGUAUUUUGACGAAUGCAUUGAAAGUUUUUUGAAAAAUAUAAAUAAAUUAUAUAUGGUGCAGAAUUUUUUUUAAAAUAUAUGAAUUUUCAAUAAAAACAUUACUAACUUUUAUUCAUACAAAAAAUACAACAAUAUUUUAUCAAAAUUAAUAUUUUAUAUAUAAUAAAUAUAUAUUGUUGUAUUAAUAUAUUAUUUUGUUAACGGUGUUCAUGUUGUGCUCUUGUUCUAAUAUUUUUUAAAAUUAUCAAGUUUUCGUGUUUGAGUCGUGUUGUAUUUCAUAUUCUGUAUUAGUAUCCGUAACGUCUAGAUCAGGGCCCAAAUGUAUAAAUCACAAACAAAUUCGACAUGUGGCAAAACUCUUUGGUUUUGCAACAGUUAACAAUAAAGAAUUUGCCAAGAACGAAACAAAAAUUUUGCGCCGGCAUCGCACAGCAGUACUCACCGCUGUUUCGAGAAUCGUAUCAAGUACAUGUUAUCCCACAAUUAAUAGGAUAGUUGUGUACUAAUUAAUAAGAUGGAUUUUUGAAAAAUUUUAAGUCCGGUUUAGGUGAAAAUUUUAUGAACAUGACAACUUUGAAGGUUAAUUUUCAAUCGUUCAUCACUUCUUAAAUAAUACUAAUUAGUCACCUAAUUAAAUUGGAAAAAAAAAAAAAUUUCCUGUUGGGGGCCUACUCAGGGUGCAACUCAGAAUUAGAUUUUAAAUUAAUAAGCGCCGUGCAUGGCAAGAGUUCUAACCAGAAGUAGGGCUUUGAAGUGGAUAUCACUAAGCUUCUCCCCUUCCAAGCUAUCCCGGCUGGCCACGACCUGGUCCAGCAAGUCCGGCCGGCCCUUGCGCUCCGCGGCGGUCGCCUCGUGCUCCCUCAUCACCCUGCUCAGCACGACGUCGACCCUACGGUGCAGCUCCUUCAUCCGCCGUUCAAUCCCCUGCAGGUCCAUCCAUGCCACGGCUGGCACGUAGUCCCCGACGUUCGGCAGCCCCGCCAGCGUCAUCAGCUCCACCAUCAUGUCCUUGAACUCGCUCGACUCCGCGCCUACAGCCUCAAACACCCGCCGGCUCAGAAUCACCUGCUAACAUCAUUCACUAUCAGUUUAAGCGUUAAGAAUAUGAUUGUUAAAUAUAAAAAUAUAUAAAUACCGUUUUCUAACGAUUUAAACUUUUAGAAUACAACGGUUGUUUCAUAAGGUAUCAGAACAGGAAAUCCUGAAUUCGAAUUAUGCCGGGCUCCUGGCAUUCUUAAUUUCCUCCCAUUUAACACGUUAGGAAUUUUACAAAAAGUUUCGAGUCUAGAUGUGAGAUUAUUCUCUAACAGCUUAAACGUUUAAAGUACAACGAUUGUUUCACAAUAAUAAAUCGCCGAGAGGGGUUUCCGAACUUUAAAUUUCAUUACGGUACAUUUACAUUCUAGACCUAUCAAAGUAUUUUUGGUGUUCAAUAUAAUAUCAGAAUGUAUUAAAACAUUAGUUCCCUAUCAUCUUAACCUUUUAGCAUAAUAUCAAAGUGAAAGGAAGUUUCUGAUCGAAAUUCCAUCGAGCUCCCUUGUUGGCUGCCCCAAAUCCUAGAAUUGCAGAGGAUUAGAAUUCUAAUUUUUCUAAAUUAAAAUAUUUGUUAUCUAAGAAUUCAAUUGAUUUGGGAGGAUUUGAUAGGAUUUUUCAUAAUAUAUAAAUGACUCUCUUCUAGACCCCAUAAUUUGAGGCCGGAUUUUAUGAAAAUUUAUUUACUAUUAGUUAUACUUUAAUAAUAACAAAAAAAUAUUCAUCCUCAAAUUAGUAAAACGAAAAGAAAAUAAUCGUAUUGAAAUAAAUUCUCAUAAUUUAACAAACAAUAAGAAGGAGGGUUAAUUUAAUUCCAGAAAUUUACAUAUUCAGGCUAUCUUUAUUUCUUGAGUUCAAAAGAAAAUUAAGAGUAAAUAUAAAUAUAUAUUAGAGUCUGGUUAUAUAUAUAUAUUGCUCACGGAAGUAUCACGGGUGCGCUUUCAAUUCUUUGAUUAUUUUUAGCACGUAGAUUAAUAUUAUUUUUUGAGCAGGACCAGUAAAUUCUAAAGAAGAUGACUAUAAUCUCGAUCAUAUAAUUCUUAAUUUAAGAUUUAGAAAGUCAAUCGAAAACGCUGAUUUUUCCAUGCGUACGAAAAUAUAGUAGCUUGCUCUACGCAACUAGAACCGCCGUAAGGUUUAUCAGCUGGAAAGCAAGCAUUUUAAUUCAGAUCAGUAACCGGCCGGCUGUUUAAUUCACAUCACCUGCCCGAUCAUAUUGGCCAUGGCGUACGACAGCAUCUCCGCGACCUCCACCGGCCGGCCCCGCUGCGCGAAGUCGCACAUGGCCAGCAGCAUGUGCCCGACCUCGGCCCGCCGCACUCCGGCCCACCCCUCCAGCGCCUUCGCCCCCAGCAUGCCCAAAUUGCACAACCGACGCAGCAGCUUCCACCGGGGCCCGUACUCGGCGAACACGAGGUCCUGCGCGCCGUAGGCGAUGCGCGUCGGGGCCGCGUCGAUGGGCCGGUUGGCGAAGUGGGCGUCGAGCGUCUUCAGAAAGACGCGGGCCGCGUCGGGGCUCGACGCCACCACCACGCCGUGCUGGCCCAGCUUGAGGUGCAUGACGGGGCCGUGCCGCUGCGCCAUGCGCGCCAGGGCCACGUGUGGGGCGCGCCCCAGCAGCGGGAGCGCGCCCACCACGGGGAAUCCCCGGGGCCCGGGCGGCAGCGGCGCCGGGCUCAGAUUCUUGCGAGGAAGGAGGCGCACGGUGAGGCGGCGCAGGCCGUAGUAGAGAAUGAGCCACAGCAACAGCUCGCGUAGGAGGAUGAUAACGUCCAUGAUGCUUCUGGUUCUGGUUGUGAUUCUGGUUUUGGUUUUGGUUUUGGUUUUGGUUUUGAUUUUGGUUUUGCUACGGAGGGUUGGGGGCGAAGAGCUGAGCUUCAGGGUGGUUAUAUAAUUUGUAUGUAAGGACGUGGCACCAUUGUUCGGAAUUAUUGCAUGCACAUGCAUGUUGUCCCACAACAUGAGCAUGCAAUGCAUUGUAGUACAAGCCCGAAAAAGUCUAAAAAUGCACCGGGUAUAUUAUUGAUGGUUGUUCUUCAACCAGUAAAAUUAUUCUUUUCGAAUUUAUCCAUCCUACUAUAAUUAUUAAAAAAGUAUUUUUAUUAUAUUUUUUUCCAAGAAGAGAUGUGAUUUAUUGGUUAUUGAUGAUGCGGUAAAAGUGUUAUAUGAUAGACUUUCUUCAGUAGUCCAUCUUUUUUCCAUAUUGGAAAAAAAUUUUCUAUCACAUUUAUUUUAAAUUAUUUUUUAUUUAUUAUUGACUACUAUUCAAAAUUUUUAAAUUUAUUUAUAAAUUAUCAAAAUAUCUUUCUAAUCCAAAAAAUUUUAGAAUAUUUGAAGGAAUUUGUGAAGAUUAAGAAGGUCAUUUUGGUCAAUCAAGAAUAUAUUAGAUAUUUUUGUAAUUUCAGAAGAUAUCUGAGAUAUUAUUCCUUUUUAUUUUAUAUAAAAAAUUAUAAUCAAAUAUUUUUAUAUUUUAUAUUAGCACAAAAAAAUAUCGUUUUAAACCAUCAUUUUAAUAUAAACCUUGCGUGUCGGAGAUGCGCGUCCUUGUUGGACACAUGUCCGAUGUGGACAUCUUGGACGAGCGUUUAAUGCCGAUCCAUAACAGAUACAAUUAAAAAAAAUAUAUACAUAUUUUUAGUUUAUUUUUUCUAUACAUAUAUAAUGUAAGAUGAUAAAUAUUUUAGCUUUUCGAUGAAUGCAUAUAUAUUUUUUUAACAAUAUAAAUAAAUUAUGUAUGGUGAAGAAUUUUUUUUCUUAAAAUAUAUGAACUAUCAAUAAAAAUUUUACUAACUUUCAUUUGUAUGACAAAUAUAAUAAUAUUUUAUCAAAAUUAAUAUUUUAUAUAUAAUAAAAAUAUAUUAUUAUAUUAAAAAUAUUAUAUUUUAUUAGCAGUGUCUAUGCCGUAUUCAUGUCUUAAUUUUUUGAAAGUUAUCAAGUCGUGGUGUCCGAAAGGUGUCGUGUCCCGUAUUUCGUGUCAGUGUCCGUGACACCUAGCUCUUUACUAUCUCAUAAAAUCACAUUAGCCUAAUAUAAUUCAUUCUGAUAUAUCUUAUGUAUUAUACUUUAUCCGAAAAAAAGUUUGUUCAUUCAUUCCACAUCACUAAAUGAUGUUAAAUGUAUCACAACCCAUCUAAACAUUUGCUCGCUUUUGGACAGUCAUUUGAAUUUUAAAAAUUAUAUAUUUACCAGGGAAAUUUUUAAAUGUUUAAAAUUAAUCAUCUAUAUUUAUAGUCAAUUAAUUUGAAGUAAUUAAUAUUAGCGAAAUGAUACGUUCCAUAAAAAAAAAAAGCACUUCUUAUACAUGAAAAGGCUUAUCCUUCUAUAUUGUAUUUUAGUUUGAUUUUUAUCCAUUAUGUUACACAUCUCUUUGGACAAAAAAAAAAUAUUGAACUAUUAUUAUUUUCUCAAUUUUUUACUUCAUGCUUGAGAUAUAUUUUUAUUUGCUAUCAUGUUCUAGUUUUUUUUUUCCCUUAAUUAAUGGCAUUAGGACACUAUCGAUUUCUCGCUAAUCUUUAUAUUAUUAUCAAGAAAUAUACUGUUUUAGACAAAAAACCAACAACUUUAUUAAAAGACUGAUUAAAUUAUAAAAAAAUAAAAUCCUUUAAGAUAAAAUCAUUGAAUGCUUUUAUUGAGUUAUUUUCAAGUAUUCUUAUUCCUAUCUUUUUGAUGUUCUAUUGUCUCUUUCUGUUUCAAAUGGACUUAAUUAAUGCAUCAUUAACUAUUUUCAACCAGCACUUUUAUUUAAAAUUAUAGAUUUAUUAUUUAUAGUUUAAUAAUUUUUUUUGAAAAAGGUACAGUGUAAAUAGACAAAAAACUCUAGUGUACAAUAUACCCAGUACUAGUAGAAGAUAAUUAAGCUUUGUACCAAAAAAAAAAACAAUAAUAAAAAAUAAAAAUAUUGAGGGAUGAGACUGCUGUGUAUGGCUUAUGUGUUGCACCGGGUGCAGGCAGAAUUUUACGUGUCUUAGUAGAUAUCGUCGGAAGGGCUGUGGAGAUUUUGUACGGCCGCAGCAGUGGAAGCCAACUGUCAAUUUGGUUGGACCUAAAAUUGCAGCAAGGACUGACUGCCUAAAAUUUUUUAACAUUCUUAAGGCUUAUAACACAAAAAAGCUUUUUAAUUCUACCACUAUACUAAGUCCAAAUUUUGGUUUCUUAUACUGUAUUUAGUUCGAAUAUAAAUAAGAACUGCUUAUUUUAAAGAUAAGUAUAAGUUCAGAUAUAAAUAAAAAUUAAAUUAAAUUAAAUUUGCGGUUGGAUGAAACUUGGAUUGUUCUUGCGAAUAAGAGCAAUAGUAUUUGCAUGAUUAGUUUAGAACAAGAGGAAUAAGAGUUAUAAUUUCAAAUUAAAAAUAUUUUAUCUAAUUAAUUAACAACAAAAUAUUAAUUAGAAAUAUUUUAAUAAGUUAAUAAAUUUAUUUUUUUUUGAGAGAUAGGUAGCACGCUACCCGCUUCGUUUAUUUCAUUUAGAAAUAAACUUAGCUAGAGGACAAUAAAAAUAUAUUAAUUAAUUAAUUAAAUAUAAAGUAUAAUUUAAUUUUUUAAUUUGUUAGUAAAUUAUUUUAGUUAUAUAACUAGUAGAAAGAUUAAUUAGAUUAAUAAAAAUAUAAAUGGUUGAUUAAUAUAAAUAUUAGCUUAUGAAUAAACACAUAAAAUUAUUAAUAAUUAAUUAGCUAAUUAAUCAGAAAUAAUAAAUUAAUUAAUUACUUUAUAAAUUAUAAUGAAUAAUAAUUUAAAUAUAUUAAUUAGAUUAAUUAAUAAUUUAAUAAUAUAAUUAAAAUUAAAUAUAGAUUUUAAUUAAUGUUGUUCCCACUUGAGUUGGCGUUAAGGAGUAGAUCUAGGGCUAGAAACAUAAAAGCACCAAAGAGUUGGCGUUUUUAGAUGUAUUCUAGCUCAACUCUCUCUCUCUUUAGAUAUAUAUAUAUUGGCGUUUUUAGAUGUAUUCUAGCUCAACUCUCUCUCUCUUUAGAGAUAUAUAUAUAUAUAUAUAUAUAGAGUAGGUCUAGAAUACUUUUACAAGUAUCACUCAAGUGAUACUUGUGUGUUUUUAGCCCUUGGAUGGAAAGAUGUGAGGUUGAGAUGAUGAGGGUAGGUGGUGGUAGGUGGUGGUAGGUGGAAUAGUGUUUGAUCCAAAGGCUAUUCGUAAUAAAAAAGUAGAUCCAUUGGCUAAAAACGUGAUAGCAACAUGGGGAUGAUACUUGUAAAAGUAUCCUAGAUCAACUCUAUAUAUAUAUAUAUAUAUAUAUGUAGGGUCCGGCUAUUAUACUCUUAUGAGUACGAUCGUCCUCGUACUCAUAAGUUGUUUUCGAUGAUAGAGUUUUCGAAUCAACGAUCCAUACCGUUAAACGUUAUUUAGAGCAUUUAAAACAUCUAGAAAUCAAAUUUGUAAUGUUUCGACAUCAUUUACCUUACAAUUAAAAGCUCACAAAAUGGACAAUUUUUAACGGCCGAUAUGAAAUAUUUGCUAGUUUAACGGUAUAAAAGAAUCGAAAUUAGUUGAAUUUUUGAUAGAAAAUUCUAUUCACUACAUAGAUAAAGAUCAAUAACUCUUAUCUUAAAUUGAAGGAUCCGAUCAUCCAUUUUUUAGACGUCAUUUGAUUUUGACCGUUCAUUUUGUACCCGUUUGAUGAACUUUAUUAUGAUUUCGCAAAAUUACGAAAUUUUUUUUUUACAAGUUUCAAAUAUUCUAGAUCAUAUUUAACGAAGUGGAUCGUCGAUUCGAAAGCUCCAUCAUUGAAAACAACUUAUGAGUACGAAGUGCUCUAUACUCAUAACAGUAUAGUUGCCCUAACCUAUAUAUAUAUAGGGUUAAUUUCAUACAGGUCCCUACAAACAUGGUGAAUAGCAGAAAUAUCCUUGCAAAAUUUAACUUUCAUAAGUUAUCACUACAAAAGUUCAAUGUAUUCAGAUAUGUCCCUACUGUUAAUACACGUUAGAGAAAUCUAGUUAACCAUAGUUAAAAUACUUAAUCAUGAUUAAUUAAUAAGGUAAAAUGAUAUUUUUAUCCUUCUUCCUCUUCCCCUUCCUCUUCUUCUUCCACUGCUUCUUCUUCCUCUUCCUCUUCCUCUUCCUCUCCUACUUCUUCUUCUUCCUCUUUUUCUUCGUAUCCUCAUUUUUCUCCUCAUUUUCUCCUCCUCCUCCUCCUCCUUCUUCCUCUUUUAAUUCUACCACUAUAUUAAGUCCAAAUUUUGAUUUGUUUUUGCUGCAUUUGAUUCGAGUAUAAAUAAGAACUAUUUAUUUUAGAGAUAAAUAUAAGUUCAGAUAUAAAAAAAAAUUAAAUUAAAUUUACGUUUGGAAGAAAAUUUAGUUGUUCUUGCGAAUAAGAUAAAUAGUAUUUGCAUGAUUACUUUGGAACAAGAGCAAUAAGAGUUAUAAUUAAUUUUAAAUUAAAAAUAUUUUAUCUAAUUAAUUAACAAUAAAAUAUUAAUUAAAAAUAUUUUAAUAAGUUAAUAAAUUUAUUGGCUAUGAAUAUUAUAUAAGACAAUAAAAAUAUAUUAAUUAAUUAAUUAAAUAUAAAGUAUGAUUUAAUUUUUUAAUUAGUUAGUAUAUUAUUUUAGUUAUAUAACUAGUAGAAAGAUUAAUUAAAUUAAUAAAAAUAUAAAUGGUUGAUUAAUAUAAAUAUAGUUUAUGGAUAAACACAUAAAAUUAUUAAUAAUUAAUUAGUUAAAUAUAAAGUAUAAUUUAAUACUUUAUAAUUAAUAAUGAAUAAUUUUAAUAUAUUAAUUAGAUUAAUUAAUAAUUUAAUAAUAUAAUUAAAUUAAAUAUAAGGAUUUUUAAUGGUUGGUUUCACUUGAGUUGCAGUACAAGGAGUAGAUCUGAGGGCUAAAAACAUAAAGAGCACAAGAGUUUGGUGUUUUAGAAUAUUUACUCAACUCUCUCUUUAUAUAUAUAUAGAGAGAGAAGAGAGUAGGGCUACUAUAUCUAUGAGUGUUAGAACCCUUAUACUCAUAAGUUGUUUUCGAUGUUGGGAGAUUUUCGAAUCGACGAUCCACCAACGUUAAAUAUUGAUUAGGUAUUGAAACUUCUACGACAAAUAAAUUUCAUGAAAUUUUCGAAAUCUUAUAAAGUCCAUUCAGGAGCGAUAUUAAAUGAACCGCACACGUUUCUAAAAUGAAAUGAAUCUUAAAAAUGAUACAUGAUCGGAUCUUCAAUGAAGAGAUCGGAUGUAUAUUGAUUUUUAUUUAGGUAGUGAUAGAAUUUUCUAUAAAAAGUUCCAACCAUUUCGAUUCUUUUUCACAUUAAAGUAAGCAAUAUUUCUACGGCAGUUUAAAAAUUGUCAAAUGUUGUGACAUUUGAUCGUUAAGAUAAAUGAGGAUCGAAAAAUUAUUAAAAUUAACAUGCUACGAAGUUUUAAAAUGCUCUAAAUAAUGUUUAACCUGGUAUGGAUCAUCGAUUCGGAGCUCUAUCAUCGAAAACAACUUAGAGUGAUGAGGAUGAUUGUAACGCAUAAGAGUAUAUAUGGCCGGACUCUAUAUAUAUGUAUUAAUAUAUAGAUAUAUAUAGAGAUGAGAGACAGACCAUGAGGUAUCAGAAGACGGAGAUGCGAGGCCGACGAGCGAGACGAGGCGGGAGGGAUGGGGAGAGUGAGAGAGCUGGUAGGACAGAAAUGGAGUGAGAGAGAGAGAGGCUUUAGGGCUACAUACUUCUUAUGCGUAUAGAGCACACUUCAUACUAUAAAUUGUUUCAAUGUAUUUGAAUGGAGCUUCCGAAUCGACGAUCCACACUGUUAAAGUUAUCUAGAGCAUUUAGAAGACGUUAGAAAUCGAAUUUAUAAUUUUUCACAUAAUUUAUCUUACGAUUCAAAUAUGUCAUAAAAUUGACAAUUUUAACGGCGGUAUGGAAUAUUUGUUUUUAUGUUUUACGUCUCUGUAAAAAGAAUCGAAAUUCAGUUGAAUCUUUGAUUAGAAAAUUUCUAUUCGACUACAUAGUUUAAGAUAAUAACUCGAUCUUAAUUGAAGAUAUCGAUCAUCUAUUUUAAGACGUCGUAAUCGAGUUUUGAUAGUUAUUUAUUACAACGCUUGAUUAACUUUUUAUAUUUUCGAAAAAUUACGAAAUUUAUUUUCUAGAAGUUUUAAAUACUCAUAGAUUAUAUUUACGGGAUGAUGAUCGUCGUAUCGGAAGCUUCCAUAUUGAAAGAACAAUUUGAUGGGAGUCGAAGUGCCCUUAUACUCAUAAGAAGUAUAGUAGCUAGUCCUAUAUAUAUAGAAGAGAGAGAGAUGAGGAGUAGAUUUGGUGCCUAUUUAGGAGCACGGAGGCCUGUGCUCAUAAGCCGUUUUGAUGGUGGAGCUUCGAAUCGACCGAUUUGGCUCCUGUCAGGACUUGAUCUAGCAUAUUUGAAGUAUCUAGAAAAUAAAUUUUGCAAUUUUUCGAUAUCAUUUACCUAGCGAUCGAAAGGGUUCAAAAUCAACAGCUGGAAAUAAAAAUCUCACAAAAAGUGAUGAUAUAACACUAAAAUUUUCGAUCAGAGAUAUUGAUCUUGCAGUAAAUAGUAUAAAAAAUUUACUAUCAAAAUUUCAUCUGAUUUGAAUACUUCUACACCGUUAAACUUGCAAACGAUAUACAUCAACCAUUAAAAAUUGUUGAUUUUGAACCCUUUCGAUCGCUAGGUAAAUAAUAUCGAAAAAUUACAAAAUUUAUUUUCUAAAUACUUUAAAUACGUUAGAUCAAGUCUAACAGAGCCAAUCGUCGAUUCAAAAGCUCCACCAUCGAAAACGGCUUAGAAGCACGGAUGUCACGCCCCGAGCCCGCCUAUUUGGUCGGUUUCGGGCACGCCAACAAACCGCCGAACGAACAGGGUUUUCCCUGUACCGCGGACAGAGUCUCCCCUGUACAUUCAAGGCGUCGCAAUCAAUACAAUGUACGAAGUUCCAACCAUGAAUACAUUUCAACCAAAGAUUGCAUAAGGAAGUAUCAAAAACAUAAUUCUACUUGCUAUUACAAGCAUUCAUCUCACAUAUUACAUUUUACAUUACAAAUUACAUUCUUUUACAUUCAACUUCCAAGUACAAUCCAAUUAUUACAAAUUUACUACAAGUUUGAUAUAUCUUGUUCUUCAAUUUUUCUCUACCCCUAGGCUAUGCCGACUCGGGGUACCACUAUCUCUGGUCUCUGUGGUAGGACGCUAUCUAUGAAGCUACGCCCUUGCCUCGCGCCGCCGCGCCGCUCACGUGUGAACCUGUAACACCCCAAAACAACGUGGGGUGAGAACCAACUUCAUGAUUCCCAGUGCGUACGGCCAUCCAAGGGAAGAGCUCGACUAUCAAGUCCAAAGGAGGCAAACAACAUGUUAGACCAAUAGAUAGAUAUGAAAUCGUAAAUUAUGCAACUAACAUUACCAUGCUUUUGCCUCACAACAUGCAAUAUGUAAAUUAUGCAAUUCAUAUAGUAGAUUAAUUGCUUCUACACUUUAUUCUUAUCCAUUCUUUACUCUUAGCCAUUCUUUCCUUUACUAGCUACUCUUUAGCAUUUGCCUUUCUUUAUUCUUUAUUACUUGCCAUUCCUUAGCAUUAGCAUUUUCUUAUUCUUUAUUCUUUAUUCUUUAUACUUUACUAAGGGUACUCACACCUUAGUAAUAUUAUACACAUUAGCCUUUCUUUCCUAAGGUUACUUUACCUUAGCCAAUUAUGCCGUCCGACUCGGUUUUGAGUCAAUCAACUGCGGAUAGUCCGCGCACUAUCCGGCUCGAGGUGAAGGAACUCUCACAUGCACCUCAGCCUUCAAUCACAAACCAUAUCGUCCAACGGGUCGCCCAGAGUUGCGUACACCCGUGGUCAGGGAUCCCCCGGUAGGAAAGGAACAUGCCGCAUACACCCGCAGCCAAGAUCCCCGAUAGGGAGAGGAACAUGCCACAUGCACCCUAGCGCUCAUGAUUCUUGCUCAAUAACAAGCCUCGAAGUUCUUCCGGUGGGAAAGGAACAUGCCACAUGCACUCGCGGCCAAGAACUAUCAAGCUUGUAUGCUGCACUAGCAGCCGCUGCACUAGCAGCUGUUGCACUAGCAGCAGAAAUUUCGGAAUCCACUUUACAUAACUCAAGGAUUGGUCUUACCCUAUGUUAUCGACCUAUCUAGGUCCAAGCCUUUACUCAACCUAAGUUAAUACAUUAGGUUCAAUGUCAUUAUCUUCUUAGUCUAGGUUCAUUGACUCUAGGUUCAAUAUUCUUAAUCACCUAGGUUCAUUUGACUCUAGGUUCAAUGCCACUCAUGUUCUUGUUUUCCUAGUUGUCCAUACCUAGGAAUUAUACUUGACAUGCCACUCGUGAAUAACCUAUGUUCAAUGACACUAUGUUCAUUAUUAUUCUUGUUUAACCUAUGUCCUUGAUACUAGGUUCAAUGCCACUCGAUCAAUAGGUGUAUUUAUGUCCACUUACACAUAUUCUUUACUCAACAUUCUUAUCUUAUCAUUAUGCAUUAUCACUAGCAUGCUUUCUACUUUACAUUAACAUGCAAUGCCACUUAUCUCAUGCCUUUAGCUAACAUCAUUCAAUGCAUUUUCUUAGCAUUCUUAUAUUGUCAUUAUGCAUAAUCUAGUUCAUGCGUCUAGUUCAUAUGUUUAUUUAACAUACAUCCAUACAUGCCUUUAACAUUUAACUCAUGCUUCAUCUAACAUUUCUACAACAUGUCACAAGCAUUAGCUUAAUGUUCUUACAUUAUGUCAAUAUGCAUUCUCUUAGCAUUUCAUAUUAUGACAACAUGCAUUUCUUAGCAUACAAUUUAUAUGAUCAUUACUUGGCACAUAUUACAUGCAUUACUGAACAUCUAUCGCAUACACUCACAUUUAGCAUUCUUACUUAGCAUUUUUAUCAUGCAUUGUUACUUAGCAUUUUUACUAUCACCAUGCAUCAAUAGUGAAAUACACUAUACUUUGGCAUGAAGGCGACCUAGUCGCUUCGGUAAGCACAACCCACUCUUAACGCGUUCCGAUUGCUUGUAGUCACUUGCAAUCGGCCUCCCGCGGCACCCGUGACCCGGUUUGGCCCGAACUCUUGCGCGACCACCCGAACGGUCACCAAUCCGCGAUCCGUCUACUCUGGAGUUUAAUCCUCGAUACCACGAUGCUCCAGAUCCGUUUUCAUGAUUUUUGGACGUUUAUCCCGCAUGCUGCGGCUAUCUGUACCAAAACAGACCGUUUCGUCAAUAACUUCGCGUACACUCGUCGGAUUGUCGAACCGAGAGCACCAACGCGUUCGUUAUACCCCCAAUUAGGUUUCUAUAAGGUCAAUUUAUCUCGAAAAUACCCGGAGGCAAAAGCCCCAAAUUUAGUGCCCUAACAAUGCCAUAAUGAGAUUUCUUGGGAUUGAUCUUGUUGCUAAGCAUAAUCAAGCUUAGAACUACCCAAGAAGCUCUCUAAUAUCAUCUCCAACCUAAUUGGACCAACCCUAAGGCAUCUAACACAAACCCUAGGUGAUCACCAUGAGAGCACCCUAAGCUUCCAUAGAUUUUCAUGGAGCUCAAGCCUCUAGAGAGGUUCUAGUCUUACAAGAAGUCCAAAACACUAAAUCUUAGGGUAUAAAUCGAAACCCUAGAAGUAUUCUUGCGAAAUAACUCACCUUAGCCUAAGCUCUUCCAAGUCCACCAUGAAGGAGAGCUUCUUGAUCCUCCAAAACCCUCAAAAUCCACCUUCAAGACCUUCUUCUCCUUCUCUUCAAGCUUUGGUGGAGAGCUUUUGAAGAGAGAAAGGGAGAAGAAAUAAGGGGGAGAGGUGUUUGCUGCUGUGAAGGGGUGUUUGGGAACAUAUGGGGUGUGCCAUAAUUGCAAAUAAGCCCCCCAACUAUUUUUAUUUACAGCAGACUAAUUUUUGCUGUCGGGUCCACAGCGUACCGGUACACGGGCUGGUGUCACCGGUACACGACUCGCGCAACAGCCAAACCCGAGAGCCAUCUUCUCGAAUUUUACACUGCUUACUGGUACACGAAAUCCUGUCACCGGGACACUGCCUUUUUUUCAGGACUUAGCCAAUUUUUCAGCAUUUUUAUCAAUUUUCGUCUGUUUUCGCUCGUUUUCGCUCGUUUUCGCUCGUUUGACCUCCGAUUCAUUUCAAAUCGAACCGAGGCCCUCCAAACAUGUUUUCAAGCAUGUUUUCAUCAUCUUUUCAUCCACGCUAAUGCUAGAUUUAGUCCAUGGUCCAACAUAGCCUUUCGGGUCCCGUUUUCGCGCCCUAUGCGCACCGAAGCACCCGAAUGCUCCCGAACUUCGCCGGAAUGAUUCCAAUGGCUUUCUAAGCUAACAUACAUCGUAACUUCAUGAAUUAGAAGUUCGGUAUAUUACAAUGGAGGUCUCCGUGCUCCUAAUAGCACACAAGACCUACUCUCUCUCUCUCUCUCUCUCUUUCUCUCUCUCUCUCUCUCUCUCUCUAUAUAUAUAUAUAUAGUGUAGAGCUACUAUGCUAUCAGAAGCAUAGAGGAUUUGAUGCUUCCAACUUUUUGACCAUUGGAUCAAAAAUUAUACAAUUGGGAUGAUUGCAGUCCGCCUAGGGUUGAGUAGUACCCAUAGGGUUGAGUGGUCCCCACAGGUUAAUAGUAUUAAUUCAAAUGUUAGAAAUGAUUAAAGGGGUUAAUCUAAGGGCGAAAAAAUUGGAAGGACCAAAUUCUCUAUGCUUCCGGUAGUAUAGUAGCUCUACUAUAUAUAUAGUUGAGCUAUAAUGCUAUAAGUAGCAAAUGGGCUCAGUUGCCACUCGCUUAUUUUUGAUGAUAGAGUAUCCAAAUCGACGAUUAGUACCAUUAAGCAUGAUCUAUACCACUUGAAGUAUUUAGAAACUAAAUUUCAUACUUUUUCGAUAUUGUUCUCUUGUCUUAAGUGGACACAAAAAUAAACGGCUGAGAAUGAAUAUCCUUUAAAAAUUGAUGAUAGAUAUCUUAUAAUUAAGAUUGAGAGUAUAUAUAUUGUCUUAAAUAGUUUAAAAAAUUUUCUAACCAAAAUUCGAUUGAUUUGGACAUCUUUACACUGUUAAACGUGAAAACGCCUUAUAUCGACCAAUAAAAUUAUAAAUUUUAAAACAUUCUGAUCAUUAGGUCAAUGAUGUGGAAAAGAGCUAAAAUUUGAUUUUUAAAUACUUCAAGUAGUAUAAAUUAUGGUCAACGGUGCCGAUUGUCGAUUUGGUGGCUCCAUCAUCAAAAACAAAUGGGUGAUAACGGAGUCUGUUUGCCAUCGAUAGUAGAGCUACUAUGCUAUCGAAAGCAUAGAGGAUUUGGUGCUUCCAACUGUUUGGCUCUUAGAUCAGCCUCUUUAAUCAUUUAUAACCUUUGAAGAGGAUCACUCAAUUCUAGGGGUACUACCCAACCCUAGAGAGGAUCGCAAUCAUCCCAACCAUAUAAUUCUUAAUCCAAAAAUCAAAAAACGGAAGCAUCAAAUUCUCUAUACUUCUGAUAGAAUAGUACCUCUACACUGUAUAUAUAUAUAUAUAUAUAUACAGAGAGAGAGAGAGAGAGUCCGACUACUAUACUCUUAUGAGUACGAUCGCCCUCGCACUCAUAAGUUAUUUUCGAUGAUAGAGCUUCCAAAUCGAUGAUCAACACUGUUAAACGUUAUCUAGAGCAUUUAAUGUAAGGACUGAGAUUUUGACAGUGCAACUAAACUCUCUGUUGAUGAUGUUUAUGUGUGUAAUUUAAUUACAUAAGCACUCGUCAAAUUUCAGGCGAAAAUGAGCUAAAACGGAGAAGUUACGCGAUUAUUAGUUUUCACUUAAGUGAAUAGUAACUCCGGUUUUUCGGUGAAGCCACGGAGUAGAGUUGGCUUUCUAUGCGUACCGGACUCCGUUCAUAGCGAUCCAAUAGCUCGUUUCGACCGGUUCAGCUAUUUUGGAACUACUGGCGCUGACGGAUUUUGAGUUUGAUGCACGAAUUUCGAGAAAAUCCAAAAAUACAUGUUUUAUAUGUAUUUAUGUGUUAUUCCUUCUAUUGGAAAGAAAGUUUGGAUUUUGUCGUGAAUCCGUGAUCGAUCGUGGUGAAACAAAAUCGUAGUUUUGUUGUCUCCGAGGUGCUGAUCGCACUGGUGCAAUCCGUUCGCAAAUCUGACGGACGGAUCUGCGAAGAUCGCACGUUGAUCGAGGAGAGGUCGGUGUUGGAAAAUGGGUAAUUUCGCAAAAGAUGCGACAUUUUAUGUACCGAAUCGCAUGAGAUCAAACGUGGAGGUGUGUACACGCAAUUUACUCGCGCUGUGAAGGACUGGGUUGGAUACAACCAGUUCCGGAGGACUUUGGUGCAAAGUGGCAUAUGGUAUAUAAUAUGCCUUUAGGGUUUCUAUGCACGAAACCCUAGUUUCGGCCAACCUAGUCUUCCAGCUAUGCCCUAGGUAGCUUCAGCAGGCUCUUACCCUAGCCGUGCUCGCGCUCCGGCAGCCGGCGUGCGACUCCGGCCGCCGGAAAAGCCGGGUUUGCUCUUCCUCCACCUUCCUCUCCAUCUUGCUGCCUCUUUCCUGGCCGUGGACCACCCUGGGGACAUCCACUCGCGUCGGGCCCUCUCUUUUGGCCGCGCCCGACCUCCGUCAGCCUCCCCCGCCAGUCGCCGCCGGCCGCCUGCUGGGCUCCCUAUGGCCGAGCUGGGCCAGAUCGGGCCGAGCCCAGGCUGGCUCCCCUCUCGUGCGCUGCCGCUGCCUAGAUCGGGCCGGGCCGCCCUCCCCCGGAGCCCCGGCGACCUCCGCCGCCGGCCCCACCGUCAGCGCACGCCGCCGGAGCCGCCCAAGCUUCCUGCGGCUACCUGCGAUCACCCAGGCCGAGCCUGGGCGAUCUCUGCAUCCGCGCGCCGCAUCCGCCUCGAGGCAAGCCGCCCCGCCUCCCUUUGCUGUCGGCGACCUCACGCGCGUGUUCCCGGCGUCCUCGACCACCGCCGGUCGCCGCCUGAAGCUCCUGCAGCCGCCCAGACUUGGUGCGGGCCGAGGCUGAGCCUUCGUGGCCUCCGCGCGUCGCCACCGCCUAUGGUGGGGAGCACCACCUCCCCCUCGGCCUCCUCCGCCGGUUCGUCGCCGCCCCGACCUCCUCCGGCCGCCGCCGCGCCGCCGGGAAGAUCGAACCCGAGAAGGAGUGGGUGGAGUCGAUCUCCUCCGCCGCGCCACCGGUUGCCUCCCGCCGCCGGCCAGCACCAUCCCCGGACCUCUCGGACCGACUGCUUCCAUCUCCGGCCGGACCGCCCGCCUCCCGGCCGCCGGCGGCCAACCCUAGCUCCCCCCUCACUGUGAGUGUCCAUUUAUGCAUUCCAGCACUGUUUUCUCACUUUCCGGUGACUUUUUCGGCUAUUCGAAUGGUCUUUUUGACCUCGGGAAGUGAGCACGAUGAUCCUUAGGUCGUGCUGAACAUCGUGCUCACUUCCGUCGAGCCCUGAGAUGCCUUGGUUGCUUGGGCAACCGCGAUCUUCCUGCGGUGCGCGCUGCUUCGCUGACCUUCGCGUCGCUUGUGCGCGCACCGCAGUCGCCGAAUGUGCUCCGAAUGGUGAGCACGAUCUCCGGCACGCUGAAAUCUAUCAGCGGGUGCGACGGUUGACUCAGCGAACCUCGUAUCGCAAGAUCGGGCCAUAAAAACUGUCGAAAAUCGCAUAAAAUGAUAGAUUUUAGGGUUCAUGUUGUGCUUUCUUCCUUAUAACUUCGACUCGGUCGCUGUGGACAGCGUGUAAACGCUGAGGGUAACCUCUGAACUAAUCGUCCAAGGCCCCAAGCCACUGCGGAGAUCGAAAAGCCUUGUUUGGGGCGUUUCACGGCGAAAUUCGUCGACGGAACGCGAUCUUAGUUCGGUUUUUAUCCGACGGUGCCUCGGGAUCUGUUGUGUUGUCGCUAAGCCUUCUUGGCAGGUCACCCGUGUCGUUUCGGGGGUUCAGAAACGACGGGUGAGCGACUGGUGGGUCCCGGUGUCAAAAACGACACUUUCGGGAACCCGGUUCGAGACGUUUAGUCAACGAUGUNCCAAAUUUCAUAAUUUUUUGACUUCGUUUGCCUAGUGAACCAGUAGCCUCAAAAUGAACGGCUGAAAAUAAAAAUAUCAUAAAAAAUAAUAAUAAAAGACUCAAAUUUCAAAUCGGAAGUAUUGAUCUUGCUAUUGAUGUUAAGUAGAAUUUUCUAUUAAAUUUUCAUGUAAUUUGAAUACUUCUACACCGUUGAACUUAAAAACGUGCCGCAUCGGCCGUUAAAAUAGUCAUUUUUGGGACCUUUUGACCGCUUAGUAAAUGAUGUUAAAAAAUUAUAAAAUUUGGUUUCUAGAUAGUUCCAAUAUGGUAGAUUAUACCUAACGGAGCCGAUCGUCGAAUCGGAUCUCCUAUCAUCGAAAACAACUCACAAGCACAGAGGUUCCGGUACUUUCGAAAGUAUAGUAGACGGACUAUAUAUAUAUAUAUAUAUAUAUAUAUAUAUAUAUNNNNNNNNNNNNNNNNNNNNNNNNNNNNNNNNNNNNNNNNNNNNNNNNNNNNNNNNNNNNNNNNNNNNNNNNNNNNNNNNNNNNNNNNNNNNNNNNNNNNACACACACACACACACACACACACACACACACACACACACAGAGUCCGACUACUAUACUCUUAUGAGUACGAUCGCCCUCGCACUCAUAAGUUAUUUUCGAUGAUAGAGCUUUCGAAUCGAUGAUCCACACUGUUAAACGUUAUCUAGAGCAUUUAAAACAUCUAGAAAUCUAAUUUUAUAAUUUUUCGACAUCAUUUAUCUUACGAUCAAAAGGUGACAAAUUUGACAAUUUUUAACGGCCGGUAUGAAAUAUUUGCUAGUUUAACGGUGUAAAAGAAUCGAAAUCAGUUGAUUUUUUGAUAGAAAAUUCUAUUCACUACAUAUAGAUAAAGAUCAAUAACUCUGAUCUUAAAUUGAAGGAUCCUAAGCUUAGAANNNNNNNNNNNNNNNNNNNNNNNNNNNNNNNNNNNNNNNNNNNNNNNNNNNNNNNNNNNNNNNNNNNNNNNNNNNNNNNNNNNNNNNNNNNNNNNNNNNNNNNNNNNNNNNNNNNNNNNNNNNNNNNNNNNNNNNNNNNNNNNNNNNNNNNNNNNNNNNNNNNNNNNNNNNNNNNNNNNNNNNNNNNNNNNNNNNNNNNNNNNNNNNNNNNNNNNNNNNNNNNNNNNNNNNNNNNNNNNNNNNNNNNNNNNNNNNNNNNNNNNNNNNNNNNNNNNNNNNNNNNNNNNNNNNNNNNNNNNNNNNNNNNNNNNNNNNNNNNNNNNNNNNNNNNNNNNNNNNNNNNNNNNNNNNNNNNNNNNNNNNNNNNNNNNNNNNNNNNNNNNNNNNNNNNNNNNNNNNNNNNNNNNNNNNNNNNNNNNNNNNNNNNNNNNNNNNNNNNNNNNNNNNNNNNNNNNNNNNNNNNNNNNNNNNNNNNNNNNNNNNNNNNNNNNNNNNNNNNNNNNNNNNNNNNNNNNNNNNNNNNNNNNNNNNNNNNNNNNNNNNNNNNNNNNNNNNNNNNNNNNNNNNNNNNNNNNNNNNNNNNNNNNNNNNNNNNNNNNNNNNNNNNNNNNNNNNNNNNNNNNNNNNNNNNNNNNNNNNNNNNNNNNNNNNNNNNNNNNNNNNNNNNNNNNNNNNNNNNNNNNNNNNNNNNNNNNNNNNNNNNNNNNNNNNNNNNNNNNNNNNNNNNNNNNNNNNNNNNNNNNNNNNNNNNNNNNNNNNNNNNNNNNNNNNNNNNNNNNNNNNNNNNNNNNNNNNNNNNNNNNNNNNNNNNNNNNNNNNNNNNNNNNNNNNNNNNNNNNNNNNNNNNNNNNNNNNNNNNNNNNNNNNNNNNNNNNNNNNNNNNNNNNNNNNNNNNNNNNNNNNNNNNNNNNNNNNNNNNNNNNNNNNNNNNNNNNNNNNNNNNNNNNNNNNNNNNNNNNNNNNNNNNNNNNNNNNNNNNNNNNNNNNNNNNNNNNNNNNNNNNNNNNNNNNNNNNNNNNNNNNNNNNNNNNNNNNNNNNNNNNNNNNNNNNNNNNNNNNNNNNNNNNNNNNNNNNNNNNNNNNNNNNNNNNNNNNNNNNNNNNNNNNNNNNNNNNNNNNNNNNNNNNNNNNNNNNNNNNNNNNNNNNNNNNNNNNNNNNNNNNNNNNNNNNNNNNNNNNNNNNNNNNNNNNNNNNNNNNNNNNNNNNNNNNNNNNNNNNNNNNNNNNNNNNNNNNNNNNNNNNNNNNNNNNNNNNNNNNNNNNNNNNNNNNNNNNNNNNNNNNNNNNNNNNNNNNNNNNNNNNNNNNNNNNNNNNNNNNNNNNNNNNNNNNNNNNNNNNNNNNNNNNNNNNNNNNNNNNNNNNNNNNNNNNNNNNNNNNNNNNNNNNNNNNNNNNNNNNNNNNNNNNNNNNNNNNNNNNNNNNNNNNNNNNNNNNNNNNNNNNNNNNNNNNNNNNNNNNNNNNNNNNNNNNNNNNNNNNNNNNNNNNNNNNNNNNNNNNNNNNNNNNNNNNNNNNNNNNNNNNNNNNNNNNNNNNNNNNNNNNNNAUCGUUCAGUUAGUGAUGCCAAAAAAUCAUGAAAUUUGAUUUCUAGAUAAUUUAAAUGGUCUAGAUCAUAUUCAACGGUGCCGAUCGUCGAUUUGAAAGCUCUAUCAUCAAAAACAAAUCGGUAUAUAUAUAUAUAUAUAUAUAUAAUUAUGCUCCUAUGCUAUCAAUAUCAAGCCCUUGGUACUAUUGAGUUUUUGGUCGUUGGUACUAUUGAGUAUCAAGCCCUUGGUAUAUAUAUAUAUUCAGCUGUGGAGGCUUGUCGACAGCUCUGUAGAGUGUCGGGACAAGUCUGAGUCGCGUUGGCGCCAAAUAGACGCAAAACGGACUCCGUGCGACGCGAGGGCAACUUUCAGCGAAGAAAUCUGCAAAAUAGCAGUUUUCUACUUGCUGUACCGGUACAGCCAUCAAGAUGUACCGGUACACAUCAGCAGGCUGCCCGCAGGUUGCUCUCGGGUUGGCUAGUAUACCGGUACGCGGGCCCGUGUAUCGGUACACCAGGGUAGGUGAGAGGGUAUUUGGGUAAUUUCUCUCCCUCGUUUGUAUCACCCUUUCCUCUCUCUCUAUUUAAGUUUGUGUAGAGCAGAGNAGAUGUGUGGUUAGGAUGAUAGUGGUUCCCGGUUAAAUUGAUAGUGAUCCCCUAGGGUUGAGUCGGUGGUUGGUUUAAUAGUAUAAUCUAACGGGCGGAAAUGAUUAAAGGGUAGAUCUAAUGGUAGAAAACUCAAUAGUACCAAGGGCUUGGUACUAUCGAUAGUAUAGUAGCCAGACUAUAUAUAUAUAGAGAGAGAGUUUUGCUAGAAUACUAUUGGUAGUAAACGGCUCGGUUUACUACCGAUUUGUUUUCGAUGAUAGAGCUUCCAAAUUCAAUAUCGGCACCGUUAAACAUGAUCUAAACUAUUUAAACUAUCUGAAAAUCAAAUUUCACAUAUUUUCGAUAUUGUUCUCUUAUCCAUCAUAUGAACAGAAAAAUAAAUUGCUGGAAAUGAAUAUCCUUCAAAAAGUAAUGAUACAAUUUUUAUAUUUGAGAUCUAGAAUCUAGAUCUUAUUUUAAAUAGUUUUAAAAAAAUUUUAAUAAAAAUUUAGUUGAUUUGAACUCUUCUAUACCGUUAAACGAGCAAAUGCACCAUAUCGGCCAUUAAAAUUAUAGAUUUUGUGACCCUUUGAUCGUUCAGUUAGUAAUGCCAAAAAAUCAUGAAAUUUGAUUUCUAGAUAAUUUAAAUGGUCUAGAUCAUAUUCAACGGUGCCGAUCGUCGAUUUGAAAGCUCUAUCAUCAAAAACAAAUCGGUAUAUAUAUAUAUAUAUAUAUAUAAUUAUGCUCCUAUGCUAUCAAUAUCAAGCCCUUGGUACUAUUGAGUUUUUGGUCGUUGGUACUAUUGAGUAUCAAGCCCUUGGUAUAUAUAUAUAUUCAGCUGUGGAGGCUUGUCGACAGCUCUGUAGAGUGUCGGGACAAGUCUGAGUCGCGUUGGCGCCAAAUAGACGCAAAACGGACUCCGUGCGACGCGAGGGCAACUUUCAGCGAAGAAAUCUUCAAAAUAGCAGUUUUCUACUUGCUGUACCGGUACAGCCAUCAAGAUGUACCGGUACACAUCAGCAGGCUGCCCGCAGGUUGCUCUCGGGUUGGCUAGUAUACCGGUACGCGGGCCCGUGUAUCGGUACACCAGGGUAGGUGAGAGGGUAUUUGGGUAAUUUCUCUCCCUCGUUUGUAUCACCCUUUCCUCUCUCUCUAUUUAAGUUUGUGUAGAGCAGAGAGAAGGAGCUUUUCUUCUUCUCCUCUUUCUCUCUAGCUGGGUUUUUGCGCACGGUGGAGCUCGGGUGGAGUUCGGAGUUCGUCGUCGACGUCGAGCCGCGGAGCCGUUCGGGGAUACGGUUAUUGCCGGAGCUUUGCGAGGAGGCCGGGCGAGGGUGCAUCUUCCCUGUUCUUGACGUCGCGCCGGUGCUAGUCGCUGUCGAGGUGAGCGUUCCAUUGCAAUUGCUUCAAGUGCUUCAAGUAUCAUCAAUUUGAGCUUAAGUGCUGUUUUGCUGUUUUUCGCCGUCGACCGUUGGUAUUUCAGCUCGUACUCGGCGUAGGAGCAUCGGAUUUCGACGGGGCUUGGUUCGUUGGAUUCGGGACUUCGAGAGGAAUCCACGAAGCCCUUACUUGCUGGAUUUGGUGAAGAUUAGCUUGGUUGAAUCUCUGUUGUACCUCACUGCUGCAAUUUCUGGACUGAAAUGGUGACUUGUGUUGUGUGGAGCGUAAAGUUAGCUCGACUCUGGACUCGGCGGAUUUCGGUUGACCCAGCAGGUCGCUCUACACCUGAAGGAGUCCUUCGCUGCCAGGGAUUAGCUAUUGAGGUGGGUUACAUCGGUUUUGACUCCUAAGUUCUAAUCGUCGACAUGUAUAAAUUCGAUUUUUAGUAUAGUCUUUUCUAGCUCGAAUUCUUGGAUUAUGUUAUAGAUAGCAAAUCUGAAUUUGGAGCAUGUGGUAUUAACUUGAGUAGUUUAUACAUGUUGGACUUGAAAUUUGAACUAGGAGGAAACCUGCGAUUUGGAUCUGUCACUUGUUUAAACUGUCUGAUUUAGCUCUAGAAGCCGUUAUAAAAUUUGUACUGUCGCAGUAUCCUCAAGACGAGUACUCCAGAUAGUUUAGAAUACAUUCACGCUCGUGCUGGUACGCCGAGUGGAUUUUUACAGGGUCGUUUGAGCUGUUUCAGACUGUUGGGUGCCGUUGGAGUUGACGGUGGACCCGUAUCGCCUUUUUGGCGUCAGAUUGUGCCGAGAACACUUUACUUGUUUGUUGUUAGACCAGGUUGAGUUAGUUACUGGACUUUGGCUUUCGAGAGCCUGAUUGAGCUCGACAGAGAUACGCUGCAUACUCAGUUGGGUAGCGCCCACGAGUGCCACUCCGGAGACGGACUUUGUGCUUUCGCGUUCGUGUCGCUCAUGCCGGUUGGACUUGCUCUCCACGGACCCGUUAGUGUGGAGGUAGCGGGAUAGUCGCAACUGGGCAGGGACGGGUGUAUUCACAGUCCCAGGGACGGGUAUGUUUACAGUCCCGAUUGGAUUGGGUCAGAUUUGACAUUUUCUACAGUUGGUUAGUGUAGAGCAUGAUAGUGUAGUGAUUUGUAGCGGUUGAGUUUAUUUCCUGCUUUUUCGGCUAUUCUUGCUCCCUUCUGUAGACUUAGUGGGUGGACCGAUGUU
rnacentral:lncRNA from 1 species